UACAAAGUUCAAAUGGACUCAUUUGGAUUACUAUUGAAUUUAGCUUUAAUUCCAACAUCCAUUCUAAUGUUUUGCCAUUAGAUUUACUUUAAUUUUAUCUUUAAAGCUUCUACAAUGAAUAGCGGAGCUUGGGUUUUAGUUUCAAUUUCUAAUUAACUUGUUUUAGUUUAUCUUAUAUGCUCGCCAAGUGCUUGUUAUAUUGUCUGAUAAGUUAUAUAACAUUGCUGAUUCUAUAUUAGUAAUGUCAUGUUCCAUUUUCGGAAAUUAUAACACAAAAGUUUUUACAAUGGCUUGCAUCUACAAACUGAAUUGACUUGUAGAGUAAGAGCUUGGAUUAGUGUUAUGUUCUUGAAUAAAUGAAAGUUCAUAUUGUGUAAGAGCAUGUAGAUGUAAAGCAUCACUACCAUUUCUACAAACUGCUUUCAUUCUGUUCAGAUGCUCCUCUUGAACUUUGAAAGGUGCCUCAUUCAAGUCCUAGCUGUAACUACUAGCUCUGAUUGCUUAAGUUCCUGUGCUAGCUGAAACAGAUUUAUUUAAUUAAUUAAUUGUGUAUGUACUAAUUAUAUUGAACGUAUAUGAAGAAAUUGUUUAACAUGAAUGACUUCUAAAUGACUUAAAAGCCUAAAGGAUAUGUGAAAUAAUGCUCAUUUCACUUGAACGAGCCUAUUAAUACUUGUAUGUCUGAUGGUUGUCGAAGCCAACAAAAAUAAAUUCAUACUCUAAAUAAAUUGUGUAUAGUGAUUGAGCAAGGUCAUGUCCACAGAGAUCGGUAAUUAUUUAAAUCCUUUUGAAACGUAAAACGUAAAAUGGGGGAAUUGUUGACAAUAAUAAAAAUCAAAUUAAAAUAACAAGAAUGCAAAUUAAAGUUGUAAUUCAAAUUAGAGAAAGCUCUGGUUGAAGGAAUUAAUUCAGCUUGAUUCGACUACUGAUCAUUGAUUCAAAUAUAGAUUAUUAUUACUUAUGAAUAGACCGGUUAUAGCUACUGAGACCCUCUAAUAGCCAAUCUCUCCUUAACUAGUCGAUAACCAAGGUACGACUGUUGGUUAUUUCCCUAAUCAAUAGACAACCCUAGAUACGAUCAUAGGAUUUAAUCAAUUGACAGCCUGAAAAACCAGAGAGACCCAAAUCCUAAUCAACACAUACGAUGAUUCAUUUAAAUUAGAUUGUUUAUUCUCACAACACAACUCUCUGCUAUGUUAUUUGUCACAAACAUUAAAUUCUUCAUACGAUGAAUCCUUUAAUUGACAAUAGAUUAAGUUGAUAAUUAAAUAGUGGCCAAUUACCUAAUUAACAAACAUAAUCAUGAAAAUAAUUCAGAGAAUAAACAAAUACCCAAAAAGUAAUAAAACAAUUAAAGCAUAAAAUAGAUCUCACAAUAGUGAUGAAUCAAAGCUUCAUUAUCCUUCAACCAGAAAAAUAUAUUUAGUUCUUCAUAGAGAGAAGAGAAAAGUUUAGAUCUAGGGUUUCUUUCUCUUCUCUUCAAAAGUCCCAUUUUUCACAAUAGAUUCCUCUCUUAAAUACUCUCUCUCUCUUCUCCUCUAGAAUUCUAUUUAAAAUAAAAUACUAAUAUAUGAAAUAUUAAAUUCGUAAUUACAAAAAUAACCAAAAAUACAAAACACGUUAAACUAAAAACUGUAGGUCCGUAGUUGCAGCACGCGCCCACGCGUUAUCAACAAAGUUCUUCUGACGCUCAUAAUUUCUCCAAGAAAGCAAUCAUCUUUAAACAUCAUCUUAUAGCUCAAUUUUAUCACAAAUCAAUAGAAUUGCACCUACAAAAGUAAAACACAAGUAAAUUAUCAUUAUUAAGUGCAAAACAUCAAUAUUAAGGGAAGUAAACAAUGCAAAACUAGUGCAUAAAUUGCACUCUAACAAAUUCCCCCACACAAAGAUGAUGCUUGUCCUCAAGCAUAUAACUCAAGACUAAUCCCAAAUCUCCACUCAAUUCUCAUCUCAACUCAUCCAAAAACAAUUUUAAGCAAGUAUACCUCAAGAAAUUAAGUCGAUCAACAUUCGAGAGACAAGGAUUUUAAAGCAUAGAAUCUCAUAAGAUAGAAUAAGAACAUUCAACCACCAAGAAGAUCCAUUCAAAAUUCAAGUGCAACAAGAUUUAAUAGCCCUCUCAUUGACCUCACUCCAUGCACUCAAAGUGUUUAGGGUGUCAUUUAUUCACUCAAAUCAAAUCAAAGAAUGUUAUUACCAUAAACUUGCUUAUAUAUCACAUCUCAAUCCACAAAACAUGAAUUAAAUGCAAAAAUCUAAGGGUCUUAAAAGGUUGUAACGGGGUUAAAUGGGUUAAAUGAAAAAGAAAAGUUUAUGAAAGAAAAAGAGAUCAAAAUGAGAAGAAUGAACUCAUUGAACGAACUUUAUGAUAUCGAAACGCUUAUUUCUACACAAGUCACCAAGAAUGUAAACAUUUUUUUUUCUUUUUCUUUUUUUUUUUCAAUUUUUUUUUUCGAUUUUUCUUUUUCUUUUUCUUUUUUUUUUUGAAUCAAACAAAAGAAACGAACCUUGCACAAUUUAAUUCAGGCAUAAUGCUUGUUGAUCUAAUUGAGAAACUUUAAUACAAGGUAGAAAAAGCAACAAAAUAUAUACAAAAUAUAUCCACACAAUGAGUCCAAAAAUCUCCUUAAAUUGAGGCUCAAAAAGAAGAAAAAUGGUUAAGUAGACGGAGAGAAUUAGAUGGGUAAUGGUUAAGGCUCAAACAAAGAUAGUAAAUCAAGGUCUUCGGGUAGAGAAAAAAAAAUGCGAGAAUAGAAAAAUGGUAAAUGGUUUGCCCUUAUCAUUUUAAUGCAAAAAAUCCGUAAUGUGGCUUCAACAUGCAUAACAAAGCAAGUUCUAGAAUAAACAAACUAAGAUUGAUAUUCACAUAACAAAAAUAAUAGAGCAAAGUGGUUGCUCAUAGGCUCAAAUCCUCACAAAGUUGGUAAAUUUGCCAUCAAAUCAUGUGCACUCUUCAAAUGAAUCAACCAUCAAUAGUGGUGUAGAAUGAGAAGAAGGUAUGAUUGAGAUAUGAAAGGAAAGGUAAAAAGGAUAAUAAGCGAGAAAGAUGUAUGUAGUAAAAAAAAUGAAUGAUAAAAUGUGAGUGAUGAAAGAGUAUGAUAGAAUAAAAAUAUAUGUAAAUAAUUUGAGGUAGAUGGGAAAAGAGUAGUGAGAGAGAAAGGAAAAGAAAAUUAAUAAUAUAUGAAGCAUACUAACUCCAAAAUCAUUUAAGGAUGAGUAGAGUGAAAAUAAUAAUUCCAAACAUCAAUAAUGUAAAAAAAUCCCUCCCCCACACCAAGAACUUACAUUGUCCUCAAUGUAAGAUAAUCAAAGCUCACAUAAAAAUUAAAGCGUAAGGAUAAAAGAUUAAAGACAAAAAAAAAAAAAAACUUCCCUGAAUUAUGAGCUUUGAUCCACAUAACGUCUAUGGGCUUGGCAGAAAUGGUGGGGUAAAUCCCACACUCUCGAAGUAUGCGGCCAAAUUCUGCUCCAUCUUGUUCAGCUUGUGCUCCAUUUUCUCUAACUGAAUGCUCAAAGGUGGUGCGGAUGUAGAAGGAAUAGUUGGCGGGGCAGCAGUGUCGUCGUCAAACUCGUCAUCAGAGGUAGCACCACUCCUAGCAUAAAGCUUCUUCGGAGGUUGAGUGGGUCCUGGUUCAGUAAAAUGAAAUCUCCCCUCCUUGAAUUCGACCAUACCUGUUCUUUCAAACACAGACAUAUCCAAAAAUUCCUUUUUGCAAGCAGGAUGCAAAUCAUUAUUGUCAGGAUCAAGCACACAUAGGUUUAUAGCUAACAGAGUAAUGUAUGGACCAAGAAAUAAAGUUCUAUACCGUUUAAGCACACUUUGAAAUUGAUCCGCUAACCAAAAACCUAAAUUAGGCCUCACAUCAUUUAACAUGCACCAGAUAAAAUAACAUUCAGUUUUAGAGAAAACUCCUGAGUGAUCUUUCUUACCGAAAAAAUUAUAUGCUAAGAAUCGAUGCACACAUUUCAAAACAGGAUCACGUAAGAAAGAACUCUUUGAUUUACUCGGGUCAUAGGCAUUGUGAUCAAUAGAUAAAUUACGCCAAAGACCAUAAGGCUCAAAAUUUUCGCUAAAGUCACAAGUUGUUCCUAAAUAUGCAUCACUAGAAGAAUAAUCAUCAUCAAUGAAUCCUAAAGCUAGGUUAAAAUCCGUGAUAGAGUGUAAAAAAUUUCGUCCCAUUAACCUAAACUUAAUGACAUCCGGGGUAUGCAAAGUAAAAUCAUUCGGCAUAUUAAAUUGAAAAGUAGCAUAAAACUUCCUAAUCAACUCAACAUAACCCAAACAAUCAACAUCAACAAACUUAUGUGACCCAAUCUUAUCUAUCAAAGAAUCAAAAUUAUCCUUAACAUUCAAUUUUUCAAGAGUCGGGUAAUGAAUAUACUUAGCUGGAAGUAUUUUGCGCGUGGAAAUAUCUUUGUACCUCUCUUUCUCUUGUUGAGUCGCGAAUGCGAGGCACUCUUUGAGAUUGGAUUCCGCAAGUGGCAAAACACUCAUGCCUUUUCCAUGUUUCGAUCUUUGUCUCACGGCUUGGCGUGAAUAUGAAAUUGUGUUCCAUGGAACCGUAGUGGGAGCGGCAAUCUUAGAUUUCUUUGCGACGAGUGUCUUUUUAGAUGACUUGGAAGUAGAUGCUUUCCUCUUCGGCAUUGUUACAAUAAUUGCACUCACGGAUUUCGAUUUACCUGGCUGGAAUACAGGGCGUAGGUUGGAUCUGCGUUGCGUUGCUGCUUGGCUGGAGCUUGCUGCGCAGGUUGGGGCUGGUUGCGCGCUGCUGCUGGUUGUGUUGCGCGCUGCUGCUGGUUGUGUUGCGUGAUGCUGCGCGCUGCGGGUGGAAUUGGUUGCGCGCUGCUGGGGCUGGAUUCGGGUUGCGCGCGGGGGCUGGGGAUGCUGGUGCGCGCUGCGGGUGGGACUAAUGCGCUGCGCUGAGGCUAAUUCGCGUUGCUGGGGCUGCGUUGUGGGAUGCUGGUGCUGUGUUGCGUUGCGCGCGGCUGCUGCUGCUGCAUGGCUGCGGCUGCUGCUGCUGCGGGUGAAAACGAUAAUCAACAGUGAAUUUUUAUUUUAUUUUUUUGAAUUAGGGAUUUAUGAACAGUGAUUUGUGAUUUUUGUUUUUUUUUUGUUUUUUUUAAAUAAAAAAAAUAUGUAUAUAUAAAAGAAAGAAAAGAAGGAAAAAAAAUAAUAUUUUUUUUUUUGUGAUGAAUCACUUUGAGACACUAAAAAUUUCAGAAGUACUUUUCUAAUAAGCACGUGGGCACGCCUUAAAACCAUUUUAUUUUAAAAAUCACAGAAGUACUUAUUAGUUAAGACGUGGGCACGCCUUAUCAAAAAUUUUCUUCUGACCAAAAUAAGCAAACACAUUAAAAAAAAAUGAAUCAAAAUUAAAAGAAGAUAUAACAAAAACCAAAAUAAAUAAAUCAUUUGGGUUGCCUCCCAAAAAGCGUCUUUGUUUUAUGUCUUUGGCUAGACACAUUUAUGCAUCAAUCUCCAUAAUUGGGACUCUCGAGAGCCACAUCCUCCACAAUAUUCACAAAAAAACCUUCAUAAAAAGGUUUUAAGCGAUGACCAUUAACCUUAAAAAUUUUGUCAGAGGUCGGACUUCGAAUCUCAACUGCACCAUGAGGGAAAACAUUAGUAACAAUAAAAGGUCCAACCCAGCAAGAACGUAAUUUACCCGGAAAAAGUUUAAGCUUAGAAUGAAAAAGAAGAACUUUUUGACCAACAGAGAACUCCUUUCUCAAAAUCAUUCUAUCAUGAAAUGUCUUCGUUUUUUCCUUGUAAAUAACUUCCUGCACUAUAGGGUUAAUAACAUCCACAGAAAAUACCGAAUGUUCCUCACUAGGAUAUUUCAUGGCAUCAUUCAUAUUGAAUUCUAUAACCUCUCCAUCAAACUCCAUAGUGAGAGUCCCUUUAUGUACAUCCAUUUUAGUCCUAGCAGUCUUAAGAAAAGGUCUUCCUAGCAAAAUUGGGACAAAAUUGGAGGAGUUAUCCUCUUCCAUAUCAAGUGCAUAAAAAUCAGCAGGAAAAACCAACUCAUUAACUUGUACUAAGACAUCUUCUAAUACCCCAUCAGGAUAUGCAUUAGACCUAUCAACUAGUUGAAUUAUCACGCCAGUUUCUUUUAAUGGACCAACAUUCAAAGAUGAAUAAAUGGAACGAGGCAUGACAUUAAUAGAAGCUCCUAGAUCUAACAAAGCCUUUUCAAUUCUAACACUACCAAUUUUACAAGGGAUAGUAAACAUACCUGGAUCCUUGCACUUAGAGGUAGUUUCUUUUGGAGAACUGCUGAAACAUUCUCCCCCAUGUGAACUUUUUCAUCUCCUCUUAAUUUUCUCUUAGAGGUGCACAGUUCCUUAAGGACUUUAGCAUAUCGAGGUAUUUGUUUUAUAGCAUCUAAUAAAGGAAUAUUUACCUCAACCUUGCGAAAUGUCUCAAGGAUGUCUUUCUCUUGUUCCUCCUUCUUGGAUAUUGCAAACCGGCUUGGAAAAGGAGGAGGUAUCACAAUAGGUAGGGGUUUCGCUCUGGUGGGUUGCGCAUCUUGAGAUUUAGGCAUCAAUUCAUUCUUCUCAAGCUCAUCUUCUACAUGCUUUGUCACUUUCUUACUAGGCUCUUGCAACUCCUUCCCACUUCUAAGGAUGACAGCACUAACGUUUUUCUUUGGAUUCACCUCAGAUUGUGAAGGCAAUCUCCCUAAUACUUGAGACUCCAGAAGGCUCACUGUAGUCGCCAAUUGACUCAUUUGGUUCUCCAAAUUCUGAAUGCUUGUUGUAGUUGCCUGCUGAAAUUGUUGAGUGUUAGUCGCAAGUGAUUUAACAAUUUCUUCAAGAGAUAUACCUGACUUAGAGUUUGAUUGUGGAGGUGCUGGUUGUCUUGGUGGAUACUAUUGUGGGAAUCCUGACGGCCUAACUCCAUAGCUGAAGUUGGGGUGAUCCUUCCAUCCCGGAUUGUAUGUUUAUGCAUAAGGAUCAUACCUCCUCUGAGGCAUGCCUGGAAAUCCUCCAACUGCAUUGGUUUGUUCAACGGGUUCUUCUUGAAGUGUAGGACACAUAUCAGUUGAAUGACCCAUAUUGUAACAAAUGCCACAAGUCUUCACCUGUUGCACAUUACCUACAACAAACUUUUCCACAAGAGAAGUAAGUUUAUCUAAACUUUGUCCAAUAGAAGAAAUAUUUACCUCAUUUACCUUCCUUGAAGUGAGAUCUUGCCUGCUGCCAAAUUGUUGUGCGUUGGCAGCCAUAUUUGAUAUCAGCUCCUUUGCUUGAGUAGGGGUCUUGUUCACCAACACGCCUCCACUAGCAGCAUCUAUCAUACUCCUAUCCAUCAAUGACAGUCCUUCGUAAAAAUAUUGAAUAAGAUGUUGAUCAGAAAUCUGAUGCUGAGGACAGCUGGCACACAAUUGUUUGAAUCGCUCCCAAUACUCAUACAAAGUCUCCCCAGGAAGUUGUCUGAUCCCACAAAUGUCUUUUCUGAUGUUAGCAGCUCUUGAAGCAGGAAAGUAAUUCUCGAGGAAUUGCUUGUUCAAACCAUUCCACGUUGUAAUUGAUCCAGGAGGCAAGUAGUACAACCAGUCUUUAGCUAGUCCAUCUAAAGAGAAAGGAAAAACACGCAGCUUAAUCUGCUCUUCAGUCACGCCUUGUGGUCUCAUACUUGAACACACAACAUGAAACUCCUUAAGAUGUUUAUGAGGAUCUGCACCUGCAAAACCAUGAAACUUGGGUAAUAAAUGAAUAAGACCAGACUUUAAUUCAAAAUUUACCUCCAAGUCUACAUAUUGAAUGCAGAGUGGUUGUUGACUCAAGUCUGGUUCAGCUAACUCUCUAAGAGUUCUUUCUACAGGUGCAGGUCUAUCUAUCAUUUGUUCUUCUGAAUCGCUAGAUGAUUCAACUAAAUCAGGCACUGUAUCUAUUUCAGAAAGCAAAGGCGACGAGGAUCGUUACUUAGCUCGCUUCGUCUGCUGUCUCAGCUGGCGAGCUGUCUUCUCAAUUUCAGGAUCAAACGAAAGUGUACCUGUACGAGAAGAACGAACCAUACACCAAGUAAAACGUAAAAAGGAUUAAAUAAAUGACACCAAUCCCCGACAACGGCGCCAAAAUUUGAUGGUUGUCGAAGCCAACAAAAAUAAAUUCCUACUCUAAAUAAAUUGUGUAUAGUGAUUGAGCAGGGUCGUGUCCACAGAGAUCGGUAUUUAAAUCCUUUUGAAACGUAAAACGUAAAAUGGAAGAAUUGUUGAUAAUAAUAAAAAUCAAAUUAAAAUAACAAGAAUGAAAAUUAAAGUUGUAAUUCAAAUUAGAGAAAGCUCUGGUUGAAGGAAUUAAGUCAGCUUGAUUCGACUACUGAUCAUUGAUUCAAAUAUAGAUUAUUAUUACUUAUGAAUAGACCGGUUAUAGCUACUGAGACCCUCUAAUAGCCAAUCUCACCUUAACUAGUCGAUAACCAAGGUACGACCGUUGGUUAUUUCCCUAAUCAAUAGACAACCCUAGAUACGAUCAUAGGAUUUAAUCAAUUGACAGCCUGAAAAACCAGAGAGACCCAAAUUCUAAUCAACACAUACGAUGAUUAAUUUAAAUUAGAUUGUUUAUUAUCACAACACAACUCUCUGCUAUGUUAUUUGUCACAAACAUUAAAUUUUUCAUACGAUGAAUCCUUUAAUUGACAAUAGAUUAAGUUGAUAAUUAAAUAGUGGCCAAUUACCUAAUUAACAAACAUAAUCAUGAAAAUAAUUCAGAGAAUAAACAAAUACCCAAAAAGCAAUAAAACAAUUAAAGCAUAAAAUAGAUCUCACAGAAGUGAUGAAUCAAAGCUUCAUUAUCCUUCAACCAGAAAAAUAGGUUUAGUUCUUCAUAGAGAGAAGAGAAAAGUUUAGAUCUAGGGUUUCUUUCUCUUCUCUCCAAAAGUCCCCUUUUUCACAAUAGAUUCCUCUCUUAAAUACUCUCUCUCUCUUCUCCUCUAGAAUUCUAUUUAAAAUAAAAUACUAAUAUCUGAAAUAUUAAAUUCGUAAUUACAAAAAUAACCAAAAAUACAAAACACGUUAAACUAAAAACUGUAGGUCCGUAGUUGACAGCACGCGCCCACGCCUUAUCAACAAAGUUCUUCUGACGCUCAUAAUUUCUCCAAGAGAACAAUCAUCUUUAAACAUCAUCUUAUAGCUCAAUUUUAUCACAAAUCAAUAGAAUUGCAUCUACAAAAGUAAAACACAAGUAAAUCAUCAUUAUUAAGUGCAAAACAUCGAUAUUAAGGGAAGUAAACAAUGCAAAACUAGUGCAUAAAUUGCACUCUAACAAUGUCUAUGAUUGUCAAUCUUGCUUUAAGUGUUUCAGUUAAGUGGUUUACCUAACAGGGAAAAAAAUUUAAUGGAAAACUUUAGAGUUCUAACAGAAAUAUAGUUGACUGCAGAUAUAGCUAUUUUGCAGUACAUAAAUUAUGUUGUCCUAUUCUCAAUGUCCUACGACCUAUUUUAUUUUAUAUGGUCAUUCAUUUUUGCGAUGGUUUUUUGUGCUUAUGAGUAUGGAAAUAGUGGGAUUUGGUGUGGCAAACAAAAAUAUACAUAUAAUCAAGUUUCUUAAUCAUGUAUAUUGGUUUUGGGUAUGAAUGUUUUCCUAUUCUAGUUCUAGGCAAAGUUUCUUCAUUUUGGUCUUCAGAUUUCCAGUAGGUUAAGUUAAGCAACUAUCAUAACUAGCUAGCUAGUUAUUGCCUGCCUUGUCGCCAUUACAUUGCAUGGCAUAAGGAAUAGUAACUAGGUGAUUAUUGGUGAUUCGUUGAGUUUAUUAUUGGCCAAACUAACAUAUUCGCCUUUACCCACAACUUAGUUUGAUUAGAUAUUAGAUAAUAAAGAGCCUUAAUCUAUGCAUUGCUUUAUUAUUUUUAUUUGGUUUUUCUUUCAACAAUAUUGUUGAUUUCUUAUAAAAAAUAUUCAUUGGUUUUUAAACACCUAAUCAUUGGCUAUGAUGAAGCUAAUUAAAACGAAGGCUUUGGAUCAAUUUCUUCUAACAACAUACAAAUGAGCAUAACCACCCCCUCCCCCCGAACCCAAAAAAAAAAAAAAAAAAAGGAAGACUUUGCAAGAUUCACAACCAGGUUACAUUUAAUUUAUUAAUUGUGUGUACGUACUAGUUAUUUGUUGAUAGAAUAGGAAGAAGUAUUUUAAUAUGAAUGACUUAAAACUUGUUGCUCAGUAAACAUAAUGUGCAUCAGUGCUAGAAAAUGUAUUUAUUGUUUGUAAUUUUUUAUGGUUUUGCUUAAGAAAUGAAAUGUGAAAAAAUGCUACAUUGUAUUAGGAAUAAAUUGAAGAGAUUUAUGAUUUUUAUGUGUUAUUCAAGUUUCAGAUUCAAUUUUAAACUUUUGAUACAUGCAUUGAAAGCUUAAACUCCUUUAAGAAAUUAUUAAUAGACACAUGUUUUAUUAGUGUCAUCUUUUGGAUGAUAGUGAGGAUCUUAUGUCUAUUAAUAAUUCUUGAAUUAUCUAGGCUUGGACAGUUUGGUAAUGCAUAGUUUUCUAUGGUAGCUAGUGCCUGAAAUUUUUUUCCCACGUAAAAAUGGGUUUUUCAGCAGCUGCUCCUCAUGUUCUCUGGGUGCAUACUAGACAAAUGGGUGUCAUGUGUUGUUUUGGCAUAACACAUAAACACUCAUAUAUCUAUGUCGCGUACUUGAAGAACUAUAGGGAGAUGCUUCCGAAGUUUCUAUAAACGUAGAGGAAAACUUUAGAUACUUAAGAUUGAAGAAACUUAUGCAUUCUUGAGUGGGAUAUAUAGGACCACUUACCUUUUGUAAAUAUGAAGGGAAUGUUGGAUAUAUUGAUGGGAGUGGAGGAGCUGAGUGGGAUGAAUGUAAUCGGUUAUGAUUUUGCUGAGUCGACUUGGUUUUGAGUCUUGUAAUUUUGUUUAUAAAUGGAGUACUAUCUCCAAUGUUGGUUUAUAAAUAUGUUUCAGCUGGCUGACCUAAUUUUUUGUUUCUAGGUAACAGGCUUUAUAUAUCUGUAAUUGAUAGCCAAGUGAAGUUCUCAGCAGUGGGUAACAGGCUUUACAGAAGAAUACUAUAAAUAAUUCUUGAAUUAUCUAUGCUUAUUGACCAUAGAUCAAAACAAUCUCUUCCUUUUCAACCCCAUCUCUGUCAUUGCUCUGCAUCCGUAUACAUAAAGUGAUAUGAGUCGCACUAGAGUUUUUGCUGUGGAGGAUGUUACUAAGUGUAUCAAUUUCUUGCAACCGAAAGCUACAAGUUUUGUUAGGUUCCCAAAAGAUACCGAUGAUGAUGGCAAUAGAAUUAACAGACUUUGACAAUAAUAUACUCUUAGAAUUUCAAGAUACUGAAAAAUGGGGGCAAGUUUGGAGUCUUGUUUGCACAGCUGCCUCAGAUGAUAGUGCCGGUGCAGCUUUAAUUCUUUUAUCAUUGCCAACUUCCCCACAUGUUUCUCUCAGCAUCCUUCCUUCGAAAAUUCCUCUUCGUUGAAUGAAAAAUAAACCAGUGCGAGUAUUUCGAGAUUGUGAAAUCUCUCCAGUACGUUCCAGAUUGGAAAACAAGCUGAGUCAUCUCCGGCAAUCUCUAGUUGUUUAAGACUGCCAAAAAGGUGUUGUGGGAAAUCGGCCUGCAAAAUCAUCUUCACAUCUUUUCCACUUAGUGAUAGUUCCUUCAAGUUGGGUACGAUCUGAUCAUCAUCAAUCAUAAUAACUAAUGAGGUCAAUUGAUGUUCUUUCAAAUGAUUUUGAGUAAUCCAAUCACGCAGUGACUUUAUAGUAUUUAUUUUAUAUUAAUUUUACCCCUAAAAAAAUUGAAUUAGUGAUAAAAUUCAUUAUAUGAUUUUUUUAUAUGUUAGUUUUAGAGGUAAUAAAGAAAUUAGGGAAAAAAACGAAAUUAUUUUAUUGCACGAUAGUAGACUCUUGCUUCUCAGUGCCUUUGCCACUGUAGUCAAGGCAAUGGGCAAACCUCCACACAACCUGGCGACGUCUGUUGCUGUAGAUUCCAACUCACGAUUUUCAACAUCAUCACCGGCCAUCAUCUUAAACAAUCUCCAGGCUUCUUCUUCAUUUAAAUUGUUAAUCAAGAAGUUGUCUUUAGAUCCCAUUUUUAAGAGGACGCCACGAUCUCUUGCUGUCAGCAGUAGUUUGCAGCCUUUAUGAUCUUCUCCAAAAGGAAUUCCAACUGUCUCCAAGUCAAGGUGCUUCCAGAUGUUAUCUAAAACCACAAGGAUCUUCUUCUCAUUUCUCAAUCGCUCAAAUAGUUUACAUGCUCUUCUAGAUUCAACUUCCUCGUGCAACUCCAGGCCCAACUUCUCGGCAAUUUCCUGUUGAAUCCUUUUUAUGUCUGGAAUUUGGGAAACCUCUGAAAAGACCACCAUAUCAAAGAGCUCGUCUUCCAUAGCUUGCCUGGCGACCUUCUUCACCAGUGUCGUCUUUCCAAUGCCGCCCAUGCCGUACACCCCAAUGAUGCUGACACUAACAUCGAUCAAUGCGUUUUUUACAACUGACUUCAUCAACAAAGCUUUUGUGAAUAUGCGUUACAUUACAACUGCGAUAUCCUUUCACUGUAUAUUCAUACAGUGGCAGGCCAUGUGACGUUGUGACCCAUGUGCUAGCUUUCACUAUUCAUAUUAUUUUUUUACACGGUGUUUAACAAAAUCUUCACGUAAAGAUUUCAGACGCGUGAUCCUAAUUCAGUAUGCAUUAUUUAUUUAUAAAAUGAAAAUAAAAAGAUAAAAGGAUGUGACUUAACUUGCUAUCAGUGCGGAUCCAGGACUUAAUAUUAUUUCGGGUUAAAUUUUAUAUUUUAAAAUUUAUAUUUUGAAGUGAACAUAAAAAUUUAUAAGUAGAAAGAAGUAUAUUAAAUGAGGGGAGAUAUGGAGAGCUUUAUCCCUAUGAAUAUGUAUUAUAAACGAAAAUAAUUGUAAGAAAAGAGUAGAAACCAAAAGGCAAUUCAAAUAUCAAAACAUUAUUUUUCAAUUAUGGAAUCCGAUAUUGCAACCUAUAAUAACAUGUAAUUAUAUAAGGAUUAAUAAAUCAAUUAAGAAUUUCAAACUAAAUUAGAUCAGUACAUGUGAUUAAAAUUAAUUAAAGAUUACAAGUAAAACUUUUUUGUUUGAAGUCAAGUACUAAAUUACCAAGCUUAAAUAAAUUUAAAAAAUUAAAAUUCAUUCAUUCUUUCGAAUUAUAAAAGUAUUAUUAAUAAAAAAUUUAGUAAUAAACUAAAUUCAAUUCAACAAAAAGUUAUUUGGAUAUCGUUGUUUCAUUGCCAGUGCACUAACUUUCUUUAUAGAAGUAGAUGUUGAUGAUUCUUCUAUUAAAGUUCCUCAAAAUACCUAAAUUUUAUUUUCUAACUUCUUCUCGUAGUUAAUGUAACUAAUAAAUAGAAUCUAAAAAAUCACAUAAAAUGUUUAUGAAAAUGUUGAUAAUUGUUACUAUUUAUUGUUUUCGUAAGUACUUUUAAUGCUAGUGACGAUGUUAUAUUACAUUGAUUUAUAUUUUUUUUCAAUUAGAAGUUUUUUAAAAUAAAUUAAAGCGAUAAUAAUACUUUAGCUCCUAAUGUUUUCAAUCUAUCCACUAAGUAUAUAAUUUAAUCAUUUUAUAAAAUAAGUCACUAAUUUCAAUUGGAAAUAAUACAAUUUAAUUAGGGAUAUAUUUGAAUAUAAAAUAAUAGCCCAAUUGUUAUACUAAAUUGAUGAAAAUAUAAGGGUAAUUGAGUUAGGGAAAUAUUUGAAUAUAAAGUAAAAACUCUAUUGUUAAACUAAAUUGAUGAAAACAUAAGGAUACUUGAGUUAGGGACAUAUAUGAAAACAAAAUAAAAACUCUAUUUUUAUAAAAAAAUUAUAAGAAAACAAGGUGUAUAAAUGAUUUUUUCUGUGCUAGACCAAGCUACAACCCAGUCUAGCCCAACUGUAGGUCCGCCACUACUUGCUAUUUACAUACAGACAUGUAGCCCUUAUUCUAAUAUCUAUAGGAAAAGACACUUAUACUCCAAGAUUUGAAGAAAUGGUCACGUAGAUCUCUAAGUUUUCAGUAACCAAAAUUUCUUUUUGACUAUAAUACUUUUUGUACAUAGUAAAUAAAAAAUGACUUUAAGAUUUUUUUUAAUAAAUAUAAAUAUAACUUAAAUAGUUUAAUCUGUCUAAUAGACUAAUAAUAUUAGAAUAUUUUUAAUAUAUAAAAUAUUUUUUAAAUAAAAACAUUAUAUUUAUUUUAAUAAUAUAUUUUUAUUUAUCAUAAAAAUAUCAAAUAAAUCAUUGGGGUUAAAUAGAAUUUAAAAUUAAUAAAACACAUCUCAUUAAUAAAAUAUAUCUCAUGUAGUAAUAAUAUUGAAAUUAUUUUAUAUAAUAUUUAAAAAAUUUAUAAAAUUUAUAAAAUUUAUAAAAUUUAUUUUAAUAUUAUGUUCUUAUUUAUUAUAAAAUUUAGUCUAAUAUAAUAUAAGAUUGUUAAGUAUAUAAAUAUUUUCCUAAAUUGAAGUUGUUUUAAAAUGUUAAUAUUUUAUGUUUAUUUCAAUAUUAUAUUUCUAUUUAUUAUAAAACAUAGGAGUCAAUUUUUUUGAGUUAAUAGAGUCAAAUGUAUUAUAGUCGAAAGAGGUAUUGGUAUUCCUUAUUAAAAAUUUAGGGGUCUACAUGACUAUUUGCCAAACCUUAGGUGUAACGUCCUUUUCUCCAAAAUUGAUUCUCUAUAGGUAUUUCAUGAAGGAAAAUGAUAUUUACAAUGAAUCAAACCCCGGACUAGUUAAAAUGCAUUAUUUCAGCUUAAAUAAUGGUAAAUAUUUGUUCAGUCUCUAUAUUUUGAAUUAAGUACCGUUUAGUCCCUCAAGACACCUUUGUCAGUAAGCACAAUAUAAUCCUACCCUUACUUUUUCUUUGAUUUUAUAAUAACAUGCUUGCAACAAUAUUCUUAGAUAUGUUAAUGUAAAGAAAAAUUUAAAUUUAUCAAAUCAGCCUUAAAAGUAAAAUACAAAUUAGUUGUUAUUAUUAUUAAUAAAAUAAUAAAAUAAUAAAAUAAUAAAAUAAUAAUAACAAUAAUUAACAUUAAUUAAAAUAAUAAAGUUAAUAUAUUAUAUAACAAAAAAAACAAUAUUUACAUUUAUCAAAUUUUCAUGUGUUUAAAAAAAAUUAUGUGAUAUUACAUUAUUAUCUUUACACAAUCAAUCAUUUUUAUGAUCAAGUUAGGCUAAUGGAUCAAGCUUUAAAAAAUUUAAAACAAUAGGAGUUAUAUAAAUAAAUAUUUAAAAAAUUUUGUUUUAUGAUAUUAUAAUAAACAGUAAAGAUUUAAGUCUUAAUAACCAAUUGAACACAUCUCAACCGUUGACAGUAGCGGCUCGACCUCUAGGCAACUUAAGCGGUUGUCUAGAGCCCCGCUUUACAUUAAGGUCCUAUGAAAUGAUUAUUUUGUAUAUAAAAGGGAAAAGUGAAUUUAAAAGUCAUUACUAUGCAUUUAAUUUGUUAUUAUUUUGUAAUUAUCUUUUUCUAAAUAAACUAUCAAAUUCCUAUAAAGUUUAUUUAAUGUAGUACUUAGUAGUUUUAAUUCCUACAAAACCGAUAAAUUAAUAGUUUCAAUCCUACAAAUUCUCUAUUUAAUUGUUAGAAUUAAUAUGUUAUAAUUAAAAAGUUUUAUAUUCAUUUUAAACCUCUAUAAAAGCCCCACAUUUUAUUACUUAUCUAUUAAAUUUUUCCUCUAAUAAUCAAGACACGAUAUGUUGUUAGUGUUUGAGAGAAAGAAAGACAGAGAUGGAAAAAAUCAUGCUUCCUCUACUUUCCACUCAAGAAGAAAAAAAAAAAUCUAAUAAUUUUCUCUAUACUCUAUGGCUAUUGGUCAUUACUUAAAUCCUCAAAUAAUUAAUAUAAAUAUAAAGUUAAUUCAUGAUUUCAUCUCAAAUUCCAGAUUUUAUCUUUUUAUUAUUCUCUUAAUUAGUUGUGUUAUUUACUUGUUCUUAUUUUUUUUCAAUAUAUUCUUUUAUUCAUCUACUUUUUUUUGUAUGCUUGUUUUAUCUAUUUUGAAAUAAAAUUAUAUCGAAAAACUUUAGAAAAUAGAAAAAUUAGUUUAAUCUAGAAAAGGAGUAGUAAAAAAGAUGUAAUUUGAGUUGAAGAACAAUAAGUGAAAAUAUUAUAAUUGAAUUAAAAUUUAAUAGAUAACCCUAAUUUUUUUAUAAGAACUAAUUAAAAUCAUUUGCCUAGGGCCCCAAAUAUGGUUGAGUCGGCCCUGACCGUUGAACACUUUAGCUAUUAGAUUCAUCAGUUGAAUUAGAAAAAUAUAAAAUUUGGGGUACCGUGCAACUGUUGCAAGGUAGGCGGACACGUUAUAUUUAAUAUAGAAUAAAUAAACUAAAUAUGUGUAAAGAAUAUAGGUUAUUAACCUUGCAAUACUUCAAAAAAUUAUAAAAUAAAAAAGGUGAAAUUUCAAAAUAAGGAACUGUAAAAAGUAUUAGGUUCUAAAAUUUUAUUAUUUUAAUAUUACAAAACUUUACUUUUUUAUAACAUUUUUGUUUUUAAUAUUAGUUGACAUGUUAGUUUAUUUGUAUAUAAAAUAUGUUAAUUUACCUAUAAAAUACUAAUAUUACUCUUGAAAUUUAAGGAAGCCAUUUUAAUUUUUUAAAAUUUUAAAUGUAGCCCAACAAAGUCAUAGAAAUAUAAAUAAAGAAUAGCAUAAAAGGAAGUUAGUUUAAUUUUUUGAAGAAUACUUCAAAAGCAUUUGAGUUUUAUGUUUCUUGAGAAUUAUACCUUUUUGUUUUUUAGAUAUUUGAGCUUGUGAAUCUUGUUGUAAUGAUAAUUUAUUAUUUAUUCUUGAUUAAAAAUAAUUGAAUAGUAAAUUUAUUGGUUUCUAAUUACUCUUUUAAAUGUAGGGCGAUUGCUUAAUUUUUAUUAUGUUACCCUAAAUUUUUUGAUGAUGGCUAAUCAACCACUGCAAAAGACUCUACCAUGAUUAUUUUUACUUUCUCUACAUCCCUCUAGACCAUCAUCACUCAAAGAAUUAAGAGUCCAUUUGGCAUACUGUAUUAUAUUAUACUGUAUUGCAUUAUUUAAUAUAGGUAUAUUGUAUUAUGUUAUAUUACAUUAGUACUAAAUUAUAAUAAUAUUUGUACAACAUUUGGUAAUUGGUAUUACAUUGUACUGCAUUAAUUUUAUAUUAAUAUUAUACUAACAUUAUUUAAAUUUAUUAUUAAUUAUAUUAAAUUAUUAUUUUUAUAUAAAUAUAAUAUGAUAUAAUAAAAUAAUAUGAUAGUAUAAUUUAAUUUUAUAUUUUUAUUUAUUAUUAUAAUAAAUAAAAAUAUAAUAAAAAUAUAUUUAAUGCUUAAUUAAGGUAAAAUAAUAAUAAUAACAAUAGUAUUACUUUAAACAAAAAAAUCUAUAAAGUUUAAAGAUGAUGAUGAUGAUGUUGACGACAUUAAUAAUAACAUAACAAUUAAAAUAAUAAAACAAAUAAAUUUUAAUGAUAUUAAUAUUAAUAAAAUAAUAAUAACAAUAAUUAAAAUAAUAAAAUUAAUAUAUUUUAAUAAUAGUAAUAAAAAUAAUAUUAAUGACAGUAAUAAAAUUAAUAAAUAAUAAUAAUGACUUAAUUAAAAAUAAUCAUAAUAAUUAAAAUAAUAAAUUUUGAUGAUAAUAAUAAUAAUAUUAUUAUUAUUCUUAUUAAUAUAAUAAUAAUGACAUUAAUAAAUAAUACUAAUAAUAACAGUCAAAUGUUUUUGAAAAACCAUUUUAUCCCAAAAAAAGGGACUUAUAUAUAAAAUUUUGUAACUUCUAAUGUCUAUUCAAUUUUUUCAUAAAAUAUAAGGUAGUGCAGUGUAAUUAAUAAAAAAGACAAAAUUCGGUGGUAUGCUGCAAUUGUUGCAACAUAGUUUCAUCUUUAUUUGUGAUCCUAAAGUUUGAGAUAUGUGAUCCUUAUUCUAUUGUGUCAAUUAUAGUCCAGUCCAAUGCCGCCAUCAUUAUCGAACAGUCGAUAUCCAACACUUGCACGAAGAUUCCAAGAAGUUGUGUGGCUGCCGACUUUUAAAUGCUAAGCCUUAUUGUGUCGAAGAUACACAAAACAGAGCAGUCCAGGUAAUUGCCAAAACUUAGAACUAAACAGUAGCUUAGUCAGAAAAUCAAACAAGUACCAAUAAAAUGACUGAUAAAAAUAUAAAGAAAUCAGUCAAAUCACGAAGAUUGAAGAGUAAAUCAAUGGUUUUAGAUUUUUAUUUUUUUUUUUAGAUAAUAGAUAUUAUUUUGAUGAAUUUUUUAAUAUUAGAAUAAUGUUAGGAAUUCCAAUAGUAGAAUUCUAGCUUAAGACCCAAUUAUUAUGUGUCAUUUUUUUAUUGGAUAAUGAAUUUCAUAACUAAUAAAAUUAAUAUUUCGAUCAUUUAAUAAAUGACUACCAUAUUAGUUGAGACUCAAUUAUUAGGAUCAUUAACAUUGCUCUUAGUAUUAAAUUGGACAUCUUAUCCAAAUCAGAUUAAAAAUCAAAUUAGAUUUUAAGCUUUUAUUCAACAUCUCCUUUUUUUUUUUUUUUUUUGGUCUAUUUGAAGUGAACAAAAUAAAAAUACAUUAGGGUCAACGACUGGGCAAUUGAUAGUCAAGUAUUUUGUUGUUUUUGCUACCUUGAAUUAAAUUUUCUCAAUUAGAUCAACAAGCAUUAAGCUUGAAUUAAAUUAUGCAAGGUUCAUUUCUUUUGUUUGAUGCAAAAAAAGAAAAAAAAGAAAAAAAAAUGUUUACAUUCUUGGCGACUUGAGUAGAAAUAAGCGUUUUGAUAUCAUAAGGUUCAUUCAAUGAGUUCAUUCUUCCCAUUUUGAUCUCUUUUUCUUUCAUAGACAUUUCUUUUUCAUUUAACCCCAUUACAACAUUUCUAAGACCCUUAGAUUUUUGCAUUUAAUUCAUGUUUUAUGGAUUGAGAUGUGAUAUAUGAGCAAGCUCAUGAUAAUAGCAUUCUUUGAUUUGAUUUGAGUGCAUAAAUGAUACCUUAAACACUUUGAGUACAUGGAGUGAAGUUAAUGAGAGGGCUAUUAAAUCUUGUUGCACUUGAAUUUUGAAUGGAUAUUUGAUAACUCUAGGAAAUGAGAGUUAUUACAUCAAUUCUAGACUUGAAUCAAGGUCACUUAGAGAACAAAUAAAGUGUUUUUAUUACAUUUUGGGUACCUUUUUGCAUAAACAUUCAUUUUAGUUGAGUCUAAUAAAUUUUGCUUGAAUCAUAGUAAUUUGUGCUAAAAACAGGUUUUAAAUUGUAGGUUUUAAAUUCGUGAGAGGAUGUUGAGGCAUUAGAAGAGCAAGAGGAGGAAGGAAGUUGGCCACAAAAGAAGUAAAGCACAAUCGGGAAUAAAACAGUAUUGUAGCAGCUGUUAGAGCAACCAGUGCUAUAACAAUCUUGGAGCAAUGCGGGAGAAAACUUAGGCGCGAGUCAGCCACAAAAUCGUGAUCUGCAUGUUUCCUAAUUCAAGCAUAUGCACGCUCAUAGGCUUUGGUUUAACCUAAUUUGCAAUAUAAAAAAGAGGCGUGCAGCACAUAGAAAGGCGGCAAGGAAUUAUCAUAAAAAAUAAUUACAAAGGCAAGAAGAAGGAGAUCAAGAUUAAAGAGUGCUAUUCGGAAACAAAAGGAGAGAGCCGUGCAGAAUUAUUUGCCUUUCAUCGUGCUCAACUUAUAUUUUCUCUUUUUCCUUGAAUUGUUGGGAUGUAUUCCGAGUUCAACAUAUUUGUGUUUAUUUUUCUCAUCCAGAUUAUGAACUAAAUUUACUUGUGGUUGAGUGAAAAAUAAUCCAAUGGGUUCUUGACUAUUCUUUUAUGUUGUUAUGGUAAUGUUGUAGCAUUAUACUCUAGUAGUUUUUAUGAAUACAACUGUUGUUUCGGUUCACCACCCAUUUAAUAGUUUCAGUUAAGAUAGAGCAGCAAAAGGGCAUGUCUUAGCGGACAUUAUUAGAGUAUUACUUGUUCUUAAGUCGAGUUUCCUGGAAUAUGUUAUCUUGAAUCCCAUAAGGGCAAUACUUGAAGUUAAGAUUUGUGACACUCUAGACAUAGGUGUUCACCUUGUAGGGUAGAGAGAUUAAAGGUUAUAAUGCCAUACCAUAAAUAUAUGAGCAACUGGUCAUUGUUAGUAGAUUUAAAAGUAUGAAAUUUCCAACAUGCGAUAGCUGCGGAUGCAGAUUUAUUCUACCCAUUGCUGCAGCACUUAUUGAAACAAUUGGUGCUAAUUUGGUAAACAACAGUCACCCCAUUAGGAGAGUUUGAUCAUUCAACUACUAUAUUUUCAAUUGAAUCUUAGACACAUUUAACUUAGUUUACUUCAUUACAGUAUUGUUUUAUUUUCAUCUCUCAUAAUUAUUAGUUACAGCAGAAUUAUUUGACAAUUGUUUGUUUCGAUCUUUAAUUGAUUUGCACUAUUGUGAUUGUUUUAGCAUUUUGAGUAACAGCAAUCCCUGUGGAGACGAUCUUGAAUACUCAUCACUUUAUUACUUGUUGUGUAUACUUGCACAUUGGCAUUGAUAAUAAUUGCUUAUAGAAAUUAACCAACAAGUUUUUGGCGCCGUUGCUGGGGAUUGAUUGUUUAUUUUUGAAGUGUGAAGUAAAUCUUGAUAGCGCCAAAUCUGAUUUGAUUUAUUCUAUUUAUUGGCAGAUCGGUACAUGCAUGUGUAAAGACAAAUCUGUGGUAUUCUAAUUCGAUCCUGAGAUUGAAAGGACUGUCAGGAGAUUACGAAGAGAACAAAGGAAUUCAGAAAUUGCUUCAAGCAUGAAUAAUUUACAAGAUGCAGGAAAUUUGAAUCCUCACGGGCCCUUACAACCAGUGAACAUUCAAGAAGAGCAGAAUGACCAUGCUAACGGGAGACAGCCAGGCAAUAACAAUAUUAUUUACAUGGCUGAUGACAGAGACAGAGCUAUAAGAGACUAUGUUGUGCUAACUCCUCAAGUUAUAUAUCCUGGCAUCAUCAGACCUGAAGUAGACGCUGCCAAUUUUGAGUUGAAGCCAGUGAUGUUUCAAAUGUUGCAAACUGUUGGGCAUUUUAUUGGAUUACCAAAUGAAGAUCCUCAUCUCCAUCUUAAAUUGUUCUUGGAAGUAAGUGAUGCUUUCAAGAUUGCUGAAGCAACACAAGAUGCCUUAAGGCUGCGGCUUUUCCCUUAUUCCUUAAGAGAUCGAGCAAGAGUAUGGUUAAAUUCGUUACCAUCUGAUUCCAUCACUACAUGGAAUGAAUUGGCUGAUAAAUUCUUAAUGAAAUAUUUCCCACCGACAAAAAAAUGCGAAGUUGAGGAAUGAGAUUACUUCCUUCCAUCAACUUGAAGAUGAAAGUUUGUACGAGGCUUGGGAAAGAUUCAAGGAAUUGCUCAGAAGGUGUCCUCAUCAUGGUAUCCCUUGUUGCAUUCAAUUGGAAACUUUUUACAAUGGGUUGAAUCCAAGUACAAGGUUAAUGGUGGAUGCUUCAGCAAAUGGAGCUCUGUUAUCCAAAUCUUACACUGAAGCCUAUGAAAUUCUGGAAAGAAUUGCCAACAAUAAUUACCAGUGGCCUUCAGCCAGGCAACCAGCAGCAAGAGGAUCAGCAGGGGUACAUAACAUUGAAACAAUUACAGCUUUAUCAGCUCAAGUAACCUCAUUGACUAACAUGGUAAAAGCCAUGACAGCUGCUCCAGCAACAGUAAAGCAAGUUACUGAACUUUCUUGUGUCUACUGUGGUGAAGAACAUGAUUUUGAUAAUUGUCUUGGAAAUCCAGCCUCAGUAAACUAUGUGGGUAACUUCAAUCGACAACCUCAGAACAACCCAUAUUCAAAUACUUACAACCCAAGCUGGAAACAACACCCAAAUUUCUCAUGGAGCAGUCAAAAUCGAAAUGCUCCAGCAUUGAAUGGACUAAGUACAAACACACAACCACUUAGUUUUCAUUAGCAAAGUCAAGGGCAAAAGCAUAUUAGUCAGGAUCCAAUCACUUCACUAGAAACACUGAUUAAGGAGUAUAUUGCAAAGAAUGAAGCAAUUGUGCAAAGUCAAGCUGUAUCUUUAAGAAACCUUGAGAACCAAAUGGGACAACUAGCUACAGCAAUGAGCAGCAGAACUCAAGGAAGCCAACCUAGCAACACAGAAGACCCUAGGAGAGAGGGCAAAAAAGAAGUUACAACACCAGUAGUUACAACUUGCACAAAAUCAAACAAACAAAGUUUAAUAUCCCCUGAAGUUACCCAGCAGUUUAGACAUCCACCACCUUUCCUACAAAGGUUCCAGAAGCAAAAAUAAGACAAGCAGUUCAGCAAAUUCCUGGAAGUGCUGAAAUAAUUGCACAUAAACAUACAUUUUGUGGAAGAUUUGGAGCAAACGCCAAAUUAUGUUAAAUUUCUAAAAGAUAUCUUGGCACGAAAAAGAAGGCUGGGAGAGUUUGAAACUGUUGCUUUAACACAAGAAAGCAGUCAUAUGCUCCAGAGCAAAAUUCCCACAAAAUUGAAAGAUCCAGGGAGUUUUACAAUACCUUGUUCUAUAGGAACUAGAUAUGCUGGCAGAGCACUUUGUGACUUGGGAGCUAGUAUUAAUCUGAUGCCAUUAUCUGUAUUUAAGCAACUGGGAGUAAGGGAGUGCAGACCAACAACAGUCACUCUGCAAUUAGCUGACAGAUCUCAUGCAUACCCUGAAGGAAAGAUAGAGGAUGUAUUGGUGAAGGUUGACAAAUUCAUCUUUCCAGUGGAUUUCAUUGUGUUGGACUUUGAAGCCGACAAAGAGGUACCCAUUAUACUUGGAAGACCUUUUCUAGCAACUGGAAAAACUCUGAUAGAUGUGCAGAAAGGAGAGCUCACCAUGAGAGUGAAUGAUCAGCAAGUCACAUUUAAUGUGCUAGAGGCAAUGAGAAACCCUAGAAGAUUGUAAUUUCCUAAGUGUAGUGGAUCUUGUUGUAGCAGACAGAAUGGACAGAUGCUGCAGUAAUAUACUUGACAAAGUCACCACCUUUGAGGAUGUUGAAGAGGAAGAUGUUGCAGCAAUCCAAACAGAUUGGAUGGACAAACAACAAUCUGAUAGGUACAACAGGUUUAUUGAACACCUGAAUCUUUUAGACAUGGAAGUAAAAACAACUUUACCAUCUAUUGAAUCACCUCAUAAUUUUGAGUUAAAAUUGUUACCUUCACAUUUAAAGUAUGCUUAUCUUGGUCAAAACAACACACUCCCUGUAAUCAUUUCUUCUACUUUGGAUGCAGGUCAAGAACAUAGUUUAGUAGAUUUGCUGGGAAAAUACAGAAGAGCAAUUGGAUGGACCAUGGCAGAUAUAAGGGGGAUAAGCCCAUCCAUCUGUAUGCAUAAAAUCCUAUUAGAGGAUUGUUCCAGCAAUUCGGUGGAACACCAGAGAAGGCUGAAUCCUAUUAUGAAAGAAGUGGUGAAGAAGGAAAUCAUCAAAUGGCUAGAUGCUGGAAUCAUAUACCCAAUAUCAGACAGUUCAUGGGUAAGCCCAGUUCAGUGUGUUCCAAAGAAAAGAGGGAUAAUAGUAAUGGCUAAUGAGAAUAAUGAACUUAUUCCUACAAGGACAGUGACUGGAUGAAGAGUGUGUAUGGAUUACAAGAAGCUUAACAAAGCCACAAGGAAAGACCAUUUCCCACUUCCAUUCAUAGAUCAGAUGUUGGACAGACUUACUGGAAAACAGUACUACUGUUUCUUAGAUGGGUAUUCAGGCUACAACCAGAUUGCUAUAGUUCCAGAGGAUCAAGAGAAGACUACAUUUACUUGUCCUUAUGGAACAUUUGCCUUCAGAAGAAUGCCAUUUGGGCUAUGCAAUGCUCCAGCAACUUUUCAGAUAUGCAUGAUGUCUAUAUUUUCUAAUAUGGUAGAGCAAACUUUGGAAGUUUUCAUGGAUGACUUCUCAGUUUUUGGAGAAACAUACAAUGAUUGUUUACACAACUUGGAAGAAGUUCUUAAAAGAUGUGAGAUGACCAACUUAGUACUCAAUUGGGAAAAGUGCCAUUUCAUGGUGCAAGAAGGAAUAGUGCUGGGUCACAAGAUAUCCAAGGAUGGUAUUGAGGUAAACAAAGCCAAGUUAGAGGUAAUAGAUAAACUGCCACCUCCAACUUCAGCAAAGGGUGUUAGGAGUUUUUUGGGUCAUGCUGGAUUCUACAGAAGAUUCAUUAAGAAUUUCUCCAAUGUAGCUAAACCUCUGUGUUCAUUGCUGGAGCAUAACAAACCAUUUCACUUUGAUACAGAGUGCCUUAAGGCAUUUGGAGAAUUAAAGAAAGCUCUUAUCAUUGCUCCAGUAGUUAUAUCUCCAUAGUGGACUUUACCAUUUGAAUUGAUGUGUGAUGCUAGUGAUCAUUCUGUGGGGGCAGUAUUAGGGCAAAGAAAGGAUAAGGUUUUUCAUUCCAUAUACUAUGCAAGCAAAACGUUCACUCCAACUCAGAUCAAUUACACAACUACAGAGAAAGAGUUGCUAGUAGUAGUUUUACUUUUGACAAAUUCAGAGCUUACCUGGUGGGUACCAAAGUAACUGUUUACACAAACCAUGCAGCCAUCAAAUAUUUAAUUUCAAAGAAGGAUGCCAAACCAAGAUUAAUCAGAUGGAUCUUAUUGCUUCAAGAAUUUGAUCUGGAAAUUAAAGAUAGAAAGGGGACUAAGAAUCAAGUGGCAGACCACUUGUCACGGUUGGAAUCAGACACUAGUACAUUGACAAGGAAGGACAUCACCGAAACUUUUUCUGAUGAACAGUUGUUGGUAAUACAGCAAGCACAGAUGCUGCAGCAGUCAGAAUCUCCAUGGUAUGCAGACUUUGCUAACUACUUAGUAAGUGGGUUGCUACCACCUGAGCUGAAGUUUUAAGAGAAAAAUAAAUUUCUUCAUGAUGUUAGAAGUUAUCAGUGGGAUGACUCACAUUUAUAUAAGCUAUGCUCAGAUCAAGUAAUAAGAAGAUGUGUUGCAGCAGAAGAAAUACCUCAUAUACUGGAGUCAUGUCAUGCUGCAGCAUAUGGAGGAUAUUUUGGUGGUCACAGAGCAACUGCCAAAGUUAUGCAAUCAGGUUAUUAUUGGCCCACUAUCUUUAAAGAUGCUUAUGAAUUUGUUAAAUGUUGUGAUAUGUGUCAAAGGACAGGGAACAUAACUAGCAGACAUGAGAUGCCUUUGACUAACAUAUUGGAAGUGGAAGUUUUUUAUGUUUGGGAAAUAGAUUUCAUGGGACCUUUUCCCCCAUCCUUUGGGAACUUAUAUAUCAUUGUUGCUGUAGAUUAUGUCUCCAAGUGGGUAGAAGCUGCAGCAUUACCUACCAAUGAUGCUAAAACAGUGGUGACUUUUCUUCAAAAAAAUGUUUUCUCUAGGUUUGGCACUCCUAGAGCAAUUAUUAGUGAUGAAGGCACACAUUUUUGCAACAAAAUCUUUGCUGCAGCAAUGAUGAAAUAUGGAGUCAGACACAAGAUAGCAACAGCAUAUCACCCACAAUCCAAUGGUCAGGCUGAAGUGUCCAACAGAGAAAUUAAAAAGAUCUUAGAAAAAGUGGUGAACCCAAAAAGGAAGGAUUGGUCUUUACAUUUGCAUGACUCUCUAUGGGCCUACAGAACAACAUACAAAACUCCACUCGACAUGUCUCCUUACCGAAUUGUUUAUGGCAAAGCAUGUCAUUUGCCACUAGAGCUAGAGUACAAAGCCCAUUGGGCAUUAAAGAAAUUAAAUUAGGAUAUGCAUGCUGCAGCAGGGCAAAGGAAACUUCAACUUUGUGAGCUUGAUGAAUUACGGCUGUUUUCAUAUGACAAUGCAAGAAUCUAUAAAGAGAGAACAAAACACUGGCACGACAAGCAUAUUCAACACAGGAAAUUCACCCCUGGUCAAUUAGUGUUACUCCACAAUACAAGACUAAGAUUAUUUCCAGGAAAGCUCAAGUCAAGAUGGUCUGGCCCGUUUAAGUUGUUAAAAUCUUACCUUCAUGGAGCUGUUGAUCUUCUAGAUGAACAAACAGGCCACGAGUUCAAGGUUAAUGGACACAGGGUUAAGCAUUACAUACAUCCAGCAGCAGAAUGUUCAAAGGAGGUGUUACUCCUUAAAGAACCUAGCUAUUGAACAAAGAAGGAAGGUCAUGCUGAAGGACCUUAAAUCAAGCGCUUCAUGGGAGGCAGCCCAUUGAGGAGAUAGCCACUUCAAACCAAGUUUGAUAGCCUUUGGUUUUGUAGACAGCUUUCUCUCUUUGCCAUCUUAUUUAAUUUCUGUUUUUCUAUGAUUAGCCCUUAUUUUCAUCCAUUUACAUUAUUGCAUUCUUUACUUUCACUUUAAUUUGCUAUAUCUAUUUCUUUUAAUAAAUUUUAGACUUAAUGUUAGUAAGUGUGAUAAUUGAAUUUCAUAUUGACAAGUGAGAGUGAAUGGUGGCAGAAUUCAGAGGUGAAUCACGUGUUAGAAGCUUUUAGUGGGGAGUCUGUAUCCGUUGUUAGAAUAAGCGAAUGGGUGCUGCAGCAGCUAAUUUUACCGUUACAGUAAAUUAAAAGCUGGAGCCUUUCACUUACCGUUGGAGAUAAAAUCGUGACAGAUGGAUGCAUGGACAUGGAUAGAAAAUUGAGGAAACCAAUCUAUGAAAUUAAAGCUUUAAUUUCAUUGGCCGAUAAUUUUGGGGAUAUGGACAUUUAAUUCAAAUAUUUUAUUCCCUCAAUUAUCUCUCGUUACCGUAUUUAUCUUCAAAUUAAAGUCCAUUAUAAAAAAGAAUCACUGUGCUUAGUGCUCUACGCCACUAUUCCCCAUCUCCUUCGCAAAGACAACUCUAAAAACUCUUAAACUCUUUUUCUCUUUUUAUUCUCAGGAACAGUAGCUUCAAUUUGUUAUUGCUACAGCAAUGCCGAGAUACAAGAAAAUAGUCAGUCGCCUCAAAGAUCUAUCACGAUUCCAGAGUUACCACGCUGAAGAAAAAUAUGAAGAAUUCAUAGAGCCACGUCGGAUUCUGGAAGAAAAAAGGGUUUCAAUUCCCAGACCAACUCACGGGAAUUGUGCAAACCAUUCAUAAUGCUAUAGCAAAGCGAGGAUGGUUAGAGUUUUGCAACCACCCUCGCGAUCCUGUGUUGCCUGUAGUCAAAGAAUUUUACGCCAAUUUGGUGUUCGUCUUGACGCUAGAGAUGAACAUGUAAAAAAUGAUGGUGCCUGUACGGCACGUACCAUUGAGAGAGUUGCUGGUGAGAGUGCUGGAACAACCACUGAACCAGCUGCUAUCACUGGAGCAAGACGAGCCAUUGGUUUAGAACAGACUAUCCAGGUACUCAGCAAUAGUAUAACUCAAUGUGUGGAAGCUCAACAGAGGGAAAAUGGUCGAUUUUGGAGCUAUCUACAGCACUUGGAUAACCAACUACACCAAUUUGAUCUGUACAUGAAACGCACUCACUGGAACUUCCCUGAUGCACUGCUCCAGCAGUUCCAUUUUGCCAUAAACACCACAGGUGCUCCAGCAGCAGCCAGUGAAGAAGCCACUCCUUCAGAUGAACCAGCAGAGGACGCUGCCACUGAGCUACAAGCAGCAGUCGACUCAGAAGAGGCUGAACCGUCUGAUCCACCUGAGGACGAAGGUGACAAGUCUGAGACUGAUAGCUCACCCUCAGAGGCAGAGGAUAACUCAGAGAAAGAAAGUGAGGAACCAACCAUCCCAAGCUAGCCCAAAACUAGAAAAAAGCAUAUUAUUCAAGAAGAAGAAGAGGAAGACCUUGAAGAGGAGCUGCCUAUUCCAGUCUUUAAGGGUAAGAGGAAGGAUAAGGGUAAAGCAAAAUUGGCAACCCCUCCAGCCUCUGAAGAUGAAAUGGAGCAAGUCGAUGCUGAGUUGGCUGCUGCAGCAGCCAGAGCUAUGCCUACACCUGAGCAAGCCUAGCAACUACUUGCGGUUAUUGCUGCCAUCACCGCUGAGGGCCAGGCAGCUGAUGCAUUGACUCAAAAGCCUCCACAGCAAACUCCUGACCAGCCUAUCCGCACCAGUCCAAGACAAUCCAGCAAAUGAAAAGGCAGUACGUCUACAGGUACUGCUACAACAACCCCAGCCACCACUCCUCUCACCAGCCCCGCAGCGAAAAAGACAAAGACAUUGCCAGCCACUUCCCCAAAAGCUUCACCAAAGGAUAAGCUGCGCAGUGCGUCCAAGAAGCGCUGAUAGCAUCCUGUCAUGUGCUGCAGUCCCCACCACAGGGGAGUACUCUUUCCUUACUAGUGCAUUAAAAAAAAAAAAUUCAAUUUGUGUGUCAUUGUUAUGUUUGCUUGUGAGGACACAGCAACUCUCAAGUUUGGGGCGGGUUGUGUUCCCAAAUGCAUAUGUUUAUGUUUGUAUGCAUGUGUUUAUGUUUGUGUGGUGUGGAGCUCUAUUAUCUAAUAUUUGUGUAUGGAUUUGAAAGCCUAAUGAAGAUAAAUUGAGUGCUAUUCAAUAUAUAUAUGCCAAGUAGAGAUAGUUAUAGAUGAAAGUGAAAUUCUGUCCCGACACUUAGACUUUGGUUGAAUUGUACGAGACUGUUAGAGCAAAGCCAAAAGAAGAGAAAAGAUCUCAAGUUUGGGGGGGGGGGGUAGAAGCAAGUUUGAAUAACUGUGAUAUCUAUGGAAUACAAUUUGUUCCAAUGACUCAAGUUGCUGAGUAACCAUAUCUGAGUAUGUACCCCAUAUGCAGACUUGUGUUCAAAGGUAGCGAGAGUUAUGAGCAAUGCUGCACCAUAUAUAUAUAUAUAUAUAUAUAAAGAAAUCAUCUGUCUAAGGCAUUGAGUAGUUAGGUCUGUUCAUGAGCCCCAUGUUCAGCCUUGAGUAAAAGAUACUUCUAGAUAAGAUUACCUUACAAUUACUGGUGCAGCAACUCUAAUCUGGGCAUGGUUUGAUUAAUUGGGUGUCAUCAUUACAAUUGAUUGACAUUCACAUGAAAGAUAAAUGUUACAGUGAGGAGGUUAAAUAUUUCCUAGUUUGUCAAUCCUAAAAUAAUCACAGUUGAGUAUGUGAAAGUUAUGAUUACCCCAUUUAUGAAUGAAGUGUUCUCACUGUUGAAAUUCAUGCAAUCCCUUGGUGAUGCUAUAGCAUAUCUAGAAUUCAACCGAAAGAGCACACACACACACUAUGGACAGAAAGAAGCUUAAGUCUAGGACUAAUUUACUAUGGUCAUCUUGCUUGAUUGAGAAUAUGAUCUAAAGGUGGAAGAAUCCUUGCAAAGUUGAUAAAAGAGUUAAAUUUGUGUAAAGUGUUAGUAUGUGUCAUUACUUGAGGACAAGUAAUAGUUUAAGUUUGGGGGUGUGAUAACUCUAGGAAAUGAGAGUUAUUACAUCAAUUCUAGACUUGAAUCAAGGUCACUUAGAGAACAAAUAAGGUGUUUUUAUUACAUUUUGGGUACCUUUUGCAUAAACAUUCAUUUUAGUUGAGUUUAAUAAGUUUUGCUUGAAUCAUAGUAAUUUGUGCUAAAAACAGGUUUUAAAUUGUAGGUUUUAAAUUCGUGAGAGGAUGUUGAGGCAUUAGAAGAGCAAGAGGAGGAAGGAAGUUGGCCACAAAAGAAGUAAAGCACAAUCAGGAAUAAAACAGUGUUGUAGCAGCUGUUAGAGCAACCAGUGCUGUAGCAAUCUGGGAGCAAUGCGGGAGAAAACUUAGGCGCGAGUCAGCCACAAAAUCGUGAUCUGCAUGUUUCCUAAUUCAAGCAUAUGCACGCUCAUGGGCUUUGGUUUAACCUAAUUUACAAUAUAAAAAGGAGGCGUGCACCACAUAGAAAGGCGGCAAGGAAUUAUCAUAAAAAAUAAUUACGAAGGCAAGAAGAAGAAGAUCAAGAUUAAAGAGUGUUAUUCGGAAACAAAAGGAGAGAGUCGUGCAGAAUUAAUAGUUUCAGUUAAGAUAGAGCAGCAAAAGGGCAUGUCUUAGCGGACAUUAUUAGAGUAUUACUUGUUCUUAAGUCGAGUUUCCUGGAUUAGGUUAUCUUGAAUCCCAUAAGGGCAAUACUUGAAGUUAAGAUUUGUGACACUUUAGACAUAGGUGUUCACCUUGUAGGGUAGAGAGAUUAAAGGUUAUAAUGCCAUACCAUAAAUAUAUGAGCAACUGGUCAUUGUUAGUAGAUUUAAAGGUAUGAGAUUUCCAACAUGCGAUAGCUGCGGAUGCAGAUUUAUUCUACCCAUUGCUGCAGCACUUAUUGAAACAACUGGUGCUAAUUUGGUAAACAACAGUCACCCCAUUAGGAGAGUUUGAUCAUUCAACUACUAUAUUCUCAAUUGAAUCUUAGACACAUUUAACUUAGUUUACUUCAUUACAGUAUUGUUUUAUUUUCAUCUCUCAUAAUUAUUAGUUACAGUAGAAUUAUUCGAUAAUUGUUUAUUUCGGUCUUUAAUUGAUUUGCACUAUUGUGAUUGCUUUAGCAUUUUGAGUAACAUCAAUCCCCGUGGAGACGAUCUUGAAUAGUCAUCACUUUAUUACUUGUUGUGUAUACUUGCACAUUGGCAUUGAUAAUAAUUGCUUACAGAAAUUAACCAACAAUAUUCUUGGUGGUUGAUUUUGUUUUUUUAUACUAGCUUAUGAGAUCCUAUGCUUUAAAAUUCUUGUCUCUCGAAUGUUGAUUGAUUUAAAUUCUUGAGGUAUGCUUGCUUAAGAUUAUUUUUGGAUGAGUUGAGAUGAGAAUUGAGUGGAGAUUUGGGAUUAGUCUUGAGUUAUAUGCUUGAGGACAAGCAUUAUCUUGGUGUGGGGGAAUUUGUUAGAGUACAAUUUAUGCACUAGUUUUGCAUUGUUUACCUCCUUUAAUAUCGAUGUUUUGCACUUAAUAAUAGUGAUUUACUUGUGUUUUAUUUUUGUAGGUGCAAUUCGAUUGAUUGGUGCUAAAAUUGAGCUACAAGAUGAUGUUAGAGGAUGAUUGUUUUCCUGGAGAAAUUAUGAGCUUCAGAAGAACUUUGUUGAUAAGGCGUGGGCGCGUGCUGUCAACUAAGGACCUGCAGUUUUUAUUUUAACGUGUUUUGUCUCUUUGUUUAUUUUUGUAAUUUUGAAUUUAAUAUUUAGAUAAUAUUUUAGAUAUUAGUAUUUUAUUUUUGGAAAAACUCUAUAAGAGAAAGGAGACGUGAAAAACAAAGGAGGAUGAGAUUUUUAAAAAAAGAAAAAGAAACCCUAGAUCUAAAUUUUUCUCUUCUCUCUAUGAAGAACUAACCUAUUAUUCUGGUUGAAGGUUAAUAAAGCUUUGAUUCGUCAUUACUGGGAGAUCUUUCUUAUGCUUUAAUUGUUUUAUUACUUUUUGGGUAUUUGUUUAUUCUCUAAAUUAUGGUUAUGAUUAUGUUUGUUAAUUAGAUAAUUGGCCACUAUUUAAUUAUCAACUUAAUCUAUUGUCAAUUAAAAGAUUCAUCGUAUGAAGAUUUUAAUGUUUGUGACAAAUAGCAUAGCAAUGCGUUGUGUUAUGAGAAUAAACAAUCUAAUUUAAAUGAACCAUCGUAUGCGUUUGUUGAUUAGGAUUUGGGUCUCUUUGGUUUUUCAGGUUGUCAAUUGAUUAAACCCUAUGAUCGUAUCUAGGGUUGUCUAUUGAUUAGGGAAAUAACCAAUGGUCGUACCUUGGUUAUCGACUAGUUAAUGAGAGAUUAACUAUUAGAGGGUCUCAGUAGCUAUAAUCGGUCUAUUCAUAAGUAGUAAUGAUUUAUAUUUGAAUCAAUGAUCAGUAGUCGAAUCAAGCUGAGUUAAUUCCUUCAACUAGAGCUUUUCUCAAUUUGAAUUACACAUUUAAUUUGCAUUCUUGUUAUUUUAAUUUGAUUUUUAUUAUUGUCAAAAAUCCCCCCAUUUUGUAUUUUACAUUUUAAAAGGAUUCAAAUAAUUACCGAUCUCUGUGGACACGACCCUGCUCAAUCACUAUACACAAUUUAUUUAGAGUAGGUAUUUAGUUUUGCUGGCUUCGACAACCAUUAAUAUUAAAAAAUAAAUUUAUAUUUAUCAAGUAUAAAAAAUAAAUAGACAAACAAAAAUAAUAUGUUACCUAAAAUAAUGACAAUAUCAAUAUUUAACACUCUAUAAUUUAGUGAUGUGUUGUCCAACUGCCAUACAUUGGUCCCAAACAGAGCCUUAAAUAUCAAAGUCCAAAGUUAUUGUGAUGAUGACUUAUAAUCGCCAAACUUGACAUACGGGUAAUCAUGCAUUAUAAGGUGCUGAUUUCUUACUAUCAGAACCUUAUUUGUCAUCUAUAAAUAAAUAAAUGAUGUGACUUCACGGUUGGCGGGGUCCUUUGUAUCUCCUUUUGCAUCUACUUUUGUUGUUAACAUUACUUUCAAAAGCAGCUCGUUAUGUAUGCAACAUUUCAAAAUUAAUCUAAAAAAAACAAAAAUUAGUUCAGCUGACUAAAUUUGAAAGCAUGGAUUUGCUGUCGAUUAAAAACCGUUUUGUAGGGAAAAUUUUUGGAUUGCAAUUCUCAUAUAAUACAUAGAAUUAUCAUAAUUUAUAAAUUUUAUUUUCGCUUUUCUGUGGUAGUAAGUCAGACUCCUUAGUGACAAUUUAAUUUGAAAAAAUAAAAUCAUAAAUAAGAAUUAUUCGAUAAGAAUUAAAAUAAUUGAUAAAUAUUUGAGACGUGCAAUUUUGGAAGAUUCGAUUUCUAAUAGGAGGGGAAUUUAAAUUUUACAGCCUUUGGUGAGGAAUCCAAAAUGCACAAUUUGAUGAAAAUUAAAUUUCAAUAGAAAUUGAAUUCCCAUAUAUUAGUGAAAACCAAACAACAGAAAAGUGAAAUGAAUUUGAAUUUAUUUCCUUCCUCUCUUCUCCCUCCAACUAAAUACCAUUGAAAUCCAAAGGUAUGGGAUUUGUUUCGGAGUUUAAGAUUGAAAUUAAUCCCAAUUGUUGAUUUGGGACUAGAUAAGAAUUUAUCUUGGAACUCCAAUUCUCCCAAUUAUUUUAGUUGACAAUAUGUUUAACAUUAUUUUUUUAACAUUAUUAAUUGCAUAUUAUUUAAUUGUCAGUAUAUAAUAUUCUUUAAUUUUCUAAUUUAUAGGAUUAGACGCAAAAUUGAUUAUGGCUUUUGAAAUUUAAGUGUUAUGUCAAUUGAAUAGAAAACAUGGAGUAAAAAUUUUGGAUGCUUUUGUUGAUUAUCAAUUUAUGCAUGAAUUUUUGUACAUUUACUUUGGUUUAUUAUUAUUACUUUUAAACAUUUUUAUUAGUUUGGUUUAGGGUCAGUUUGGUAAUCCUGUAGCUUUUACAAUAAUUACAAUUAGCUAUGCUGUAGAAAUUGAUCAAUCGUGAGGAGAAUCAGCUGAACAUUUAGUAAAAUUUAUUUUUAAAAGUACUUUUAGUUUUAAAAACAGUCGUAUGUAUUUCUUAAAUCUUAUUGUUAAACUGGUGCAAGAAUAUAAAUGAUGAAUUGGACAUAAUGCGAAAUAAAAUUUAUUUACAAACAUGUAUAUAAAAUAUUUUUAUUAUGUACAUAUAAUUAUUGAUAACUAAAAUAAAUAUUUUAUAUUAUUAAAUUUUAUUCUCUAUUUUGUUAUCUCAAUAUAAUUGGUAAUAAUAAUAAUCUUUUUAAAGUUAAUGAUUUUAUUUCUUAAUUAAUAAAGAUAAUUUUGGAUUUUUAUUAUAUAAUGAGAAUAUAUAUAUAGAAUUGGAUUAAGUAUAGAAGUGAUUCUCAAAACCAGAUUUUGAAAAACUAUUCAUUCCCUACUUUUCAAAAUCUAAUGUAUGAUGAAAUGAUUUUGCCAAAACUAAUUACUAAAAAAAUUUAUAAAACACUAAGAAUUAACUUUUACUUUUUAAAAUCACUUUUAAGCUUCCCAAAAACAAUCCUAAGGGCCUUUAUUUGGGUGGUGUUGGAACUUGUAACUUUUGGAUCUUUUAGCUUUUAUUGGUUUGACACAACUGUUACACUAAAAAUUAAAUGCAUCUUAAACCCCAAACUUCUUCUUCUUCUUUUUUGAUUGCACAAAAUUAAAAACAAUAGUGAACACAUUCUUUAAUAAACAAUAAGUAAUAACUAAAAUUGCGUUAAAGAAUUUAGUUGAUAUAUAAAUUGAUUUCAAUGUUGUAUAUGCUAAAUUUCUUAAAAGUUUUCUUUCACAAUCUGCUGCAUAGUUUUAUUAGUAUUUUGAAUAAAUAAAAAUAAUUGAUUUAUAUUUUUUUAAAGAAACUUAUUAGGUUCAUGUAAAGAUGUUUUUUUUUUUAUUUUAAAAAAGUGUACAAAGUAAAACUUAAUUUUUUAAAUUUAUUAGAUGAGUGCAUAUAAUAUUUGAGUGUUCAUAGUAAUUUUUAAAGCAUAGAUAGUCGGGCCCUAAUAUUUUUAAUAUACGGAAAUUUUGCUAAUAUGUUAAUGAGAAUUAAAAUGAUAAUUAAGGGAGGCAUUCGAGACAGUCAGGAUAGUUAGGAUGGGACAUCAUUGUGAGCGGUUUGAGAUUGGUCCUAAUUUUGAUCACAAAUAUAUAAACUGGAUGAGUGUAUCCAUACUUACAUUCCAUUUGAUAAUUAAGAUAAAUGUGGAAUUGUCAAAUCCCAAAUCAUCCCAGACCAUUGCCACCAAAGGUACUCUCACUAAUAAUAUCUAAAGAAUAAUCUACAUCUAUUUCAUACUUUUUUUUUAACGGAAAGAGCCCUCAUGUGGCUUGAAAUGUUAUCCUAAAUAAUAUUCAGAAUAUCAUACCAUGAUUGGGUUUGUGACAAACAAAUAUUACAUAGUUGGAAUACGUAGUUACUAGUGUCCCAAUUUAUGCAGUAUCUAUCAUUUAGUGCACAUAUAAAGUAUUAAUCAGCUUAAUUAAUUUAUAAAAUUUAAAUCUAAUUAAUAAGUGACACAUAAAUGCCAAGUGCAAUAUAUGCAAAUCAUGUUUGUCGAUCAUUACAAAACUGGCUCUUGAAAACAAGCAAGAAAGCUUAAUUAAGAACUUAAAACAAAAAGAAUUAGAUCGAGAACAGUCAAGCCUUAUUUUUUCAAGGAUGGAGCUUAUAAAUCUUCAAGUACCAACAUAUGCUUGCCCCAGUUGUUGUUAUUAAAAUUUUAAUAUAUAUAUACACACACACACACACACACACACACAUAAAAAAGUAUGACAUAGCAAAAAUUUGAUGGUACAUAUGUCGGAAUAUACUAGUUCAUGGAUGCAUUUGAUUAUUGUUUCCAUAAAUUUGAACCAAGAAGGAUGACUCGAUAAAAAUUGAUUUUACGGUAUGGUUGAUUUCAAUCUCAUGCACUCAUUUCUUAAGAUAAUCAAAUUUUCUCUGGCAUCUUUUGCAACUGUGGAAAUAUCAAUUAUGAUCAAUCAAAAGGAUUUCAAAAACUUUCAACGAGACAUAUUUAUAAUACAAUAUUGUGAAAAUUACACCAAAAAUUUUAUUUAUUAUAUAUUAUUAUCCAACCAGCACACAAAAAUGAAUUCGUACAAAUCUAAAAUACUUAGCAAUUUUCAAAUAGAAUUUACCAUGUACUACAAGAAAAUAGGGUAUAUGUGACCCCUAAUGUGAAAAUAGGGUAUAUGUGACCCCUAAUAGAAUUUGUUGAACCUAGACCAGACUUAAUAUCCAAUCAAGAAUCUCCAGGAUCUAGCUGAACUCUCUAAUCAAGAUCUAAAGAAUGGUUAAUCAAUUCACAGAAAAGAAUCACCCAGAAACAGUAUGCAAAGAACAACAAAUAUAAGUGGUUCGGCUGAAAGAGCCUACAUCCACUGAAGAACAGACCAACAGCUUUUCACCAUUAACAAAGAACAAGUUACAAGUUUAGAGAUGAAGUUACAAGCAAUACAUUCCCUGAUUUUCCAGUCCUUAAGACUACUUAUACUAGCUUAAAGGCCCUCACAAAGACCCCCUGUCAACCAGCUGUAAUCUAGGUUUGUUAGCUAACAAACCCAGAAUUCUCCCGCCUAUUGUAACUGACUUUAACAGCUUCCAGGACACGUGUUGAAUUCUUACAAACAGCAAGCCCCAAAACGACAUUCUUUCAUGCCGUUCAGAGUAAGUGGAAGCACGUGACAUUUACGUGCUUCACUUAAAGCUUUGGGUGACGACCAAAGUUUGUCAUACAGGCUUGUAUCCUUUACAGCUGACAUGUCGUAUACCAACAUGACCACAAACUGACAUGACGGUUGAUCUUCUGGAAAUCAGUUUAAAGCUCAUACUUUAACAUUCUCCACCUUGAGCUUGAAACUCUCAUGACCUGCUCAUCUUCUCUCCCACCAUCUGUAUUUUAAUUAUCACAGAUGCCAGCCAAAUCCAAACAGAAUUUGAAUUUAGCCCCUGAAAUAGCUUUAGUUAACAUAUCUGCAACAUUGUCAUCUGUAUGGAUUUUCUGAAGCAUCACAGUUGCUUUUGAGACUUCCAGCCUGAUGAAGUGCACCUUAAUGUCAAUGUGUUUGGUUCUUUUAUGGUGAGUUUGAUUCUUACUUAGACAUAUAGCACUUUGGCUAUCACAAUGUAUCACCACAGACCUCUGAUUGACUCCAAGCUCCUUCAACAUACCCUUCAGCCAUAUUGCCUCUUUUAUGGCUUCAGCAUCUUUUAUGGCUUCAGCAGCAGCUGUGUACUUUGCUUCAGUUGUGGACAAAGCCACAACACUUUGUAGUUGUGAUUUCCAGUUUAUUGUGCAGUUGUUGAAUGUGAACAGAUACCCAGUUAGAGACCUUCUUCUAUCCAAGUCUCCUGCAUAAUCAGCAUCCACAUAUCCUACAAUUAAACUGUCAUCUCUUCUCUGUCCCCCAUAUAUCAGACCAUGCCCAGAAGUUCCCCUUAGAUACCUGAGUAUCCACUUUACAGCCUUCCAAUGUUCUUUUUCAGGAUUGGACAUAUACCUACUAACCACACUGACUGCAUGUGCUAUGUCAGGUCUGGUGAGUACCAUAGCAUACAUUAAGCAGCCUACAGAACUUGCAUAAGGAAUUUUCAUCAUUUUAGACUUGUCAGCAUUAGCUUUUGGGCACUGCUGCUCUGAUAAUCUGAAGUGGGCUGGUAAUGGUGUUUGCACUGGUUUGGCAGUAGCCAUGUCAAACUUAUCAAGUACUCUCCUGAUGUAUUCCUCAUGUGUAAGAAACAAGGUGCCAGAUUUCCAAUCUCUGAUUAGUUGCAUUCCAAGUAUUUUCUUAGUUGGUCCCAGAUCCUUCAUCUCAAAUUCACCUUUGAGUUGUUGUUUCAGAACUUUAUUUGUUCCAUGCUCUUACUAGCAAUAAGCAUGUCAUCCACAUAUAGAAUCAGAUAAACCAUUUCCCCUGAUAUCUCUUUGUAAUAAACACAGCAAUCUAGAUUACAUAUUUGAAAACAAAUUUUCAUCAUAAAGCUGUCAAACCUGAGAUACCAUUGUCUUGGAGACUGCUUGAGGCCAUAAAGUGAUUUCUUCAGAAGGCAUACCCAAUCACCAUUUGACUAGUCUUCAAAGCCUUCAGGUUGAGACAUUAUUAUUUGUUCUUCAAGCUCACCAUGUAAAAAUGCAGUCUUAACAUCCAUCUGUUCAAGAUGCAUGCUAUGAACUGCAACCAGUGCUAGGAUCAUUCUUAUUGAGGUAUGCCUAACUACAGGUGAGUAGACUUCUGUAAAAUCUAUCCCUUCCUUCUGUGUGUAGCCUUUGGCAACCAGCCUAGCCUUAUAUCUCAUGGAUUCAAUCCCUGGUAUACCCUGCUCGACCUUGUAAACCCAUUUGCAGCCUACUACCCUUUUGUUUUCUGGUCUUUUUACAAGCUCCCAAGAGUUAUUCUUGUGUAAUGACUCCAUUUCAUCCUUCAUAGCUUUUAUCCACUUGUCUGCAUCUUUUCCUGAAACAGCUUCUCUGAAGGUUUUAGGUUCAUCAUUGUCUAGUUCAUGGGCUGCUGUUAGAGCAUAUGCUAUCAAAUCUGGAUAUGCAAACCUCUUAGGUGUUUUGAUAAUUCUCCUUUGUCUGUCUCUUGCCAGCUGAUAGUCUUGAAUAUCUGUAUAAGUUCCAGAAGUUUCACUAAUAUCUUUAGUUUCUUCUCUCUCCAUGUCUUCAGCUUCAUCAUGGUAGUUCAGAGUUGAUUUACCUUUCAACUCCAUCUUCAAAUGUUGUCCCUGUGAGUCCACUCCUCCUUCUGGUUUAGCAGGAUCUUUUUUAUGUCUUUUCAUCAGCAUCUCUGACUCAUUGAAGACUACAUCUCGGCUAACUAUACACUUUGGUGGCCUCAUUUCAGUGCACCAGAGCUUAUAACCUUUGACACCUUCAGGAUACCCUAGGAAUACACAUUUCAGUGCUCUUGGCUCCAGCUUCCCUUGCUUGACAUGUGCAUAAUCUGGACAACUAAAAAUCUUUAGAUUUGUAUAAUUUGUUGUUCUUCCUGACCACAUCUCUACUGGUGUCUUGAAGUUUAAGGCACUGGAUGGGCUUCUAUUCACUAGAUAAUAUGUUGUCAUCAAAGUUUCAGCCCACAAUGUUUGAGGAAGCUUUGAAUGAAUCAGUAAACAUAUGACCUUAUCCAUCAAAGUCUUGUUCAUUCUUUCUGCUAACCCAUUUUGCUGUGGGGUGUAAUUCACUGUUUUGUGUCUUGCUAUGCCAUUGAGUUUAUAGAAAUCAUCAAACUGUUGAUUGCAGAAUUCAAGCCCAUUAUCAGUCCUCAGUCUCUUAAUCUUCCUACUACUCUGAGUUUCUACCAAUGCUUUCCAUUGUUUAAACCUCUCAAAGACUUCAUCCUUGCCUUUCAAGACAUAAACCCAUACCAUUCUCGAGUAAUCAUCUAUAAAGAAGAGAAAGUAUUUUGCUCCACCUAGAGAGACAGUAUGUGAUGGCCCCUACAGAUCUGAAUGGAUGUAAUCUAGGGUCCCUUUUGUGUUAUGCACUGCAGUUUUGAAACUAGUUCUUGAGGAUUUGCCUAGGACACAUACCUCACAGAACUCCAGAGACCCCAACUUAUCAUCCCCUAAGACUCCCUGUUUUUCUAAAAUUUUUAGCCCCUUCUCACUCAUAUGUCAUAACCUUAGAUGCCAUAUGAGAGUUUUAUCCAAACCCAGACUUGCUGAAAUACUGACAUCUCCAGUUACAGUAGUGCCUUGAAGCACAUAUAAGCCAUUUUGCUUAUUCCCUUUCAUUAUCACUAUAGACCCUCUAACAACCUUCAUUACUCCAGAUUCAACUUUAAUGGAGCAUCCAACCUGAUCUAGAGUGCCUAGAGAUAUUAAAUUCCUCUUUAAAUCAGGAAUAUGCCUUACCUCUCUUAGCUCCCUAAUCAUCCCAUCAAACAUCUUAAAUCUAAUGGUUCCUAACCCAACAACCUUACACAUUGUGUUAUUCCCCAUUAGAACCUCACCUCCAUUAAAAGAAUUAUAAGUAGUAAAAAGAUUUUGAUCAGGGCACAUGUGAUAUGAACAUCCAGAAUCAUGAAUCCACUUACUGUUUGUCUGAGUUUCAGAAGCCAAAAGUACACCAGCUGAGUCAUAGCCCUCAUCCUCGGAUGCAACAGCAGCAUCACCAUUAUUUCCAUGCCCUUCCUUACCCUUGUUCUUUCUGUCUGGACAGUCCCUCUUGAAAUUCCCUUCUUUAUGGUAGUGAAAGCAUUUCAUAUUUUUAUUCUUGGACUUUGACUUGUCUCUUUUCUUCCCUUUGUUGUAUUCUCUCUUUUCAGGUCUUCAUCUUGCCAUCAGACCUUCCCCAGCUUUUGUUUCUGACCUCUUUGUGACUUCUUUAUAACUGAGAGAAUCCUUUACAUCAGCCAUCGAUAUUGACUGCCUUCCAUAGAGCAGUGUAUCUACAAAGUGUUCAUAGGAUGGUGGGAGAGAUGAUAAUAAGAUUAUUGCCUUGUCUUCAUCCUCUAGACUCACAUUUAUAUCUUCAAGAUCCAGGAUGAUCCUGUUAAAGCUAUCAAUGUGAGUUGCCAAAGAACUUCCUUCCUCCAUUUGCAAAGUAUAUGGCCUCUUUUUGGUACAAAGUCUUUUGGUUAGAGACUUCUUGGUAUAUAGGUCUUCAAGCUUUUUCCAGAGGCCUGCAGCAGUAGUUUGAUCUCCCACUUCCCUAAGAACUCCAUCUCCCAGACUCAAGAUUAGAGUGUUAUGAUCUUUAUCCAAAGCAUCUAGCAUUUCUUCAUCAAAAAGCUUGCUGGGUUUCUUUUCAGAUCUUGGAUCACCCAAAGUAUCCUCCAGCCCCUGAUGAACCAACAGAGCUCUCAUCUUGAGCCGCCAUAGAUGGAAGUCAUUUUCUCCAGUGAAUUUUUCUACCUCAAACUUAGAGGUUCUCAUUUCUUGGAUCAAAGAUCAGAGAUAAGGCUCUGAUACCAAUUUGUUGAACCUAGACCAGACUUAAUAUCCAAUCAAGAAUCUCCAGGAUCUAGUUGAACUCUCUAAUCAAGAUCUAAAGAAUGGUUAAUCAAUUCACAGAAAAAAAUCACCCAGAAAUAGUAUGCAAAGAACAACAAAUAUAAGUGGUUCGGCUGAAAGAGCCUACAUCCACUGAAGAACAGAGCAACAGCUUUUCACCAUUAACAAAGAACAAGUUACAAGUUUAGAGACGAAGUUACAAGCAAUACAUUCCCUGAUUUUCCAGUCCUUAAGACUACUUAUACUAGCUUAAAGGCCCUCACAAAGACCCCCUGUCAACCAGCUGUAAUCUAGGUUUGUUAGCUAACAAACCCAGAAUUCUCCUGCCUAUUGUAACUGACUUUAACAGCUUCCAGGACACGUGUUGAAUUCUUACAAACAGCAAGCCCCAAAACGACAUUCUUUCAUGCCGUUCAGAGUAAGUGGAAGCACGUGACAUUUACGUGCUUCACUUAAAGCUUUGGCUGACGACCAAAGUUUAUCAUACAGGCUUGUAUCCUUUACAGCUGACAUGUCGUAUACCAACAUGACCACAAACUAACAUGACGGUUGAUCUUCUGGAAAUCAGUUGAAAGCUCAUACUUUAACAUAUAUCACUAACUUCUAACUUUGUAACCCCGAGUUGCUUUUGUUACCCUUUAUGUGACUGCCACACUGCUGUCACAUAUGUUAUUAACCACGUGACGGUAAAGAGCCGUUCGGUAUACUACUAUUUUACAAUUUUAAAUUUAUUUCCAGUUAGAAAACUAUUCGCUGGACUCCGUGUUACAUAUGCCACCAUCGUAAACCUAACUGGUUGCCGGCGAACGGCGUAAAACACCGGCCAUCUUCUUCUUCAUCGUAUUCUCCCUUCAUCUUUUGUUCGUAUUAUAGCCGUUAUUGUCAAUUUUUGUCCCGCCAGCAAUAUUUUUUUAUUCCUACAAGUUGAAGCACCCGUGCUCUUGUUCCAUUGAUGAGUUUGCUCACUCAAAUUAAUUUUGUUCUGUAGAAUUUACAAAGUUCAAAUGGAUUCAUUUGAAUUUAGCUUUAAUUAUGUAUGUCAAUUAUGUAUUUAGAUUAUGAAUUUAGCCGUUAUUGUCAAUUAUGUAUUUAGAUUUACUUUAAUUUUAUGCUUAAAGCUUCUACAUUGCUGAUUCUAUAUUAAUAAUGUUAUGUUCUAUUUUCAGAAAUUAUAAUACAAAAGUUUUUACAAUGUUGUGCAUCUACAAACUGAAUUGACUUGUAGAAUAAGAGCUUGGAGUAGUGUUAUGUUCUUGAAUAAAUGAAUGUUCAUAUUGUGUAAGAGCAUGUAGAUGUAAAGCAUCAUUACCAUAUCUACAAAGUGCUUUCAUUCUGUUCAGAUGCUCUUCUUGAACUUUGAAAGGUGCCUCGUUCAAGUCCUAGCUAUAACUACUAGUUUUGAUUAAUUAAGUUCCUGUACUAGCUGAAACAGAUUUAUUUAAUUAAUUAAUUGUGUAUGUACUAAUUAUAUUGAAAGUAUAUGAAUUUUUUUUUUAAAACAUGAAUGACUUCUAAAUGACUUAAAAACCUAAAGGAUGUGUGAAAUAAUGCUCAUUUCACUUGAAUGAACCCAUUAAUACUUUUAUGUCUAUGAUUGUCAAUAUUGGCUUAAGCAUUUCAGCUAAGUGGUUUACCUAACAGAGAAAAAAAUUUAAUAGAAAACUUCAGAGUUCUAACAGAAAUAUAGUUCACUAUGCAGAUAUAGUUAUUUUACGGUAUACAAAUCAAGUUGUCCUAAUCUCAAUGUCCUAUGACCGAUUUUAUUUUAUAUAGUCAUUAAUUUUUGCCAUGGUUUUUUGUGUUUAUGAGUAUGAAAUAGUGGGAUUUGGUGUACCUUAGCAUCUUUUGAAAAUUCUCUUUAUGUGUGGCCAACAGAAUAUAAUCAAGUUUCUUAAUCGUGUAUAUUAGUUUUGGGUAUGAAUGUUCCUAUUCUAGUUCUAGGCAAAGCUUCUUCAUUUUGGUCUUCAGAUUUCCAGUAGGUUAAGUUAAUCAACUAUCACAACUGACUAGCUAGUUAUUGUCUGCCUUGGCGCCAUUACCCAGGCCAUUAUAUUGCAUAGCAUAAGGAAUAGUGAUUAGGUGAUUAUUAGUGAUUUGUUGAGCUUAUUAUUGACCAAACAAACAUAUUCGCCUUUGCCCACAACUUAGUUUGAUUAGUUAUUAGACCUUAAAGAGCCUUGAUCUAUUCAUUGGCUUUAUUAUUUUUAUUUGGUUUUUCUUUCAACAAUAUUGUUGAUUUCUUAUAAAAAUAUUCAUUGGUUUUUAAACACCUAAUCAUUGGCUAUAUGAAGCUAAUUAAAACUGAGGCUUUGGAUCAAUUUCUUCUAACAGGAUACAAAUGAGCAUAACCUAUCUCCUCUAAGUAAAUUUUUUUAAUAUCCUUGAUUUGUAAGGAUCUGGAGGCCUGAAAUCCUCUAGAUUUUUUUUAACACUGUCAAUGUUCUUUUUAUUCUGAAAAGGAAAUAAAAGGUUUUAUCUUUCAUACCCUAAUAGUAAGCUGACCUUGUCUUACCCGAGGAUUUGCAAGAUUCAUAGUGCCCCCCCCCCCCCCCCCCCAAAAAAAAAAAAAACACAAAUAGGAAGAUUUUGCAAGAUUCACCACCAGGUUUUUUUUCAUUUAUUAAUUGUGUGUACGUACUAGUUAUAUGUUGAAAGAAUAGGAAGAAGUAUUUCAACAUGAAUGAAUGACUUAAAACUUAUUGCUCAGUAAACAUAAUCUGCAUCAGUGCGAAAAUGUAUUUAUCGGUUGUAUUUUUUAUGGUUUUGCUUAAGAAAUGAUAUGUGAAAUAAUGCUACAUUGUAUCAGGAAUAAAUUGAAGAGAUUUAUGAUAUUUAUGUGUUAUUCAAAUUUCAGAUUCAAUUUUAAAUACGUGCAUUGAAAGCUUAGACUUGUUUAAGAAAUUAUUAAUAGACACAUGUUUUAUUAGUGUCAUCUUUGGAUGAUAGUGAGGUUCAUAUGUCUAUUAAUAAUUCUUGAAUUGUCCAGGCUUGGGCAGUUUGGGAAUGCAUAGUUCUCUCUGGUAGCUAGUAGCUGAAGUUUUUUUCGCAAGUAAAAAUGGGUUUUUCGGUAGCUGCUCCUCGUGUUCUCUGGGUACGUACUAGGUGAAUGGGUGUCAUGUGUUGUUUUGGCAUAACGCAUAAACACUUAUAUAGCUAUGUUGUGUGCUUCGAGAAUUAUAGGGAGAUGGUGCCGAAAUUUUUAUAAACGUAGAAGAAAACUUUAGGUACUUGAGAUUGAAGAAACUUAUGCAUUCUUGAGUGGGAUAUGUAGGAUUACUUACCUUUUGUAAAUAUGAAGGGAAUGUUGGAUAUAUUGAGGAUAGUGUAGGAGCUGAGUUGGAUGAAUGUAAUUGGUCAUGAUUUUGCUGAGCUGACCUUGGUUUUGAGCUUGUAAUUUUGUUUGUAAAUGGAGUGCUAUCUCCAAUGUUGGUUUAUAAAAAUGUUUCAGGACUUGCUGACCUAAUUUUUUUUUUCCUAGGUUACAGGCUUUAUAUAUCUGUAAUUGAUAGCCAAGUGAAGUUCUCAGCACUUGGCGAGGAUAUUUCUUUACAGAAGGUAUUGGAAACUGUUUUUUACAUUAAUUAUUGUUGUAUAUAUACUUUGAUUUUCACAUCUUUUUCUCUGAUUCUUGUGGCUUUGCUUGCUUUCAUAUAUGUAAAUUCUAAUGAAAUUAACCAUAAAAUUGUAAAAUGAUCUUUUUAUUAUAUUGCAAAACCGUGCACACACGAAAAUAUCUUGUUUAGUAGUAGAAAUGAAGAACUAAAAUGAUUUACUUAACUAAUUUUUGUAGCGCAUUAAAAGGAGAUAGUCAUGGACAAGUGUUGGGCUGGUUUGCCAAAUAGAUAUCCAAGUCAUAUACUGAUGGGGUUGAAAAUUUUAUAGAUUUUGCAUUUGAGAAUGUUGUUGAUGAUGAUAUGAUUGGAAUGAUACACUGCAUCACGUAAUCAAAUGUUCAAGUUACACGCAGCAUUGUUAUGGAUUAUCAGUCACUUUCUAGUAUUGCCAACUUGUCUGGGUGGAGUAUUAAAGGUAAAUAAGCAUGUCUUGUUUGCCAACAAAACACUAGAUCUAAUUGGUUGAUACAUAGUAGAAAAUUUUGUCACGUGGGUCACCGUCGAUUUUUACCAACAAAUCAUAGGUUUCGAAAAUAUAGUUUCUUUUGAUAAAACUAGAGAGUAGGGACAAGCACCUUCUUGGUUGUCUGGAACUGAAGUGAAAAAGCAGUUUAAUAUACUUACUGAGUAUAAGAUUGAAGACUUGAAAAGAGAAAUGAUAAGAUUACUUGGAAGAAGAACAGCAUUUUUUUAUGAACUACCGUAUUCAUCAUGAUCUUGUUGUCAUGCACUGCUUUGAUUUUUGUUAUGAACUCAGAUCAAAAGUUUAAUGUGAUCAAAAUUUCUUAAAAAUAGUGAAAACGACUCCUCCUAAUAAUAUGGAAGAUGGCUAUAAAAGAUAAAAGGAAAGGCUUAAAAAGAAAAGCCAUGCCUGUCAAAAAAAAAUAAAAAAAUUGGCAGCGUCAAAUUUAUAACAAAAAUCAAAACGGUUUUGAGAGUGUAUUAAAAUACAUUUAGAGUGGGAGCUGUGUUGUUUUUUGAAGGUAGAAUGAUUGUGAGAUAUUUGUCGACGAAGCCAAAACCAAAGAUGAAGCCCAUAGAGCUCAAAACUCCACCGGAGCAAAUUCAGACAAUUACGAGGGUUAUGUUUGACAUAGUCAAGGAACACAGUCCUCUCACCGUUGCCGAAACUUGGGAAUGCGUCAAGGUGUGUGUAUCUGUUAAAUUGAAUUUCAACCCGUUUGAUCUGUAAUUAUAAUUAAUCCAAUCGAUCUGACAGUGAUCACUAGUAGUUGUUUUACAUUUUCAGCAAGCUGGAGCGAGUGGAUUGACGGCCAAAAGCCACAUGAAGAUUGUGUUGAGAUGGAUGAGGGACAGACAAAAGCUCAGGUUCGUCUGCAAUCACGUGGGCCCUCAUAAGCAAAUCCUGUACACAACUUGGUUCACCAAACCCGACAACUUGAAGCAGCCAAAAUCAGGGAAUGAUGCUUCUAUGUCACAACCCUAGAAAUUUCAAACACGGUGAAGAUGAAGUAAAGCAUAAGUAGAACAAUGAAGAUGGUAGCCCCUCAGCAUGUAAACUUUUCAACAGUAACACAGCUCUUAUUCCAGAGGCUGCACAGAAGAGCGACCUGAGUCCCCUUCAAAACUUUCAAAUUUUUAUCAAGUAAAGCUUUCAAAUUUCUCAACAAAUUGAUUAUUUGUGUGGUUGCCACAUUUUGUGCAACUGCCAUUCGUGUUCAAGUUCAAAUUCCUUGCCUAGUAAGUUAGGGAAGAGAGAUGUGAAGCAAACAGGGAAACAGAACAAACCGGCCAAAUUUAAAAUGACAGAACAGUAAUGAUGGCAAUUAACAAACUAAUAGCAAUAUUACAUUUGAUUCUUUAGCCCAAUUGUUCCUUCUGUCAGCAUUCUUCAAAAGUUUUUGAAAAUUAGAUGUGAAGCAAACAAAAUAAAACAAAUUUAGACAACAGAAGCCCUGUAUUCAGCAUCAUAUAUAUACCUUGAAUACCUAAUAUAAUAAAUUUCACAUCUAAAAUACUAGAAAUUUCAAACAGUACCAGCAAUAGAAUAAUGACAACGACAACAAUAACAGAAAAUUACAAGAUUGCUGAUAAAAUUUCAUUUGCAUGGAUGUAUAACAAAAAUUCUGUGAUUUAAUGUGCGUUCAUGCAUGCAAGUCCUAACGUUCCUGUGAUCACAAAAUGAAACUGAAGAUAAAUCAGAACAACUACCAAACCUCUGACUGAAAGUUCAAAAGAAUUUAUAUUCAAAAUGUCAAAAUAUACUGGAAAUUUAUUGCACAUAUUACAAGAAGCAGUACACACCAAUGGUAAAUUGAUACAUCGUUUUUGAACUUAACAAAGUCAAAUGAAAGAAACACGACGGAGGGUUAAUGUAAAAGUGAAUACCCUCAGCAUGUAAACUUAACUUCAAAGGACGGAGCACAAGUUUCACAGAAAAGUAGCUCUUAUUCCUGAUGCUGCAAACACACAGGAGUGACCUCAAUCUUCUUCAUAACUUGGGAAUUCUGCAAUUAUAGAGCACGACAUUGAGCAUGAACUAGAAAAAAUAUUUAUUUUGUACAAUUUUCAUAUAACUUGACUAACCAAGAUUAAUUUCGUGGUAAUGUAUUGAGUCAUUAAUUCAUAUGUUUUUAAAUAUUUUUAAAAAACUAAUUUCUCAAUUUGAAAUGGCCCAUAAAAAUUAUUCUCAUAUAAAAACUAAAUUUGACAGACCCCUCGAUUAAAGCAGGGGAAAAGGCUUUCCACAUGAAAAUGUUGUUUGUCACUUUGAAUGAUAUUUUGAAGGGAUUUCAUUCUAAAAAUAAAAUACCUGGGACCUCAUUCUUCAAAAUUGACAACUCGCCAGGUAUUAAAAGCGUAUGAGAUCAGUACUGCGACGAGUAAGAAGACGACCCCUCCAACAGCUGAAAACAAAAUUCGCAUUCAUCAAUUUAAAUUAAAAUUCAUAUUAUGAAACUAAAACUAAUGAUUAGUGAAUUUUCGAGGAAUUUAAUAAGAUUCUCAGAUAUAAACGUGAUAACAAAUUCACUCAUCAAUAACAAAUAAUCUAACAGUUAUCCGUACCUUUUCUUGAUGUAAUUGUUGUAUGGUUGUGUUAAGGUCAUUAUUAGACCAACGCAGGUUGUCCUCUCUCUGCCCGUACCGGACGUUUACUCUGACAUGGGUACUUAAUUCUCCUGAAGUGAAAAUCUUCAUCUUGGGACAACCAAUCACAGCAAGAUAUUCCAAAGAUGGGAAUUUGAAGGCGUAAUUGCCAGAGGAGAAGCUUGUGAGACUAUCUAAAUCAAACAGGGACAACGUAGUCAGUUUGCUGAAAACAAUCUCUUCUUUUAAAUUUGCUGUUUCAUCUUCGUCACUUAUUACGACUUCUGUGAUUGCUCUGCAUCCAAAUACACCCAAUGAUACGAGUCGCUCUAGACUUUUUGCUGUGGAGGAUGUUAGUAAGUUCAUCAAUUUCUUGCAAGCACAAGCUUGCAGGCGUGUGAGAUUCUGAAAAGAUACCGAUGAUGAUGGCAAUAGACUUAACAGAUUUUGACAGUAAUAUGCUCUUAGAAUUUCAAGAUGUUGAAAAAUCAAGUCCGGCUGUUUGGAAUCGUGUUUCCACAGUUGCUGCAGAUGAUUAAGUCUGGUCAGGUGUAACAUUUUUAUCAGUGCCAGCUUCCUCGCAUGUGUCUCCAAAUAUCCUUCAUUUGAAAAUACCACUUCGUACGAACAAUCCGACAGGUGGAGAAAUUCCAGAUUGUGAAACCUCUCAAGUAAACCAAGUGGAAAGCAAGCUAAGUCAUCAUCCCCAACCUGUAGUCGUUUGAGACUGCCAAAGAGGUGUUGUGGGAAAUCGCCUUGCAAAAUCAUCGUGAUGUCUUUUCCACUUAAUGCCAGUUCCUCCAAGUUGGGUAAGAUCUGAUCAUCAUCAAGCACAAAUUAUUAACUUAGCACAUUGAUCCCUAAUUCGAGACUGGCAAAAUUCAUUGUUAUAUACACACACAUAUAUAUAUAGUAUUUAUUAAAAUUUCUGGUCUGUGAGUAAGAAACAACAAAGACAACUGACAAAAAAUCUAAAAGUUGGUUUCAUACCUUCUUGAACGAGAAUAGGGGCUGUUGUGCCGGAACACCAAAUUGAUCAUUCUCGUUAUUCUGGGAUAACGUCAUUUUAUCACAAUUACACGCCUCCAAUAUUUUUAGUGCUGGCCAUUCCGAUGUAUGCAUUCCAGGGUAUAAACAUCUAAGUUCUGGUAGACCUUCGAGUUUCAGAGUGGUCACCCGUGGAAAGACAAAAUAAGCGGUCACUUGAUCUGUUCUGUUUUCAGAAAUGAUUUCUUGUAAACUCUUACAUAACCGUAUCUCCAGGUGUUGGAGUUGCUCAAGGCUUUGGAUCGUAGAAGCUGAAAAUAUGUAUUUUAAUUUGUCACAGCCCCACACUAUCAAUCGUGUCAAACUUCGAAGGCAAGGAACCAUGGCCGGAAGUUGAUUGUAAUGCCAAAUCUCGUCGACAUUAAUAGCAUUCAGCUCCAAAGCCUCCAAAUUUGGCAACACUACCUAAAGAUAAUUUUGUCGUUAGAUCCAAUAUCCAUAUAAGAAGUGCUUAUUGAGAGCUUAAUUAGUGAGUGUAUGAGAUUUUUUUUUUUUGCAUUUUCUUUUUCUAAAUGAUUUAAUUUUUUUUCACUUAUGGCAUCAAAUGCAAGUUCAUGAUAGAAUAAAAAAAAAAAUGCAAUAUCCAUAUGAAAAGGACUUGUGUGGUCCAGUUUGGGAUUAUGGAUGCUGAUUAAAUAAGUUGCUCCUGCUGUACGGAUGCAAUAAGUAGUUGAUUAAAAAAGCAGUUAGCUGUUUGGUAAACUGUGUUGUUGCAGUUGCUGUGAGUUUGAAAAGCAAUGUACAUGCGUUUGGUAAAUUUUAUUACAAACGUGUUAUUUUAUCAUAUAAUGACCAAAAUAUAUAUAAGUUUAAAUUUCCGUUUAUUUUUUUUAAGCAUGUUUAAUAAUCUUUAGAUAUGUCAUUUUCUUUUUAAAAUACGUAAAAUUAUAUUAAGUGAAAAAACUUAAUAAUUUGUUACAUAAAAUAUGAUAAAAAUUUAUACUAGUAUAUGAUCCAAAUAAAAUAAAAAAAGUAAUAUGCAUUACUUUCACAUUAAACUUGUUGCAAUAAACACCAUGACUAUAGAAAAUAUAAAUAGAUUGAAUGUUAAAAGCUAUGGUUAUAAAAUUGAUUUUAAAAGUUAUGAUUAAUUUUCAUGUGAAAUUGUUUAUAGUUCAAAAAAAAUUUACAUAAUUACAUGCAAGUCUUUUUUAAUCUUAUUAUAGAAAAUACAAGUAUAAUAUAAAAAAUAUGAACUUACUAAAUCAAAACUUUGAUAUUAGAGAGAAUAUAUAGUAGUUGUGGUGGUAAUAUGAUAUCUAAUAACUUAUAUAUUAGAGUGUAUGGAAAUAUAUGACAUAAUUAUUUUUGUUAAAAUAUUAAUUAAGGUUAUAAUAGAAACUUUAAAAAGAUGUGAUAGCUUAUUUAAUAAGCUGCUUAUGAAAAGUAACUCCCUAUCUGCUUUUAAAAGUUAAUGUCAAAAUAGAGAAAAUUAUAAAAUAAACAGUUUUUACAAAAUUUAACAAAUACUAUUUUUGUCACAGAUUAUGAAAUAGACAGUUUAUUGAGUUUUAACCUCAAUUCCAAACAGGGGCCACAAUAUCCACAUGACAAGCACUUAUUGAGAGCUUAAUUUGUGAAUAUAUGAGAUUUUUUUUUCUUUUUCUAAAUGAUUUAAUUUUUUUGCACAUAUGGCAUCAAAUGCGAGUGCAUGAUAGAAUAAAGGAAAAAAAAAAAAAAAGAAUGCAUUACCCUACGCACCUUCUCGUUGAAAAGCAGAGUUGAAGUAUCCGAACUGAUCUCGUUGGAACUAGCUAUCAAUUCCUCUUGCGACUCUUGUCUGUUUGGUGAUGUGGAAGGAGUCUUCACUUCACGGCAAAACCUUGUAACCUUUGGAAGCGUUCCCAGACUCAAAGAUCUUAGUUGACCAAACUCUAUCGUCUCAUCAACAUCGACAUCAGCUUCUCCUCCAGUUGCAAAAAUCUCUUCCAUGCUGCUGCAAUUGAGAACUGCAAUCCUCUCAAGUCUUGGAAGGCAUUUUGUACUACUAGAGAGCCAGAAGAUAUUACUCAUCUCAUCACAAUUUUCCACUUUUAUGGUUUGGAGUUCAUUGAAGGACUCUAUUGUGAGUCGAUCAAUACAUAUCCUCUCCAUAUUGAUCAAAUUGUGAAGAGUAAGGGACUCCAAAAGAGGAAAGGCGACACAAGGUUCUCUCUCCAUUGAAUCGGCAAUACACAGGAAGUCUGGAUUAUUUUGAACAUGGAGAUGCUUCAAUUGUGAAAAGCCCUCAGUGUCCAAUUCGAAAACAACAUUCUUGAUUCCUUGCAACUUAUCUAAACAUAAGUAUUCAACGUUAUUGAUGCCCUGCAACUUCUCGGAGCAAAUGGCCAUAGAAUCAAGCUUGAGCUUCAAUGUUCUUAAACUCUCAUGAUUACUGAUUGUUAGAGCAGCUCAUUAUGCUGAACAGAAGAAGGUGAAGACUAAGAUGAAGAAAAUACAGAGCAAGUUACAGGGCAAGUGUGUCAGCAGUGCCAGCUCAGCUAACAGCUCAGCAGAUUAGUUAAAGAUGGUUGUAAGCAUGAUGUGCAUUGUACUGAAGUUAGUUAGCUUUGAUUACAGUUAGUCUUUGGAUUAGUUAAAUGAAGUUACCGUGAUUGCAUUGUAUAUAAACAGGUGAUGCUUUGUAAUCAAAAGUUAAGCAAAAUAAAAAUCAAAGUUUGUUAAGGAAAUAUCUCCAGAAUUAUCAAUUCAUUUUCUUAGUAACCAAACAACUUUAUUUCAUUUUUCUUUCAUGGUAUCAGAGCAAGGUUAAUGGCUAGUUCCAGUAGCACAACAUCAAAUCCAAAUCAAAUGAAUAUAAAUCAAUCAUCACAUAUCUCCUUUUCGUUCAGCACUCCAGUCAAAUUGGAUCGAUCAAAUUUCAUGAUUUGGCGAAAGCAAGUUCUUACUACAAUAAGAGGAAAUCGUCUUGAAGAUUUUAUUUCUGGAAAUCAAAUCAUACCAGAACAAUACAUUUCUAAUACAGUAGCUGAUGGAUCAGUACAGAGAAUCACGAAUCCAGCUUACAUCAACUGGCGAGCUCAGGAUCAAACUUUGCUUGGCUGGAUUUUGUCAUCCAUAAGUGAAGGUAUCUUAAAUACUGUUCUUAAUUGCGAAAAUUCAUUUGAAGCAUGGAGAUCAAUUGAAAAACAAUUUGGAGUACAAUCUGAGGCUAGAGUAUUGCAAUUGAGGUAUGAAAUGAAUGUCCUUAGAAAAGAGAAUAUGUCUGUUGAGGAGUACUGUUUAAAAGUAAAAGCUGUUGCUGAUAAGCUUGCUUGUGCUGGUAGCCCUGUGUCUGAGAAAGAUCUGCUAAUGCAAAUUUUGAAUGGCCUAGGACCUGGAUUUCUAGAUCUUGCUUCAAUAAUUACUGCUAAUAGAAUGUCGUAUGAUGAUGCUUAUGCAUUACUCUUAACACAUGAGGCAAGAAUGGAACAAAAUCAUAAUACUAAAGAUCUUUUUAGUGCAAACUAUGGGAUGAUGAAUGCUAACUACUCUCAGUUUAGAGGAAAUAAUAAGAGAGGUGGUUAUAGUGGAUAUCAAGGGCAAUUUAAUGCUGGAAAUAGGAAUCAAAAUGGAGGAAGAGGAAUGUUUUUCAAUUCAUUCUCAAGAGGUUUUCCAGCUGGUGGAUAUACUGGUAAUGCUGGUGGCAGAGGACAGCAAAUGAAUGCAUAUGCUUAUAAACCUGUGCUUAACAACAGGCAUAAUUUCAAUAUGAAUCAUGGCUCAACUUCAAUGUCCAAUGGAAAUGGAUCUGAUGAUAAUGUGCUUAUCUGUCAAAUCUGUCAUAAAGCUGGACAUGCAGCUGAUGUUUGUUGGCACAGACACUUUGAUGGCUAUGCUCCUCAACCCAGACAAUUUGGAAGGGGCAGAGGGCAUAAGUCUGCUUAUAUGGCUAACUUUGAUCCACAAAUUGGCUUUACUUCACAAUUUGAAGAUUCGUUUGCUACAGAAUAUCCUGGUUAUCAUGGGUACCAUCCACCUGAUAUGAAUGCAUCAGUUGCAUCAGUAAGUCAUCACUCAUCUGAUAUGCAUUCUGUACCUGGAGCAGCUUAUAUUGCAAAUUUUGAAGGACCAGCUGAUGAAGGGUGGUAUCUUGAUAGUGGAGCUACGCAUCACAUCACUAACAACAUGGCCAAUAUGCAUAUCAGAGAUCAAUUCAGUGGAGCAGAUCAGCUCAUUAUUGGAAAUGGACAAGGUUUGCCCAUAACUCAUGUUGGUGAUGCAUCCUUUCUCUUUAAAAGUUCCAAUUCUACACACAAACACUCACCUAUAGUACUUAAAGAUAUUCUGUUGGUGCCUUCCAUUACCAAAAAUUUGUUAAGUAUCUCGAAGCUUACCACUGAUAACAACUUGUCUGUUGAAUUUCUUGGAAAUGUUUGUUUUGUGAAGGAUUCUCUGAGGGGACAGGUACUUCUGCAGGGUCUUGCUGAGAAAGGGUUAUACAGGCUGUUAUUGAAAUCAUCAUCAUCCUCUCAGUUAUCAUCAUCUUUUCUUUCUCACAUGUGUUCCAAUAAACCUUUGUCUAUGCUUUCUUGUUGUUGUUUCAAUUCUGUUCCUUCUGGAGUUGUUACAGAAUCUCAGAAAUCAUGUAAUCAAACUGAUGAUUCAUCUUGUAAAACUUCAGUUAAUAAAGCUAUUUUGCUUCAUAGAAAGUUUGGUCAUCCCAAUCAUCAAAUAUUAACUCAUAUACUCAAAACAGCAAAAUCUAUUCAUUUACCUGCAUAUCAAAAGCAACAAAUGCAUCAGCACAUCUGUGAGGCCUGUCAAAUGGGCAAAACACAUAAACUUCAUUUUCCUAUUACUGAAACCAAAACCUCCAAAACUCUAGAACUUAUACACACUGAUUUAUGGGGUCCUUCUCCCAUUAUUUCUAGAGAUGGUUAUCAGUAUUAUAUAAGUUUUGUAGAUGACUACAGCAGGUAUACAUGGAUUUAUCAUUUGAAGCUAAAGUCUGAGGCAUUAGAAGUCUUUAAGCUCUUUAAACUGCAGGUUGAAAAUCAGUUUAGCACAACCAUUAAGAUGAUGCAAUCUGAUUGGUGGGGAGAGUAUAGACCAUUCACUGAGUUUUUAAGCCAAUUUGGUAUCAUCUUUAGACAUCCUUGUCCUUAUACUCAUCAUCAAAAUGGGUUAGUUGAAAGGAAGCAUAGACAUAUUGUUGAAUUGGGUCUGACUCUCUUAGCUCAAGCUCAACUUCCCUUUAAGUUCUGGUGGGAUGCAUUUCAUACUGCUGUAUAUCACAUCAACAGACUUCCAUCUCCUGUUUUGCACCUUUUAACCCCAUAUGAAAAGACAUUCAAACACAAACCUGAUUAUGAUUUUCUCAGAUGUUUUGGGUGUUCUUGUUAUCCUUACUUGAGAGAUUACAAUAAACAUAAAUUUGCCUACCAUUCUAGUAAGUGCAUAUUCAUUGGUUACAGUCCUUCACAUAAGGGCUACAAAUGUUUACACCCUUCAGGUCGAGUCUAUGUGGCAAGACAUGUUACCUUUGAUGAAUCAGUUUUUCCUUAUGCCACUGAGUUUGUUUUUCAUAGUCAUGCUAAAACUGAUUCUCAAAUUUCUCAUUCCCAUACACCACAGCAAAUCCAUCAUAUCUCUUCUUUGCCUGUCAAUAACAGCACUGGUAAUCUGAACUCUGUAAGAUCUGGAAGCAGCAGUUCAAGUCACUCAGAUCAUCUAGAACAGACAGCAACUGAUCAGAAUUCACAACAAGCUACCAUAAAUGACAGGUCACCUUUUCAUACAUGUCCAACAAUUGUUGAAUCUAUACAAAAUAUUCCAGAACCUCCACAUCACUCUUUGCCUAUACAAAGUCACCAUCCUAGCAACACCUCUUUCUAUCCAUAUACACAACCAAAUACACAUCAGAUGAUAACCAGAAGUAAAGCAGGGAUUUUCAAACCCAAAAUUUAUACUGCUGUGCUUACUCACAAGGAACCAGAUACUGUGCAAGAAGCAUUAAAUGAUUCAAAGUGGCUACAAGCUAUGAGGGAGGAAUAUGAUGCCUUGAUUAAGAAUAAUACAUGGACAUUGGUUCCAAGACAAGCUGAUCAGCAUGUGGUUGGAAAUAAAUGGGUGUAUAGAAUCAAAUAUAAUACAGAUGGAAGUAUAGCUAAGUAUAAAGCUAGACUUGUUGCAAAGGGUUUUCAGCAAGUGGCAGGGAUUAACUAUUUUGAGACAUUUAGUCCAGUUGUGAAGUCAGCUACAGUUAGAGUAAUACUUAGCUUGGCAGUGAUGAAUCAGUGGAGAAUAAGGCAAGUGGAUGUCAAUAAUGCCUUUUUGAAUGGAGAGCUAACAGAAGAAGUUUUCAUGUCUCAACCUGAUGGCUUUAUUGAUGCUCAGAGAUCUGAUUUUGUAUGCAAAUUACACAAGUCUCUGUAUGGGCUCAAGCAAGCUCCUAGAGCCUGGUAUGACAAGCUUAAAGGAUGCUUAAUAAGCUGGGGUUUCACUACUACUAGUUCUGACACCUCAUUGUUUGUUAGGAAGAUCAAGACAUCUAUGAUCAUAGUUCUUAUAUAUGUUGAUGACAUACUGAUCACAGGUCCAAACACUGAGGAGCUGGAAGGUUUCAUAACUGAAUUCAGCAAAACUUUUGCUCUAAAGGAUCUGGGAGUGUUAUCUUAUUUCCUUGGAAUUGAGGUAUUAUAUGAUGCAGAUUGUAUGUACUUGUCACAGAGAAAGUAUAUCAGAGAUUUGUUAUCGAAGGUAGAAAUGACUGAAUGUAAGGGCAUUGAUACACCCAUGAGUACUGGCUCUAAACUGCAAAAGAUAGUUCAGGGGGAACUUGGAUACUAUCUUGAAGAUCCAACUCAUUAUAGAAGCAUAGUUGGAGGAAUGCAGUACCUGAUACUUACCAGACCUGAGAUUGCGUUUGCUGUAAACAAGCUCAGUCAGUAUGUAGCUGCACCAACACUACAACAUCUAAUGGCAUGCAAGAGAGUUCUAAGAUAUCUGAAGGCAACUCAAGAUUAUGGUUUAAAAUUUUUCAGAGAAGGAAGCUUAACACUCACUAGUUUUACUGAUGCAGAUUGGGCAUGUGACUUAGAUGAUAGGAAAUCAGUUGGUGCUUAUUGCAUUUAUUUAGGCAAUAAUUUGAUAUCCUGGUCUUCUAAGAAACAAUCAGUGAUAACCAGAUCAAGUGCCGAGAGUGAGUAUAGAGCUUUGGCAUCAGUGAGUGCAGAGCUGACAUGGUUACAAUCCUUAUUUUCUGAGUUGGGAUUAAGUUGCAUAGAAAAGCCAAUCAUAUGGUGUGACAACAUUAGUGCCACUGAACUAGCAAAGAAUCUUGUGUAUCAUUCAAGAACAAAGCAUAUCGAAAUUGAUAUGCACUUCAUUAGGAAUAAGGUUCUUGCUGGUGAGUUGAUUAUUCACUAUGUACCAAGUGAAGAACAGAUUGCAGACAUAAUGACCAAGCCUCUCUCAUUUGUAAGGUUUAACUACUUGAGGUCCAAACUCAAUGUCCAUCUUUGUCCUCUGAGUUUGAGGGGGGCUGUUAGAGCAGCUCAUUAUGCUGAACAGAAGAAGGUGAAGACUAAGAUGAAGAAAAUACAGAGCAAGUUACAGGGCAAGUGUGUCAGCAGUGCCAGCUCAGCUAACAGCUCAGCAGAUUAGUUAAAGAUGGUUGUAAGCAUGAUGUGCAUUGUACUGAAGUUAGUUAGCUUUGAUUACAGUUAGUCUUUGGAUUAGUUAAAUGAAGUUACCGUGAUUGCAUUGUAUAUAAACAGGUGAUGCUUUGUAAUCAAAAGUUAAGCAAAAUAAAAAUCAAAGUUUGUUAAGGAAAUAUCUCCAGAAUUAUCAAUUCAUUUUCUUAGUAACCAAACAACUUUAUUUCAUUUUUCUUUCACUGAUCAUAAAGUGCUGCCGACAUUCAAACCAGUCGUUCCCAAUAACCUUGGUAGAGUCGAAUGAUGCAUCUCCUAUUGAUAUAUCAAACCUUUCCAGCUUUUUGGAAAAAAAGCCAUCCGGUAAAAUGCUAUCGUUUUUAACAUCUAUUUCUAAAGUGGUCAAUCGCCUCAAAUGCAUCAAUUCGUCGAGGGUGGCAUUACUUCUUUCACUAUUGGCUUUUUCAACUUCCCAUUCAACAGGGGAAUUACCCAUAUACAGUUCUUCCAAUCGAGUGAAGCUUGAUAAGAUGUUGGGCAAAAUAAAUUUUAGUUGCAAACAAUCUCUUAAAUCUAGCAGCCUUAACUUAGUCAGUUGACCUAGUUCGUAAGGCAACCGUACAAUAUCAGACCUUAAAAAGCUAAGGAUUUCUAGAUUCUUCAACUUCCCAAUUAUGGCUAUGUCUCCCAACAUGCUUUGUACUAGACACAGUGUUUGAAGAUUUGCUAGAAGAUCGAUUGAAGAUGGCAAUGAAAAUAAUCGCAUUCCUGUCAAAUCCACAACUCGAAGCUUUUUCAUCCCUUUGAAAAAGUUCUCAGGGAUAUUGAGCUCGACAAAAGAGUCUUUGGGAUGAAUAAGUAAAAAUUCAAGUUGCGGACAUUCCAAUUCCUUAGAAACUUCAUGAAUGCUACUAUACAGUAAAGAGAUUGCAGAGCAUUUUUUAAGUGCAUCCUCAUCUGGCCACUCCCACACAACCUCACUUCUCACCAAGAAAACAUGUUGUUCUCGACAUGCAAUUGAAAUGGCAACAUCGCAGACAACAUCAUGCAUAGAAAAUUGUUCAUUACUAUCACCCUCAAGCAAAAAACAACAAUCUCUAAGUUCAUGGAGCAAUGCAUAUAAUUUGUUUCGUGCAUCUACCAUCCUGUUGACUCCUUGAAAUAUGCCCAAACCCAUAGAGUACCUAAACAAGUCUAGAAACCAAAAACUGUUACCUAUUAGACUACAGAGAAGAAAAUUUUUCUUGAGUUGCUCACCUUUUAAAUACUUGAAACUCAGCUCAAUACUUGAAUAAGUCUCUGCAGGCACACCUUCGAAGUUUACCAUUGAAGGCGUUUGGAGUUCUCGCAAGGCAUUCUUCCAUUCAUGCAGAGUCUUGUUUCUCAGUGCCCUUGCCACUGUAGUCAAGGCAAUGGGCAAACCUCCACAUGCCUGGGCUACAUUAAUUGCUAUAGACUUGAACUUACAAUUGUCAACAUCAUCACCAAUCAUUAUCUUAAACAAUCUCCAAGCUUCUUCUUCAUUUAGAUUGCCAAUCAAAAAGUUAUCUUUGGAGCCCAUACUUAAUAGUACAUUAUUAUCUCUUGCUGUGAGCAAUAGUCUACAUCCUUUAUGAUCAUUUCCAAAAGGAAUUCCAAUCGUCUCCAAAUCAAGAUGUUUCCAGAUAUUAUCUAGAAUCACAAGAAUCUUAUUCUCAUUCUUCAAUCGUUCAUACAGCCUGCUGGCUCUUCUAUAUUCAGCUUCAUCGGACAACUCCAGACCUAACUUCUCUGCAAUUUCCCCUUGUAUCUUUUUUAUGUCUGGAGUUUGUGAAACCUCUGAAAAAACCACACGAUCAAACAGCUUCUUUUCCCUGGCUUGCCUAGCAAACUCCUUCACCAGUGUCGUCUUUCCAAUGCCGCCCAUGCCGUACACCCCAAUAAUGCUGACGUUCACAUCAGUCAACACAUUUUGUAUAGACUUCAAAGUAGAAACUCUUGAUUCGAAGGCCUCGUAACCUUUGUUAGACUUAAGCCAUAUCUCCUCCGGAAUGGCACGGUGGGAAACGAUAUCAAACUUCUUAACUUCUUCUCCAAGUUCAACAAGGGCCUUCACCUCUGUCUCUGCUUUCUUGCUAAGCUGAUAGCGGGUCUUCAAAUUAGGACACAAGCCCUUGAGACAGCGCUUAUUUGUUGACUCUUCAUCUUCAACGAAUUUGGCUGCCCGGUCAAUGAUGCCGUUAGCACUAACCAGCCACUUCUCAACCUUCUCUUCAAUCUCUUCCCCUUUUUCUUUCGCCUCUGAAACUCUGCGCUGAAUGCUCGUACGUUCAACCUUCAACUUCUCCAUUUCCGCCUUGAGAUUCUCAAGGUUGGCAUUGUAGUUCCGCUUGCGCAAAUAAACAAGUUGGCGUUCUGUUGGAGGAGCCAAGCAUUUUACAAGUUCCAAAAUGAGAGUAACAAUGAUUUCCAGCAUCUUGAAUCCUGACAACAAUGUAGAAAUGAAGAAGGCCAAAGGACAGUAAGAACAGAGAGACAACGAUACGACAAGCAGUUAUGGAGCUAAAAAUAAAUAACAAACAAACAGAAGCAAAGUGUUUUUCGAAUGAGAAGAAGGAAGCAAGAAAAGGGUUUCUAUUUAGAUUAAGAAUGAAUGUAAAGAAGUGACAAAGAUGUCACAUAAUGUAAUUAAGUACUGAAUCCAAAUCCUAUCCUAAAUGGUUAGAUAAAAAUAAGGGAAUGAAAAGAGUAAUGGUAGAUUAAUUUAUGAGGCCAAUUAACGAAACGACAGAUCUGGUUUCCAUGUUUGUAAUUUAAGUGUAUGAGUACGAGGUGAACCAACUCUUUGUCGAGUCAAGCAAUUAGAAGGAGAAAUUACUAAAACAAGAACCAGCAACUUUUACUCACACAAGAGCUAAUAAUGUAUUGAGAUUGUGCAGAGUAAUACAAAACCUUAAAACUAGUAUAAUAAAUUUGUCAUCAAGUUUUAGCCUUCUUCUUCAACCAAUUACAGCACUAUCUUGAGCUCUGAGUUUCUUUUUUUAAAAUUUUUCAAAAGAUCUUUGUCAUUAGUUUUUCAAUGAUAAAAAUUAUAUUUUUAUCUCAUAAAAUAUAAAAUUUUAAAAAAAUCAAACAUAUAUUAUAGGUUUGUUUGAGAUUAUUUUUAAAGGCUCAAAAGUCACUUUUUAAAGUUAAAUGUUAAUUUUGGUAUUUGGUAAAAUUUUUAGAAAUCACCUUUGGUAAAAUCACUUAUCCCACAACAAAUUUCGGAAAGCAAAAAAGGAAUAGUUUGUCAAAAUCUAAUUUUGAUAACCAGUUUUAUACUUAAUAUAAUUCUAUAUACAACCUUAUAUAUAUUAUAAAAAAAAAAUAUCCUUAUUAUUUAGGAAAUAAAAUUAUUAAUUUUAAAGAUAUUUUAACAAUUACAUUGAGAUAACAAAAUAAAAAUAAAAUUAAUAAUAUAAAAUAUCUAUUUCUGUUAUCAAUUAUUAUAUAUACAAGAUAAAAAAAAUAUGUUAUAUACAUGUUUAUAAAUGUAUAAAUAAAUUUUAUCUAACAUUAUGUUCAAUUAAGUCAUUUACAUUAAUAGCACUUUUACAAGUAAAUUUUCCUAAAUGUUUAACUGAUUAUCUUCACAGUGAUUAUUUCCACAACAUAACUACCAGAAAUUAUUGUAAAAGAUACAACAUUACCAAAAAAAUAUUGAGGUACAUUUUAAUUAAGUAAUUGACUUAAUUAUGAAUCAAUUUAUUAUUUUCAUCUGUGUUAUCUAAACCAGCUCAUUAAUGAGAUCACUCUUUUUCUUAAAUAAAAUAUUCCUGCCAAACAAUUGUUGCAAAAUUUCAAAUAUAAAUUACAAACAGCAAAAUUUUCUAAAGUCAUAACAAUUAUUUAUGUUUUGAAGGGUCCAGCUAGCUUGCAACCGUGAUUUGGUACCCCAUUUUUUGUCUUUUUGUGAUCCAACCAUUAGAUCCAACCCAAAAGUUGUAAAAGCUAUUCCAACGGCAAGGAUGCAAUUACUUAGUUAUUAACGCUGAAGCCCCUCUUGUUUCAUAAAAAAAAGAAAAGGUUAAAUUUCAAGAUUUUGACACAUAAGUCCAUCAAAAUAUUUUAUGAUUUUUAUAUGAGUCCAGGUAAUUUAAUAAAUGAAUAUAUUUAGAUAUACAAAAAUAUGGAUGGAUUAUUUUAACUUGCUAAAAUACUCCCCACAUCCAUUUAUUUAAAAUAUCAAUUACAAAAAAUCCCAUUUUUUAGUAUAAUUUUUUUAAAAAUAAAAUACCCAUUUAAUGUUUUACCAUUUAAGAUAGUGUUACUUAUAAGGAUAAAUAAUUAUUUUAACUAAAUAAAUGAAACUUAACUUUUAUUUCUAUAAAUUUGCUCAACAUCAUAUAACCUUAUAAUUGUUAGCAUAAGAUAUAAAUUUAGUCUAAAAAAUUUAUUCAAAGGGUCCCCUUAGGGCAAAAAAUUAAUUAUCAUAUGAUAAUUUGGUUGGCACAAACUCUAUUAUUCUUAAUUUACUUAUCCAUGCCAAACACUAUAUUGGAAUUAAAUUUUAGUAAAAUAAACAUAUGUCAACAUCUUUAACCGCAUUCAACUGACCCUAAUUGUUUAGAUUUUGUUAUAGAGAGCAAGAUAUAGUUCUUUUCUUAUUAUAGUAGUAAAAAUAAAUAAAAAUAAACACAAUAGAUUUCUUUUAAGAGAAUGCAAGCAUUAUUUUUAUGAGAUUUUGUGUUCAAGAAAUUAAUCUAAUUAUGUGGUUAGAAGACUCUCUAUUUUGUGAUAUUUUAGAAGAAUUAUAUGUUGGAUAAAUGAAUAAAUUAAGAUCAAAGCAAAACAAAAAUGAUUGAGAAGAAAACCGAGAGAGAAUAAUUUUUUAAAUUUUAAAAUUUUCAUUUUUUAAUUGGGGUUUAUUUUGUAAAAUUAUUGCAAUUUAUAGUUUUUAAUAUUACCAAAAACAGUAGAGAUUGCUAAAGAAAAUGCCAAACAAAUUUUUUAGAAUUAUAAAAUUAUUAUAUUUUAAUUAGGGCUUGUUGUGUAAAAUUUUUAAAAUUUAUAGUUUUUAUUAUUUACCAAAAACAAUGAGGAUUGUUAAAGAAAAUGUCAAAAUUGGGUGUUUGGUAUAACGGAGGCAAAGUAGUUUCGUCCUGUUUUGAAUACAUGUAACUAAACCACAUUGAAAGUUGUCAAAACAGGAGGACCUAAUGUUAGUAAAAUUAUUUUUCAAGCAAAUGCAGUGACGAAUUUGGUUUCAUGUUUCACCCUCGAUAACUUAAUUUUCAUAUCUAACAAAUCAUCCAUAUUAUUAACAAUAUCAUCACCAACCAUAAUCUACCUAAACAUAAACUAAACAUAACACAUACAUAUAACUAUAUACAUACCGAAUCAGGAAAACAAUGAGAGCUACACGUAUCCGGCUCCACAAUUCCUUGUUGAUACCCUUGUGCUUCUAAAAUUAUCAACCAAUUAUAAAAAUUAGCUUAGGCGCAACUUUACCCCUUUUUUUUGGAAAACUUAACUAUAAAUAAAGUAUACAAAUCUCUAAAUUAACUUUUUUCCCAUGAAAUUCAGCAUAAAUAGAAAUAGAAUUAUAGAAAUCUUACUUCCUUUUAUGAGAAAUCCAACUUAUAUAUUUGAGACCUCUCUCUCUAAGCACGCGCUUCCUCUCUCUGUAUACUUUCCACCUUUAAAUUCUCCUCAUUAAAUCUGUCUAAAUGAAUUUAGCAGUCUCCCAGUUUCUUUAGCAUUUUUCUCCGUGAAAAUAAGUGAAAAGCGAAAGUGAUUUGAUUAUUUUAAUGUAUGACAGAUCUGGUUUCCCAUCUCCGUAAUUUAAGUGUAUCAAAUUGUCGAGUCAGUCAAAUAUAAAAGACAAAUUACUAAACCAAGCAGAGCCAAAAAAAAAAAAAAAUUCCAAUUAAAUAAUCAUCAAGUCUUUUUCAAUUAAAAUAGGGAGUGCAGAACAACUGUCGAGAGAUAAUCAUUGUUUAUGGAGCCAUAUUAUAUUUUCGAUUAAAAUAUUUGCGCGUGAACAAUUGGCAGAAUUCGUAUAAAUUGUUGUAAGGUCUAUUAUAAUUAACAAGCGGAAUGGCCAAUGGAUGAAGAACCACUGUAAUUUCGUUUAUGAAUUUAAAAUGCUAAAGAAACUGGACAUCAACGCUAAAUGUUAGCCUGCGGUCCUUGCCUCAGUUUCUUUCAGGCGUUACUCUGGGUAGUUGAUAUACUGACCGUCCCUUUAUCAAUUAAUAAUCGAAAUAGGUUAAAAUAUGAAUGGAUUGGAAUGGUAUGACUUGGAAAUGGGAUGACAAUCAGAUUAAUUUAUUCAUUUAAACUGAGAAAUUAGAAUCAAAAUAAAUUAUAUUGUUAUUGAUAUAUUUACUUUAUCUUAAAAUUAUGAUAAGUUGUUACGAGUUAUUAAUAUGCCUUAUUUUUUAUUAUAAUAAUUAUUAUUUAUUAUAACAUUUUUCAUAUAAUAAUAAUAAUAAUAAUAAUAAUAAUUAAUAUUGAAAAAAUUUUAUUGUUAAUAAUAAAGUAUCAUUAGAGUACUAGACAAGCUCACCACGUCUAAGCUAAGUGAAGAAAUAGACUUCAUCAACAAAGCUUUUGUGAAUAUGCGUUACAUUACAACUGCGAUAUCCUUUCACUGUAUAUUCAUACAGUGGCAGGCCAUGUGACAUUGUGACCCAUGUGCUAGCUUUCACUAGUCAUAUUAUUUUUUUACACGGUGUUUAACAAAAUCUUCACGUAAAGAUUUCAGACGCGUGAUCCUAAUUCAAUAUGCAUUAUUUAUUUAUUUAUAAAAUGAAAAUAAAAAGAUAAAAGGAUGUGACUUAACUUGCUAUCAGUGCGGAUCCAGGACUUAAUAUUAUUUCGGGUUAAAUUUUAAAAUUUAUAUUUUGAAGUGAACAUAAAAAUUUAUAAAUAAAAAGAAGUAUAUUAAAUGAGGGGAGACAUGGAGAGCUUUAUCCCUAUGAAUAUGUAUUAUAAACAAAAAUAAUUAUAAGAAAAGAAUAGAAACCAAAAGGCAAUUCAAAUAUCAAAACACUAUUUUUCAAUUAUGAAAUCCGACAUUGCAACCUAAUAACAUGUAAUUAUAUAAGGAUUAAUAAAUCAAUUAAGAAUUUCAAACUAAAUUAGAUCAGUACAUGUAAUUAAAAUUAAUUAAAGAUUUCAAGUAAAACUUUUAUGUUUGAAGUCAAGUACUAAAUUACCAAGCUUAAAUAAAUUUAAAAAAUUAAAAUUCAUUCAUUCUUUCGAAUUAUAAAAGUAUCAUUAGUCAAAAGUUUUAGUAAUAAACUAAACUCAAUUCAACAAAAAGUUAUUUGGAUAUCGUUGUUUCAUUGCCAGUGCACUGACUUUCUUUAUAGAAGUAUAUGUUAAUGAUUCUUCUAUUAAAGCUCUUCAAAAUACCUAAAUUUUAUUUUCUAACUUCUUCUCGUAGUUAAUGUAACUAAUAAAUAGAAUCUGAAAAUUCACAUAAAAUAUUUAUGAAAAUGUUGAUAAUUGUUACUAUAUGUUGUUUUCGUAAGUACUUUUAAUGCUAGUAACGAUGUUAUAUUACAUUGAUUUAUAUUUUUUUCAAUUAGAAGUUUUUUAAAAUAAAUUAAAGCAAUAAUAAUAUUUUAGCUCCCUAAUGUUUUCAAUCUAUCCAAUAAGUAUAUAAUUUAAUCAUUUUAUAAAAUAAGUCACUAAUUUCAAUUGGAAAUAAUACAAUUGAAUUAGGGACAUAUUUGAAUAUAAAAUAAUAGCUCAAUUGUUAUACUAAAUUGAUGAAAAUAUAAGGGUAAUUGAGUUAGGAAAAUAUUUGAAUAUAAAGUAAAAACUUUAUUGUUAAACUAAAUUGAUGAAAACAUAAGAAUACUUGAGUUAGGGACAUAUAUGAAAACAAAAUAACAACUCUAUUAUUAUAAAAAAUUUAUAAGAAAACAAGGUGUAUAAAUGAUUUUUUCUGUUCUAGACCAAGCUACAGCCUAGUCUAGCCAGCUGUAGGUCUCCCACUACUUGCUAUUUACAUACAGACAUGUGGCCCUUAUUCUAAUAUCUAUAGGAAAAGACACCUAUACUCCAAGAUUUGAAGAAAGAUUUGAAGAAAUAGUCACGUAGAUCUCUAAGUUUUCAGUAACCACAAUUUCUCUUUGACUAUAAUAUUUUUUGUACUUAGAAAAAAAAAUGACUUUAGAUUUUUUUAAUAAAUAUAAAUAUAAGUUAAAUAGUUUAAUUUGUCUAAUAGACUAAUAAUAUUAGAAUAUUUUUAAUAUAUAAAAUAAUUUUUAAAUAAAAAAUAUUAUAUUUAUUUUAAUAAUAUAUUUUUAUUUAUCAUAAAAAUAUUAAAUAAAUCUUUGGGGUUAAAUAGAAUUUAAAAUUAAUAAAACACAUCUCAUUAAUAAAAUAUAUCUCAUGUACUAAUAAUAUUGAAAUUAUUUUAAUAUAAAAUUUAUUUUAAAAUAAAAAUAAAUUUAGAAUAUUGAAAAAUUUUAUAAAAUUUAUUUUAAUAUUAUGUUCUUAUUUAUUAUAAAAUUUAGUCUAAUAUAAUGUAAGAUUGUAAAGUAUAAAAAUAUUUUCCUAAAUUGAAGUUGUUUUAAAAUGUUAAUAUUUUAUGUUUAUUUCAAUAUUAUAUUUCUAUUUAUUAUAAAUCAUAGGAGUCAAUUUUUUUCAGUUAAUAGAAUCAAAGGGUAUUAUAGUCAAAAGAGGUAUUGGUAUUCCUUAUUAAAAAUUUAGGCGUCUACAUGACUAUUUCCCAAACCUUAGGGUGUAACUUUCUUUUCUCCAAAAUUUAUGAUUCUCUGUAGGUAUUUCAUGAAGGAAAACGAUAUUUACACUGAAUCAAAUCCCGAACUAAUUAAAAUGCACUAUUUCAGCUUAAAUAAUGGUAAAUAUUUGUUUAGUCUCUAUAUUUUGAAUUAAGUACCGUUUAGUCCCUCAAGACACCUUUUUCAGUAAGCACAAUAUAAUCCUACCCUUACUUUUUCUUUGAUUCUAUAAUAACAUGCUUGCAACAAUAUUUUUAGAUAUGUUAAUGUAAAGAAAAAUUUAAAUUUAUCAAAUCAGCCUUAAAAGAAAAAUACAAAUUAGUUGUUAUUAUUAUUAAUAAAAUAAUAAAAUAAUAAAAUAAUAAUAACAAUAAUUAACAUUAAUUAAAAUAAUAAAGUUAAUAUAUUAUAUAAAAAAUAAUAUUUACAUUUAUCAAUUUUUCAUGUGUUCAAAAUUUUUUAUGUGAUAUUACAUUAUUAUCUUUACACCAUCAAUCAUUUUUAUGAUCAAGUUAGGCUAAUGGAUCAAACUUUAAAAAAUUUAAAACAAUAGGAGUUAUAUAAAUAAAUAUUUAAAAAAUUUUGUUUUUAUGAUAUUAUAAUAAACGGUAGAGACUUAAGUGUUAAUAACCAAUUGAACACGUUGAACACUUUAGCUAUUAGAUCUGGCUAAAUUAGAAAAAGACAAAAUUUAGGGUACCGUGCAACUGUUGCAAGGUAGGCGGACCCGUUAUAUUUAAUAUAGAAUAAAUAAACUAAAUAUGUGUAAAGAAUCUAGGUUAGUAACCUUGCAAUACUUCAGAAAAUUAUAAAAUACAAAAGGUGAAAUUUCAAAAUAAGGAAUUGUAAAAAGUGUUAGGUUCUAAAAUUUUAUUAUUUUAAUAUUACAAAAAUUUACUUUUUUAUUACAUUUUUAUUUUUAAUAUUAGUUGACAUUUUAGUUUAUUUGUAUAUAAUAUAUGUUAAUUUACCUAUAAAAUACUAAUAUUACUCUUGAAAUUUAAAGAAGUCAUUUUAAUUUUUAAAAAUUUUAAAUGUAGCCCAACAAAGUCAUAGAAAUAUAAAUAAAGAAUAACAUAAAAGGAAGUUAAUUUAAUUUUUUUAAGAAUAUUUCAAAAGCAUUUGAGUUUUAUGUUUCUUGAGAAUUAUACCAUUUUUUUUUAGAUAUUUGAGCUUGUGAAACUUGUUGUAAUGAUAAUUUAUUAUUUAUUCUUGAUUAAAAAUAAUUGAAUAGUAAAUUUAUUGGCUUCUAAUUACUCUUUUAAAUGUAGGGUGGUUGCUUAAUUUUUAUUAUGUUUCCUUAAACUUUUUGAUGAUGGCUAAUCAACCAUUGCAAAAGACUCUACCUGAUUAUUGUUUCCUUAAACUUUUUGAUGAUGGCUAAUCAACCAUUGCAAAAGACUCUAGCAUGAUUAUUUUUACUUUCUCUACAUCCCUCUAGACCAUCAUCACUCAAAGAAUUAAGGGUUCACUUGGCAUACUGUAUUAUACUAUACUGUAUUGCAUUAUUUAAUAUGGGUAUAUUGUAUUAUGUUAUAUUACAUUAGUAAUAAAUUAUAAUAAUAUUUGUACAACAUUUGGUAAUUGGUAUUACAUUGUACUGCAUUAAUUUUAUAUUAAUAUUAAACUAACAUUAUUUAAAUUUAUUAUUAAUUAUAUUAAAUUAUUAUUUUUAUAUUAAUUAUUUUUAUAUAAAUAUAAUAUGAUAUAAUAAAAUAAUAUGAUAGUAUAAUUUACUUUUAUGUUUUUAUUUAUUAUAAUAAAAAUAAAAAUAUAUUUAAUGCUCAAUUAAGGUAAAAUAAUAAUAAUAACAAUAGUAUUACUUAAAAAAAAAUCUAUAAAGUUUAAUGAUGAUCAUGAUGUUGACGACAUUAAUAAUAACAUAACAAUUAAAAUAAUAAAACUAAUAAAUUUUAAUAAUGUUAAUAUUAAUAAAAUAAUAAUAACAAUAAUUAACAUUAAUUAAAAUAAUAAAGUUAAUAUAUUUUAAUAAUAGUAAUAAAAUUAAUAUUAAUGACAGUAAUAAAAUUAAUAAAUAAUAAUAUGACUUAAUUAAAAUAAUUAUAACAAUUAAAAUCAUAAAUUUUAACAAUAAUAAUAAUAAUAAUAAUAUUAUUAUUAUUAAUAUAAUAAUAAUGACAUUAAUAAAUAAUACUAAUAAUAACAUUCAAAUUUUUUUUAAAGCUAUUUUAUCCCAAAAAAGGGACUUAUAUAUAAAAUUUUGUAAAUUCUAGUGUCUAUUCAAAAUUUUCAUAAAAUAUAAGAUAGUGCAGUGUAAUUAAUAAAAAAAAGACAAAAUGAUAUGCUGCAACCGUUGCAACAUAUUUUCAUCCUUGUUUGUGAUCCUUAAUCAAUAAAAUAUCUGACAAUAUCUUCGCCAAAAGUUUAAGACAUGUGAUCCUUAUUCCACAGCGUCAAUGAAACUCCAGUCAAAUGCUGCCAUCAUUAUUGAACAGUCGAUAUCCAGCACGUGCACGAAGAUUCCAAGAAGUUGCAUGGCUAUCGACUUUUAGAUGCUAAGCCUCAUUGCGUUGAUGAUACACAAAACAGACGGUCAAGGUAAUUGCCAAAACUUAGAACUAAACAGUAGCUUAGUCAGAAAAUCAAACGCCAGUACCGGUAAAAUGACCGAUAAAAAUAUAAGGACAUAAAAAUUUUAAAGUUUUACUUUAUUGCUUUUUUAAUCUUAUUACUAUUUCUCCUUGCACUUCUAAAGAAACCAAAGCUUUAAAAGAAAUCAGCCAAAUCACAAAGAUUGAAGAGUAAAUCUAUGGUUUUAAAUUUUUAUUUUAUUUUUUUAGAUAAUAGAUAUUAUUUUGAUGAAUUUUUUAAUAUUAGAAUAAUGUUAGGAAUUCUAACAGUAGAAUUCUAACUUGGAACCCAAUUGAUAUGUGUCAUUUUUUCAUUGGAUAAUGAAUUUCAUCACUAGUAAAAUUAAUAUUUGGAUCAUCUAAUAAAUGACUACCAUAUCAAUUGGGACUCAAUUAUUGGGAUCCUUAAAAUUGCUCUUAGUAUUAUAUUGGACAUCUUAGCUAAAUCAAAUUAAAAAUUAAAUUAGAUUUUAGGCUUUAUUCAACAUCUCUUUUUGUCUUUUUUUUGGUCUAUUUGAAGUGAACGAAAUAAAAAUACAAUAGGGUCAACGACUGGGCAAUUGAUAGUCAAGUAGAAGCAAAUCAAGGCUAAAUGGGAAAGAGAAAUUAUAUUAGUGCAAAACAAGGAGAAAAACAGUGUAACAGAAGAGAAUCAAAGUGCUUUUGAGAUCAGAAAUUGAAACAAGAAAAGGGUCGCUUGAUCCAAUGAAAAUGCAAAGAGCUGACGGCAAAAGGGAAUAAAGUUAAAUAAGAAAAUAGCUAGCGCUAGCAGCAACCACAAUAAACAGAAAAUUUGAGAUGGAUUUACAAUAUUUCUGCCUUUCUUCAUGCUUUAACAAAUAUUGCUUUAUAAAAAAAAAGAAAUUGAGCGUUUUUAUUAUUGGAGUCACAAAAGACCUACACAAUAUAGCAAGUGACUGGGAAUAAAUAAAAAUAUAUAACUGAUAAGUGCAUAUUUUCCAUAUAUUUUGUUAUUAAUUUCUCCAUCUUUUUCUUGAUUUGAUCUUAAAUAUUCUAGUUAUUUUAGUUAAUUUUUAAUUAAUUGUAUUAUUUUAUUGAAUAGGGAAUUAAUUGGAGAUUGUGGAUAAAAAGGGCAUGAAGAAAUUCAAAUUGAGAAGGAAUAAGGAUUAAAUUGGAAAAGGAUUUCAAUUAGAAUGGAAAAAGGAUUUCUUUAUUCUUGUUGGAGAAGAAUUCGGUCAACUAGCUUUAUAAAAGGGGAGCUGCUGGAUGAAAAAAAAGGAGGAGAAUAUUCGGCAGCCAAGAGGAUUUGAGGAACUAGCAGCCGAAAGAAGGAAAAGCAAGGGAGAAACCGAAAAGGAAUUGAAGAAAAAGGCAGCUGCUUGAAUUAAUCUCCAUGAUUGGUUUUGUCAAUUCUCUUAUUUCCAAUUCAAUUAUGUUAGGCUAGAUUUUUAUUUGGUUGAGGGUGAAUUCAAAACCCUAAACAUGCUAUGCAAUUAAAUUUAAAUUCUAUCAUUUAAUUUAUUUAAUUGAGAUUGUUUAUGUUCUUCUAUAAUUAAUGUUCAUGGUUUGUUCUUGUUUUAUUUGAGUGGCCAAUUAGAUAGGACUUGAAUAAAUUUUAUUGCUAGAUUAAAAUUCUUGAUCCGUAAUUAUCUUGAUAUUUUAAUUAUUAGUAACAUGUUGGAAUUAGUGAUUUCAAUUAAAGAACAUAACCUAGGUUAAAUAAUCCGAGCUUGUGUGUUUAUUGCCUAGAUCAACCUAAUAUCUUUCUCUGUUUAAUGCUUCCAUUAUCUUAAAUUUAAAGAGCUUGUUUUAAAUUAUUUAAUGGUUAGAGAUUAGGUGAAGAGCUUAUUUUGCCUAACGACACACUAAGGAAAGAUUGAGACUAACAGAGCUUAUUGUUGUCUACGGUUGAUAGUUUUAAUAUAAAUUAAUGAUAGAAUUGAUAUAUUAUGUGCAUGUUUGGUGGUGGCGAAUGAUCCUUUAACCAAAGUUUUCAUCAUUAAUAUUUCUUUCUCCUUUAAUUAGAGUUUUUAUUAAAUUCUUGUUCGUAGUUUUAAUUUCUUUACUUCUUACUAUUUAGUUAAAAAUUCAUAAACCCCCUCUUUUAUUUAUAAUUGGUAAUUUCCUUAGUUAGAUUAAUUUAUAUUAUUAUUACUACUAUUAUUUUAUUUUAAAUCUUGCUUUAGAGUUGAUAAUAAAUAUAACUACAUAGUCUUUGUGGGAUCGAUCCUUACUCGCUCUGUACUAAUUAUUUAUAUUAGUGGUAAGGUUAUAAAUUUGGUGCACCUUAACGACACUACCAAAUUUUUGUAACUCUCUCUCUAAUUCUCACUCUAGCUUUUAAUUGUCACUCAAAACCCAGAAUUCAUCCUUAAAGUGUAAGCAAAUCAGAGAUGACAACGUCUGGCUGUCAUACGUGCCUUUUAGUUUUCGGAUGACAUGGCGUACACUUCUUCUGUAAACCGAACACGACAUGUCGUACUCUUUGUUUUGAGAUCAUAUUUCAAACUCUUCAUGCUAUGAAUGAAAGAUAAACUACAAUCAUAAACAUAUUUAGUGUUUAUUUGGUAAUGUAACGUUAUAGUUGUUGUGAAUUGAAAUUAUUUCUGUAAAAUAAAAGGAAUAUUUAUAAUAGUAUAAAAGGAAUAUUAAUAGAGGAUGUAUUAAUAUAAAAUUUGUUUAUUGGUGUUGAAGUUAAUUAUCUCAUUAAUAAUACUAUAAAAAUUUUAAUUACUAAGAAACACAUAGCAGUAGUUAAUUGGUGUCAUAUUAUUGGGAUUCAGGGAUAUAAUUUUAUAUCAUAACUUUGUAAGUGUAUAAUUACUCAUUAAAUUAAGAAAAUUAUUUAAAAAUAUUUAGUUGGAAAAAAUAAAUUAUAUUCUUUUUAUUUCAAAUAAUCUAUAAGUUAACUCAAAACAUAAUCAAGCUGAGAAUUAAAAUAAUGCUACUAUAUGAGAGGAUUUUUAUUUUUUCCCGAAGUUUCACUAGGAAAUUAUUGAUAUAUAGCUUUAUUCGGAUCAUCUCAGUUCAAACAACAAAUAAUUGAAAGACUAAGCUAAAUAGACCAGCCAACAACUUUGUGCAAGAGAGUUCAAAAAUUAAGGUCAUGGUAUUGAGGUGUUCUGUCUUGAAAAGUACAGCAUAGUGAUAAAAUAAAAACUAUUAAUCUAUGGUAAGGUAUGACUUUUAAAUAAUAAUUUUCACAAAAAUACAAAGAAUAUUUAUAAAGUACUUCUAUAGUGAGGAGAUCCUUACUUUGUUAAAGUAAAAAUAUCAAUAAUAUAAAAAAACAUAUAUUUUAACACAUUAAGAACUGUAUUUUCUUAAUCUAUUGGUGUAUUGAAAUAUGUGUUAUUUAGUUUGUUAGUGACAUCAUCACUUUGUUAAAAUAAAGAUGUCGUCACUAGAGAAUCAUUAUAUAUACAUAUAUAUAAAGUGUUUCUCUCCAAAACCUAGACUUUAUUAAAAUUUAAGAAAGCAAAUAUAUUUUAUAUGGUAUAAUAGUGUAAUAACAUCACACAAUUAUAUCAUAUAGAGUAAUAGUUUUUGGAACUUUAAUAAAGUUCAAGAUUAUAGAAUGAAUGAUUUAUAUAUAUUAUAAUUUUUUUAUCAUAGAGUGGAGGACAAAAUUAACAUAUUUUCUAAAUUAUAAUAAGUAAUUAUCAAAUAAUUUAACAUUGUAUUUCUCCUAACUAGUAUAGUAAAUAUGACCUAGGAGGUACAUUCAAAGCAUUUCAUAAGUUAGUUGUUAAUAAUAAAUGAUACAUGCAGCUCCAAUCAUCAUUGUACGGUGAGUAAUUUCCAGUUAUAAAUAGAUAUUACUCCCUUCUCAGCAAUUUUUUAUGGCUUAAUUUAGUGGGAUCAAAUCAAAAUCAACAUUGAAUAGUCAAAAUAUUAAUGACCAAACAGACCCAGAUAGAAUAAUAUUAAAUGUAGUUAUCUCAAACAAGAUAGAAUAAUAAUUGAUAAGGUAGGUGUAUGAGUGUGUGUGAUGUGUACUCUUUAUGCCAUUGUGUAUAUAUAUAUAUUUGUUUUUUUUUUCUAUUUCGCGUGGUUCCACCAUGCAUAAUUGAAGGGCUUCAAAUUCUUAAACGUUCGGUCACCGAAAUUGAAAUCCCAAUGGAACAAGUAAUUAAGCAUGUUAAUUCAACAAGAUUCACUCCCUUUAUUACUUAAAAGUUAUUUUCGCUUUUGAUAUUGAUACUUAUUUUUACAUUUGCAUGCACUAGGGCAGACGCGAAGCUAAAGGUGGGCUAACCCAGGCAGCAGCCUCGGUUAGCUUUUUGAAAAAAAAUAAUUAAUUAUAAUUUAUAAAUUUAUUUUAUUAAUAUAUAUAAAAAAUAAAAAUAAAUCUAAUAUUUGAUAAUAUUUUUCUUAUUUACAUUGUAUUUUUAUAAUUUUAUGGUUAGAUUUUUAUGUAUAUAGUGUGCUUAAUUUCGUUUAUAUAAAACAAAUUUUUUGAAAAGUAAAUUUCAUUUUUUAAAAAAAUCUAGCCCACCCAAAAAAAUACGCUAGCUUCGCCACUGCACUAGGGACAUAUUAAUCAGGUGGGUUAUAUUACAACCAGAGGAUUUAAAUUUGAUUUAAGAUAUGUGGGGUCUGCUUUUGGAUUUAGAAAAUUUGCCCAUUAAGAGUUGAAACCAAGUGACCUACCGUUAGAUUAGAUUAAUAGUGAUUUCUUGUAGUAAACAUUUGUGAAUUUGAAAUAUGUGAAUUCUAUCCUGGUGAUACAAAACAAGCUUCUUGUACACGAGAACUAUUUGUUUUUAUGAUUUGGAAACCAAUCUAUAAAGAUGAAUUAAGUUGGCAUAAUGGUACAAAGCAACUUUAAUUUUUCAAUAAAUUCAAAAGUUGGCAGGUUGGUUGUGAUUAUUAUCUUUUCUUUUUUACUAUUUAAACUACAAUUAAUUGAAUCCAAAGACUAAAGGGUUGGAUCGAGAAGAAACUAAUUUUAAGUAGACAUUCCGGCGAAAAUCACUCCCAUGAUCGAGACACUCAUGCAAUCAAUACAAAAAAUGGACACAAAAAUUGUCUACUUAAGUUUGGUUGAAUGAUUUUAAAAAUAGUUUUAUUUGUUUCACACUCGAAUUUGUAUUUUGAAAAAGAGUGGGAGUUAAAAAUUGAUUUACACUUUAUCAAUUACUCUAUUUUAAAAAGAAAUAAAUAUUAAAAAAAUAAAAACAUUAAUUUCUUGUUUGUUUGUACUUACCAUUGUAGGAUAAAUAAAGUGGUUGACAAAAAUUAGAUAUCUUAAAAAUAAAUUCUAAAUUUAUAACUAAUGUAUAAUGAUUUCAAUUCACAUGUUUCAAUCCCAAAUAAAUUCUCCUUUGGUUAUUUGAAUCUUAGCACGGUAAGAUUUCAUUCUCUUGUAUGCAUUUGUGUAAACUUCUCCCUUUACCUUUAUCAUUUUAUCAACUGUAUUGAUUGCCAAACAACUUUAGGGUUUAGGCAUGAAUCACACAAGGGAAUGAUAUUGUGGCAAUUUUUUCCCCCUUCUUUCUUCUUUUUGAAAAAAAAAAUUAAUUAUAGCUUUGCUUUGAUGGGUAGAAGACUAGAAGACCAAUUAAUUUCUUUUUGUUGCGUGGUGAUAAUAAUGGUGAAAAUUGCUAUGUGCGUGUUGGUGAUUGCAUUGCUAAUCACAUAUUGCUUCCCAUCAUGGAGACAAAGGGGACCCCUCUAUCAAAGCUAGCUGUUGAAAUAUCAUACCCAAAAUCACAUGAAUUCAAAGGUUGAAUGGGAAAACGAUCUUGCUUCUUUGUAUGUUUUAUUUUAUUUAAAGACUUAUUUUUCCCAUAAGAGAUAAGCUUGGAUCUAUCUUUCCUUUUAAUCAUUUUAGCCUCCAACUCCCAUCUUUUUCAAAAGUUUCGUUUAGCCCAUUUUGAAUGGCAAGGUAAGCUUCAAUCAACGCUACAAGUUCUAGUGAUUCCCGUCAAUAUUCGAUUGCAUGUAUGUAGCUUUGAAUGCUCAAAUUUAUUUUAUUUAUUAGUUGUUAUCACUUAUCAUUUUCUUUUUAAUAAUGAGAUUUGGGCAUUUUCUUUUUAAUAAUGAGAUUUGGGUCCCUAGAUGGUGAUUAGCCAACAGUCUAGUUAUGAGAAAUUAAUGUCUUAAUUACAAUGACAAAAAAAGGCAAGUGGGGAUCUCAUUUGCCAUUAGGUAACACAACAUCUUCAGCAUUGGAGCUUUUCUUCCUUUCUCUCCUUCUUUCUUUCUUUCUCAAAAUAAUUGAAAAUCUAAUGCAAUACAAUUAAAUUGAUCAACGAUCUAAUUUAAUCAAUACAUUAUAUUAAGAUAUUUAAAAUAAAAUCGGUUCAAAUGGAAUGAGAAAUUCUACUCACAAAAUAACAACAUUUAUUCCCGAAUUCAAAUAACCUUGGAUUCCAAAUGCAUUCAAGACUAGCCAGGCUGCAUAUCCAAGAAGAAAACAAAAUCAAAACUUUAGCCACAAACAUAUACGUGUGUGUGUAUGUGUGUGUGUAUAUAUGUGUGUGUGUGUCUGUGUAUAUAGAGAGAGAGAGAGUUCUUUCACUAGGUUCAUUUGCGUGAAACUUUUUGAUCAUUUAGGUUUAAGACUAUAUCAUAUAUCCUAUUGCAUGAACAUUGAUUAAUAUGAAUGAGUCAAACCCACUAAGCUUGUAACAAAAUCUUUUCAUAGUUACUAGAGAAUAUUUAUAUUUUUUUCAAACAUUAAUAAAAUUAUUGAAUUGCUUUAUUUAUAGUAUGUAUACAAUUAAUAGUGUAUGGAUUUUUUUAUCUAUUGGUAUAUUGAAAUAUGUGUUAUUUAGUUUGUUAGUGAUAUCAUCACUUUGUUAAAAUGAGAAUGUCCUUACUAGAGAAUCAUUAUAUAUACAUAUAUAAAGUGCUUGUGCUUCUAUCCAAGACCUAGAUUUUAUUAAAAUUUAAUAAAGCAAAUAUAUUUUAUAUGGUAUAAUAGUGUAAUAACAUCACACUAUUAUAUCAUAUAGAGUAAUAGUUUUUCGAUUUUUUUAAAGUUCAAGAUUAUAGAAUGAAUGAUUUAUAUAAAUUAUAAUUUUUUUAUCAUAAAUGGAGGCGAAAAUUAACAUAUUUUCAAAUUAUAAUAAGUAUUUAUCAAAUAAUUUAACAUUGUAAUUUCUCCUAACUAGUAUAGUAAAUAAUAUGACCUAGGAGGUACAUUCAAAGCAUUUCAUAAGUUAGUUGUUAAUAAUAAAUGAUAUAUGCAGCUCCAAUUAAUCAUCAUUGUACGGUGAGUAAUUUCCAGUUAUAAAUAGAUAUUACUCCCUUCCCAGCAAUUUUUGAUGGCUUAAUUUUGUGGGAUCAAAAUCAACAUUGAAUGUCAAAAUAUUAAUGGCCAAACAGACCAGCUGCCAACAACUUAUUCCAAUGUGAGUAGUUCACAGUGGGUACUGCACAUGAUGCUUGUUUCUCCUUUUGCAUCUAUUUUUGUUGUUAACAUUAAUUUCAAUAGCAGCUCUUUAAUCCCAAUUGUUGAUUUGGGACUAGAUAAGAAUUUAUCUUGGAACUCCAAUUCUCCCAAUUAUUUUAGUUGACAAUAUGUUUAACAUUAUUUUUUUAACAUUAUUAAUUACAUAUUAUUUAAUUAUCAGUAUAUAAUAUUCUUUAAUUUUCUAAUUUUAUAGGAUUAGACACAAAAUUGAUUAUGCCUUUUGAAAUUUAAGGGUUAUGUCAAUUGAAUAGAAAACUUGGAGUUAAACUUGUGGAUGUUUUUGUUGAUUAUCAAUUUAUGCAUGAAUUUUUGUACGUUUAUUUGGCUUAUUAUUAUUACUUUUAAACAUUUUUAUUGGUUUGAUUUAGGGUCAGUUUGGUAAUUCUAUAGCUUUUAAAAUAAUUACAGUUAGCUAUGCUGUAGAAAUUGAUCAAUCGUCAAGAGAAUCAGCUGAACAUUUAGUAAAAUUUAUUUUUAAAAGUACUUUUAGUUUUAAAAGCGUCGCAUGUGUUUCGUAAGUUAUAUACAUUGCUGAUUCUAUAUUAAUAAUGUUAUGUUCUAUUUUCAGAAAUUAUAAUACAAAAGUUUUUACAAUGGCGUGCAUCUACAAACUGAAUUGACUUGUAGAAUAAGAGCUUGGAGUAGUGUUAUGUUCUUGAAUAAAUGAAAGUUCAUAUGGUGUAAGAGCAUGUAGAUGUAAAGUGUCAUUACCAUUUCUAUAAAGGACUUUCAUUCUGUUCGGAUGCUCCUCUUGAACUCUGAAGGGUGCUUCAUUCAUAACACACAUAAUUUAUGCCAGGGAAGAGAAGAUGCCAAAAAAGUUGAAGGUGAUCAUUCAUAACUUUUCAGAAAGUUGUUGCAAAACAGAAAUCACCCAUCACGAUCGGUCGUACAAGUGUCUGCUACGAGUGCAGCAAAACGUUUGUCACGCUAGUUGUGCUAAAUGGACCUCUCCUGUGUGCCUCUAAAAUCAAUGCAUGUGAUCAUGUCGGUGAUUCAAUGGCUGGUGGGGAUGAGUCCACUCAAAUUCUGAAACUAAUCAGGUGAAAUAUAAACCCUUUUUGUCUCCUUCUUUAAUUGUAUGUUUUACUAUCCAUGUUUUACCCAAAAAAAUUGUAGGUUUACACUUUGCAAUCAAAUUUUGUAGUUGUGCUUUUUUCUUGCUUUUAUCCUAAUAAGCAAAAAAUCUAAUUAAUCCUAAUUAAAGGUGUUUUAAAAUUUAAAUAGAGAAAGUACCAUUGAGAUUUGAGAGAAAAUGAAUCGAUUGAUUUACUUCACAGUAUGAAUACACAGAGAGUUCGCUUGCUUUAUAUGCAGUAAUCUAACCAACUUGUUAACUAAGCUACUAUUCCCAGCAAAUCAAGCUAACCAAUCCCACUACUCAGCUUGUCUACUACAGAUCACAGAACCACUUGGGCUGAGCCGUAAUUCCAUGUCAUCAGUCUGUGCAACAACCUCAUUGAUCACUUGUUGUGCUGACUAUCGAACAACAGUGUGCCUCUUUAACAUAAUAGACUAAGCUCGUAUGCAUAGGAAUGGAUCUUUUAUUAUUGUCAUUAACUAUCUGUCCCUAAGGGUUUGGUUGAGUGAUUUAUUCCUUUAGUUGGCCCUCCCAAUCUUUUGGAUUGUUAUUGUCAUUAAAUAUCGGUCCCUAACUGCGUGAUGUAAGUACUUUCUAGAAGAUAUCUAAAUGGUAAAGCGACAUUACCAUUUCUAUAAAGGACUUUCAUUCUGUUCAGAUGCUCCUCUUGAACUCUGUAAUUCAGAUCCUAGCUAUAACUACUAGCUUUGAUUAAUUAAUUUCCUGUACUAGCUGAAACAGAUUUAUUUAUUUAAAUAAUUGUGUAUGUACUAAUUAUAAUGAAAGUAUAUGAAGAAAUUUUUUAACAUGAAUGACUUCUAAAUGACUUAAAAACCUAAACAAAUAAUGCUCAUUUCACUUGAACGAGCCUAUUAAUACUUGUAUGUCUAUGAUUUUUAAUAUUGGCUUAAGCGUUUCAGUUAAAUGGUUUACAUAAGAGGGAAAAAAAUUUAAUGGAAAACUUUAGAGUUCUAACAGAAAUAUAAUUGACUAUGCAGAUAUAGUUAUUUUAUGGUAUACAAAUCAUGUUGCCUUAAUCUCAAUGUCCUAUGACCUAUUUUAUUUUAUAUAGUCAUUCCUUUUGGCCAUGGCUUUUUGUUUUUAUGAGUACGGAAAUAGUGGGAUUUGGUGUAUCUUAGCAUCUUUGGAAAAUUCUCUUUAAAUGUGGCAAACAAAAAUAUACAUAUAAUCAAGUUUCUUAAUCAACUAUCAUAACUGGCUAGCUAGUUCUUGCCUGCCUUGCUGCCAUUACCCAGGCCAUUACAUUGCAUAGCAUAAGGAAUAGUGAUUAGGUGAUUAUUAGUGACUCGUUGAGCUUAUUAUUGACCAAACAAAUAUAUUUGCCUUUACCCACAACUUAGUUUGAUUAGUUAUUAGACCAUAAAGAGCGUAAAUCUGUUCAUUGGCUUUGUUAUUUUUGUUUGGUUUUUCUUUCAACAAUACUGUUAAUUUCUUAUAAAAAUAUUCAUUGGUUUUUAAACACCUAAUCAUUGGCUAUAAUGAAGCUAAUUGAAACUGAGGCUUUGGAUCAAUUCCUUCUGGCAAGAUACAAAUGAGCAUAACCUAUAUCCUCUAAGUAAAUUUUUCUAAUAUGCUUGAUUUGUUAGUAUCCGGAGGCUUGAAUCCUCUAGAUUUUUUUAACACUGUCAAUGUUCUUUUUACUCUGAAAAGGGAAAAAAAAGGUUAUAUCUUUCAUACCCUAAUAAUAAGUUGUCCUUGACUUAACAUGCCUUCCUGAGGAUUUGCAAGAUUCACAAGCAGCUCAACAACACCCCCCCCCAAAAAAAAGCAAAUACGAAGAUUUUGCAAGAUUCACAACCAGGUUAUAUUUAAUUUAUUAAUUGUGUGCACGUACUAGUUAUAUGUUGAAAGAAUAGGAAAAAGUAUUUUAACAUGAAUGACUUAAAACUUAUUGCUCAGUAAACUUAAUCUGCAUCAGUGCUAGAUAAUGUAUUUAUUGUUUGUAUUUUUUAUGGAUUUGCUUAAGAAAUGAUAUGCGAAAUAAUGCUAUAUUGUAUUAGGAAUAAAUUGAAGAGAUUUAUGAUAUUUAUGUGUUUUUAAAUUUCAGAUUGAAUUUUAAACUUUCAAUACAUGCAUUGAAAGCUUAGAUCGUUUAAGAAAUUAUUAAUAGACACAUGUUUUAUUAGUGUCAUCUUUGGAUGAUAGCGAGGAUCAUAUGUCUAUUAAUAAUUCUUGAAUUGUCUAGGCUUGAACUGUUUGGGAAUGCAUAGUUUUCUACGGUGGCUAGUAGCUGAAGUUUUUUUCCCACGUAAAAAUGGGUUUUUCGCUAGCUACUUCUCAUCUUCUUUGGGUGCAUACUAGAUAACACAUACACACUCAUAUAUCUAUGUCGUGUGCUAGGAGAACUAUUGGGAGAUGCUGCCGAAAUUCCUAUAAACGUAGAAGAAAACUUUAAAGUACUUGAGAUUGAAGAGACUUAUGCAUUCUUGAGAGGGAUAUAUGGGACCACUUACCUUUUGUAAAUAUGAAGGGAGUGUUGGACAUAUUGAUGGGAGUGAAGGAGCUGAGUUGGAUGGAUGUAAUUGGUUAUGGUUUUGCUGAGUUAACUUGGUUUUGACCUAGUAGUUUUGUUUAUAAAUGGAGUACUAUCUCCAAUGUUGGUUUAUAAAUAUGUUUCAGCUGGCUGACCUAAUUUUUUGUUUCUAGGUAACAGGCUUUAUAUCUGUAAUUGAUAGCCAACCGAAGUUCUCAGCUGUGGGUGAGGAUAUUUCUUUACAGAAGGUAUUGGAAACUGUUUUUUACAUUAAUUAUUGUGGUAUUUAUACUUGAAAAUCUUUUUCUCUGAUUCUUGUCGCUUUGCUUGCUUUCAUAUGUAUAAAUUCUAAUGAAAUUAACCAUAAAAUUGUAUAAUGAUUUUUUUUAAUUAUAUUGCAAAACUGUGCACACACGAAAAUAUCUUGGUCAUUAGUAGAAAUGAAGAACUAAAAUGAUUUAUCUAACUAAUUUUUGUAGUGCAUUAAAAGGAGAUGAAAAUGGAGAAGAGUUGGGUUGGUUUGGCAAAUAGAUAUCCAAGUUAUAGAUUUUGUAUUUGAGAAUGUUGUUGGUAAUGCAAGAAUUUAUUAUCCUUGUAAGGAGUGUCGAAUAUUUUGUUUUAAGGGAAGUAUCAAGAGACCAUAUCAUUAUAAAUGGUUUUUGGUUAAAAUAUUAAAACUGGAUAUUGCAUAGUGAGCCAUCUUCAUCUUUGGAAUCUAGCCAAGAAACAAGUUGGUCGUGACUCAGGUGCUGAUGAUGAUAUGAUUGGAAUGAUACAUGAUACAUCACAUAAUCAAAUGUUCAAUUCACACGCAGCAUUGUUAUGGACUAUCAGUGACUUUCUAGCAUAUGCCAACUUGUUUGAGUGGAGUAUUAAAGGUAAAUAAGCAUUUCUUGUUUGCCAACAAAACACUAGAUCUAAUUGGUUGAUACAUAGUCGAAAAUUUUGUCACGUCGGUAAUGUCGAUUUUUACCGACGAAUCAUAGGUUUUGAAAAUAUAGUGCCUUUUGAUAAAAGUAGAGAGUGGGGACAAGCACCUUCUCGGAUGUCUGGAGCUGAAGUGAAAAAGCAGUUGAGUAAUAUACUUACUGAGUUUAAGAUUGAAGACUUGAAAAGAGGAGAAUGAGUAAAAUGAGAGAAAUGAUAAGAUUACUUGGAAGAAGAAAAGCAUAUUUUAUGAACUACCGUGUUGGGAGUCCAAUUUGAUUCAUCAUAAUCUUGAUCUCAUGGGCUGUUUUGAUUUUUGUUAUGAACUCUGAUCAAAAGUUUAAUUUGAUCAAAAUUUCUUAAAAAUAGUGAAAACGACUCCUCCUAAUAACAUGGACGAUGGCUAUAACAGAUAAAAGGAAAGGAUUAAAAAGAAAAGCUAUGCCUGUUAAAAAAAGAAAAAAAAUUGGUGGCGUCAAGUUUAUAACAAAAAUUAAAACGGUGCGUUUGAGAGUGUAUAAAAUACAUUUAGAAUGGGAGCUGUGUUGUUUUUUGAAGGUAGAAUGAUUGUGAGAUAUUUGUCGACGAAGCCGAAAUCAAAGAUGAAGCCCAUAGAGCUCAAAACUCCACCAGAGCAAACUCAAGACAAUUAUUGACAUAGUCAAUGAUUGUAUUUGACAUAGUCAAGGAACAGGGUCCUCUCACUGUUGUCGAAACAUGGGAACGCGUCAAGGUGUGUGCAUCUGAUUGAGUGUGUUUUACAUUCAAUGAUCACUGAUCAUAAUACUAGUAGUUGUUUUACAUUUUCAGCAAGCAGGAGCGAGUGGAUUGACGGGCAAAAGCCACAUGAAGAUUGAGUGUGUUGAGUAAGCAAAUCCUGUGCACAAGUUGGUUCACCAAACCCAACAACUUGAAGCAACCAAAAUCAGGGAAUGAUCCUUCUCCGUGAUGGAAGUAAAGCACCAGUGAUGGAAGCUCCUCAGCAUGUAAACUUUUCAACAGUAGCACAGCUCUUAUUCCAGAGGCUGCACAGAAGAGCGACCUGAAUCCUCUUCAAAACUUUCAAAUUUUUAUCAAGUAAAGCUUUCAAAAUUUCUCAGCAAAUAGAUUAUUCAAAUGAAAGAAACACAAGGGAGUGACCUGAAUCCUCUUCAAAUCAGGAAAUUUAUUGCAUAAAUUACAAGAAGCAGUACACACCAAUGGUAAAUUGAUAAAUCGUUUUUUAACUUAAUAUAGUCAAAUGAAAGAAACACAGCGGAGGGUUAAUAUAACACUUUCAAAGCUGCAUUAGUAAUACGUUAAAGUGAAUACCCUCAGCAUGUAAACUUAACUUCAAAGGACGGAGCACAAGUUUCACAGAAAAGUAGCUCUUAUUCCUGAUGCUGCAAACACAGAGGAGUGUCCUCAAUCUUCUUCAUAACUUGGGAAUUCUGCAAUUAUAGAGCACGACAUUGAGCAUGAACUAUAAAAAAUAUUUAUUUUCUACAAUUUUCAUAUAACCUGACUAACCAAGAUUAAUUUUGUGGUAAUGUAUUGGGUCAUUAAUUCAUAUGUUUUUACUGUCAUCACUUUAGAAAAAACUAAUUUCUCAAUGUGAAAUGGCCCAUAAAAAGUAUUCUCAUUUAAAAACUAAAUUUGACAAACCCCUCGAUUAAAGCAGGGGAGAGAAAAGAAAAAAAAAAGAUCUGAAGGCUUUCCACAUGAAAAUGUUGUCACUUUGGAUGAUAUUUUCAAGGGAUUUCAUUCUAAAAAUAAAAUACCUGGGACCUUAUUCUUCAAAUUGACAGCUAGCCCAGUACUAAACGCGUAUGAGAUCAGUACUGUACUGUGACAAGUAACGAGACGACCCCUCCAACAGCUGAAAAUAUAAUUCGGAUUCAUCAAUUUAAAUUAAAAUUCAUAUUAUGAAAUAAAAACUAAUGAUUAAUGAAUUUUCGAGGAAUUUAAUAAGAUUCUCAUAUAUAAACGUGAUAAAAAAUUCUCUCGUCAAUAACAAAUAUUCUAACAGUUACCCGUACCUUUUCUUGAUGUAAUUGUUGUAUGAUUGUGUUAAGGUCAUUAUUAGACCAACGCCGUUUGUCCUCACUCCUUCCGUACCAGACGUUUACUCUCGGAGGCGUGCUUAAUUCUCCUUUGGUGAAAAUCUUCAUCUUGGGACAACUAAUCACCCACAAAUCUUGCAAAGAUGGGAAUUUGAAGGCGUAAUUGCCAGAGGAGAAGCUUGUGAGGCUGUCUAAAUCAAACAGGGACAACGUACUCAAUUUGCUGAAAACAAUCUCUUCUUCUAUAUUUGCUGUUUCAUCUUCGUCACUUAUUACGACUUCUGUGAUUGCUCUGCAUCCAAAUACACCCAAUGAUACGAGUCGCUCUAGACUUUUUGCUGUGGAGGAUGUUAGUAAGUUCAUCAAUUUCUUGCAAGCAAAAGCUUGCAGGCGUGUGAGAUUCCGAAAAGAUACCGAUGAUGAUGGCAAUAGACUUAACAGAUUUUGACAGUGAAAUGCUCUUAGAGUUUGAAGAUGUUGAAAAAUGAAGUCCGGCUGCUUGGAAUCGUGUUUCCAUAGUUGCUGCAGACGAUUAAGUCUGGUCAGGUCUAACCUUUUUAUCAGUGCCAGCUUCCUCGCAUGUGUCUCCAAAUAUCCUUCAUUUGAAAAUACCACUUCGUAUGAACAAUCCGACAGGAAGAGAAGUUCCAGAUUGUGAAACUUCUCAAGUAAACCAAGUGGAAAGCAAGCUAAGUCAUCAUCCCGAACCCGUAGUCGUUGAAGACUGCCAAAGAGGUGUUGUGGGAAAUCGUCUUGCAAAAUCAUCGUGAUGUCUUUUCCACUUAAUGCCAGUCCCUCCAAGUUGGGUAAGAUCUGAUCAUCAUCAAGCACAAAUUAUUAUCUUAGCACAUUGAUCCCUAAUUCCAGACUGGCAAAAUUCAUUGUGUAAUCAAAGUUUCAAUGAUCUAACUAACAUAUAUAUAUAUAUAUAGGUAUUUAUUAAAAUUCAUUGUGUAAUGCCAAAUCUCGUCGACAUUAAUAGCAUUCAGCUCCAAAGCCUCCAAAUUUGGCAACACUGCCUAAAGAUAAUUUUCUCUUUAGAUCCAAUAUCCAUAUAAGAAGUGCUUAUUGAGAGCUUAAUUAGUGAGUGUAUGAGAUUUUUUUUUUCAUUUUCUUUUUCUAAAUGAUUUUUUUUUUUUUUUUUUUUUUUUUGCACAUAUAGCAUCAAAUGCAAGUGCAUGAUAGAAUAAAAAAAAUGCAAUAUCCAUAUGAAAAACACUUGUGUGGGCCAAUUUGGUAUUACAGUUGCUGAUUAAAUAAAUUGCUUCUGCUGUACGGAUGUAAUAAGUAAUUGAUUAAAAAAGCAGGUAGGUGUUUGGUGAAUUAUGUUGUUUCAGUUGAUAUGAGUUUGAAAAGCAGCGUACAUGCGUUUGGUAAAUUUUAUUUUAAACUUGUUAUUUUAUCAUAUAAUGACCAAAAUAGACAUAAGUUUAAAUUACCUUUUAUUUUUUUGAAGUAUGUUUAAUAAUGUUUAGAUGUGUCAUUUUCUUUUUAAAACACGUAAAUUAUAUUAAGUGAAAAAACUUAAUAAUUUCUUACAUAAAAUACGAUAAAAAUUUAUACUAGUAUAUAAUCCAAAUAAAAUAAAAAAGUAAUAUGUAUUACUUUCAAAUUAAACUUGUUGCAAUAAACACCAUGACUAUAGAAAAAAUAUAAAUAUAUUGAAUGUUAAAAGCUAUGGUUAUGAAAUUGAUUUUUAAAGUUAUGAUUAAUUUUCAUGUAUAGUUCAAAAAAAAUUUAUAUAAUUACAUGCAAGUCUUUUUAAAUUUUAUUAUAGAAAAUACAAGUAUAAAUUGUAUAAUAUAAAAAAAAAUAUGAACUUAUUAGAUCAAAACUUUGAUAUUAGAGAGAAUAUAUAGUAGUUGUGGUGGUAAUAUGAUAUCUGAUGACUUAUAUAUUAGAGUGUAUGGAAAUAUAUGACAUAAUUAUCUUUGUUAAAAUAUUAAUAAGGUUAUGAUAGGAACUUUAAAAAGAUAUGGUAGCUUAUUUAAUAAGCUGCUCAUGAAAAGCAAUCUCUAUCUGCUUUUAAAAGUUACUGUCAAAAUGGAGAAAAUUAUAAAAUAAGAGUUUUUAUAAAAUUUACCAAACACUAUUUUUGUCACAGAUUAUGAAAUAGACAGUUUAUUGAGUUUUAACCUCAAUCCCAAACGGGGUCACAAUGCCACAUGAGAAGCACUUAUUGAGAGCUUAAUUUGUGAUUGCAGUUUUUACAAAAUUUACCAAACACUAUUUUUGUCACAGAUUAUGAAAUAGACAGUUUAUUGAGUUUUAACCUCAAUCCCAAACGGGGUCACAAUAGCCACAUGAGAAGCACUUAUUGAGAGCUUAAUUUUGUGAUUGCAUGAGUUUUUUUUAUUUAUUUUCUUUUUCUAAAUGAUUUAAUUUUUUUGCACAUAUGGCAUCAAAUGCGAGUGCAUUAUAGAAUAAAGGAAAAAAAAAGAAAAAGAAUGCAUUAGCCUACGCACCUUCUCGUUAAAAAGCAGAGUUGAAGUAUCCGAACUGAUCUCGUUGGAACUAGCUGUCAAUACCUCUUGUGACUCUUGUCUGUUUGGUGAUGUGGAAGGAGUCUUCACUUCACGGCAAAACCUUGUAACCUUUGGAAGCUUUCCCUGAGUCAAAGAUCUUAAUUGAUCAAACUCUAUCUUUUCAUCAACAUCAACAUCAGCUUCUCCUCCAGUUGCAAAAAUUUCUUCCAUGCUGCUGCAAUUGAUAACUGCAAUCCUCUCAAGUCUUGGAAGGCAUUUUGUACUACGAGAGAGCCAGAAGAUAUUACUCAACUCAUCACAAUUUUCCACUUUUAUGGUUUUGAGUUCAUUGAAGGACUCUUUUUUGAGUCGAUCAAUACAUAUCCUCUCCAUAUUGGUCAAAUUGUGAAGAGUAAGGGACUCCAAAAGAGGAAAGGCGAUACAAGGUUCCAAUUCUAAAACAACAUUCCUGAUUCCUUGCAACUUAUCCAAACAUAAGUAUUCAACGUUAUUGAUGCCCUGCAACUUCUUGGAGCAAAUGGCCAUAGAAUCAAGCUUGAGCUUCAAUGUUCUUAAACUCUCAUGAUUACUGAUCAUAAAGUGCGGCCGACUUUGAAACCAGUCCUUCCCAAUAACAUUGGUAGAGUCAAAAGAUCCAUCUCCUAUUGAUAUAUCAAACCUUUCCAGCUUUUUGGUAAAAAAGCCAUCUGGUAAAAUGCUAUCAUUUUUAACAUCUAUUUUUAAGGCGGUCAGUCGCUGCAAAUGCAUCAAUUCAUCGAGGCUGGCAUUACUUCUUUCACUAUUGGCUUUUCUCACUUCCCAUUCAAUAGAGCAGUUACCCAUAUACAGUUCUUCCAAUCGAGUGAAGCUUGAUAAGAUAUUGGGCACAAUAAAUUUUAGUUGCAAGCAAUCUGUUAAAUCUAGCAUCCUUAACUUAGUCAGUUGACCUAGUUCGUCAGGCAACAGUACAAUAUCAGACUUUACAAAGCUAAGGAUUUCUAGAUUCUUCAACUUUCCAACUAUGGCUAUGUCUCCCAACAUGCUUUGAUCAAGACACGGUGUUUGAAGAUUUGCUAGAAGACCGAUUGAAGAUGGCAAUGAAAAUAAUCGCACUCUUGUCAAAUCUACGACUCGAAGCUUUUUCAUCCCUUUGAAAAAGUUGUCAGGAAUAUUGACCUCGGAAAAAGUGAUUUGGGGAUCAAUAUAUAAAAAUUCAAGUUGCAGACAUUCAAAUUCCUCAGAGACUUCAUGAAUGCUACUAUUUAAUAAAGAGAUUGCAGAGCAUUUUUUAAGUGCAUCCUCAUCAGGCCACUCCCACACAACCUCAUUUCUCACCAAGAAAACAUGUUGGUCUCGACAUGCAAUUGAUACGGCAACAUCGCAGACAACAUCAUGCAUGGAAAAUUGUUCACUGCUAUCACCCUCAAGCAAUAAACAAGAGUCUCUAAGUUCAUGGACCAAUGCAUAUAAUUUGUUUCGUGCAUCUACCAUCCUGUUGACUCCUUGAAAUAUGCCCAAACCCAUGGAGUAUUUAAACAAGUCUGUAAACCAAAAACUGUUACCUAUUAGACUACAGAGCAGAAAAAUUUUCUUGAGUUGCUCACCUUUUAAAUACUUGAAACUCAGUUCAAUACUUGAAUAAGUCUCUGCAGGCACACCUUCGAAGUUUACCACUGAAGGCGUUUGGAGUUCUCGCAAGGCAUUCUUCCACUCAUGCAGACUCUUGUUUCUCAGUGCCCUCGCUACUGUAGUCAAGGCAAUGGGCAAACCUCCACAUGCCUGGGCUACAUUAAUUGCUGUAGACUUGAACUUACAAUUUUCAACAUCAUCACUAUUCAUUAUCUUCAACAAUCUCCAAGCUUCUUCUUCAUCUAGAUUGCCAAUCAAGAAGUUAUCUUUGGAGCCCAUACUUAAUAGUACAUUAUUGUCUCUUGCUGUCAGCAGUAGUCUACAUCCUUUAUGAUCAUUUCCGAAGGGACUUCCAACCGUCUCCAAAUCAACAUGUUUCCAGAUAUUAUCUAGAAUCACAAGAAUCUUAUUCUCACUCUUCAAUCGUUCAUACAGCUUGCUAGCUCUUCUAUAUUCAGCUUCAUCGGACAACUUCUCUGCAAUUUCCCCUCGAAUCUUUUUUACCUCUGGAGUUUAUGAAACCUCUGAAAAAACCACCCGAUCAAACAGCUUCUUUUCCCUGGCUUGCCUAGCAAACUCCUUCACCAGUGUGGUCUUUCCAAUGCCGCCUAUGCCGUACACCCCAAUAAUGCUGACAUUCGCCUCCGUCAAUGCAUUUUUUAUAGACUGCAAAGUAGAAAGUCUUGAUUCGAAGGCCUCGUAACCAUUGCUAGACUUAAGCCAUAUCUCCUCCCGAAUGGUACGGUGGGAAACAGUAUCAAACUUCUUAACUUCUUCUCCAAGUCAAUAAUGGCCUUCACCUCCGUCUCUGCUUUCUUGCCAAGCUGAUAGCGGGUCUUCAAAUUAGGACACAAGCCCUUGAGACAGCGCUUAUUUGUUGACUCCUCAUCUUCAAUGAAUUUGGCUGCCGGUCAAUGAUGCCGUUCGCACUAACCUGCCACUUUUCAACGUUCUCUUCAAUCUCUUCCCCUUUUUCUUCCGCCUCUGAAACUCUGUGCUGAAUGCUCGUACGUUCAACCUUCAACUUCUCCAUUUCCGCCUUGAUAUUCUCAAAGUUGGCAUUGUAGUUCCGCUUUCGCAAAUGCACAAGUUGGCGUUCAGUUGGAGGAGCCAAGCAUUUUACAAGUUCCAAGACGAUAGUCACAAUGAUUUCCAGCAUCUCGAAUCCUGACAAAAACGUAGAAGCGAAGAAAGCCAAAGGAAAGUAAAAACAAAGAGACAGCGAUAGGACAGGCAGUUCGUGUUUUUCAGAUGAAAUGCAGGAAACAAGAAAACGGUUUCUAUCACGACGUAAAGAGCUAAAAGAGCUGAUGGGUGCAGAAUAAGAAAUGAGACUGAGUGAGCAAAGCUAAAUAAUAACAGAACAAGAACAAUGAUGAAUAGAAGAAACAGUAGCAAAGAGCCGUUUAGAUGAUUAGAAUGAAACUAAGCGACUGGAAAGAGCCGAUGGUAGACUAAAGAGAAAGUGAUUGAUUAUUUUAGGAGGCCAAUUAACGUAAUGACAGAUCCGGUUUCGAUGUUUGUAAUUUGAGUAUGAGGUAAAUCGAUUCUUUGUCGAGCCAGUCAAAUACAAAGGCAAAUUAGUAAAACACGAGCCAGCAACUUUUACUCACACAAAAGCCAAUAAUAUAUUGAGAUCACGCAACAUUGCAAUAAAGUUAUCAUCAAGUUGUAGCCUUCUUAUUCAAUCAAUUAUAGCAUUAUCUCUAGCUCUGUAUUUUUCAAAAAAAAAUUAUUCAAAAGAUGUCUGUCAUUAAUUUUUCAAUGAUUAAAAUUAUAAUUUUUGUUUAAUAUAUAAAACGUAAAAUUUUAAAAGAAUCAGACAUGCAUUAGGGUAAAAAUAAAAAAUAUGGAGGUAGCUUUUAACUAGGUAAUUGGCUCAACUAUGGAUCAGUGUGACAUUUUAGUAUUAAGCAAACGGAACUUUUUUUUAAUUAAAUUAAUCUCAAAGUGAUAGGCUUCUCAUGAAUCAUGUAAUGUUGUCGUUUUUAAAGACUUGACAUUUUGGGGUAAUCAUAAUUAACAAUGCACAUCACUUGUUUGUCACAAUGUCCAAAUAAAUAAUUUUAAAAAAAAAAGUUAUUUUCAUUCUUUCUUUUCAGGUAUCCUAAUUCCUUUUGCAGUUUGAUUCCUCUUUUCCUGAAUUUUGUUCCUUCCAUUAAACUAAUAAUUUAUUUAAGGAUAAUUAAGCAUCAGCCCUCAAUUGUUCAGUAUUUCACACAGUGCACCCACAUCUUUUGACCAUGUGCACCUCCCCCUAUUUCUAUUAAAAAAUCAACUAAUCUAACUAUUUAGGCUGUUAUAAAUUUAAAAGACUAUACUACCCCUAUUUUGAAAUGAAUUGGGUAUAUAAGUACUAAAAUACCCUCACAACUAAUAAAAUUUAAAUCAAAAAGUAAAAAUUUAUUAUAAUAUUUUUAAAAUUAUAUGGAAACAAUUUUUUUUUCCGGAUUACGAACCCAAGAUUAUAACCUAGUAAAUUACAAAAUCAGAGGCAAAGCAUGAUUCCAAUGUGAAAGAAAAAAAAUCAAACAUUCAUCAGUACAUUACAAAAUAAGUCCAAUAAUCCCACUAGAAUAAAUAAAACCCAAUAGAAAGAAACCCUAAACUAAUGAUACCAAAAUCCAUGAGAGCAAAUUUCAUUGUAAAAUUCUAUUACAAAAUAAAUUUAUAUUAAGAAAAUUCGAUAAAAAGAAACCCAAUAAUCAAAAAUCUUAAAACUAAAGAUAUCAAACCCAAAAUUAAAUUAUAGAGGCGGCGAAGGAAAAAGGGUUUUUUUUUUAAUUAUAUAUAUUAUUUUAAUCUUGUGUUAAUUACCAUUCUACCCUUCUUUCCGUUAACAUUAGAUUUGAAAGAAAUGAGGGUGGUGGACAUGGUCGGAAGAUUGGGGGGCACAAUGCAAAAUGUCGAAACAAUUGUGGCUAAUGCUAAAUUACACAUUAUUUAAAUUAAAUUAUCCUAAUUGUAUUUGACUGUGACUGUGACCGGAACCGCUACAAUCACUUAGUAUUUUUAUUAAUUAAUUGACAAUAAUUUCAUCAUUAGACGGUACUAUGAUAGUUUUGUCACUAUGUUUGUUACCAUCUCUCAAAAAAAAAAAAUUACUUUUACAUGACGAAUUGUGUAACAACGAUUUAAUGAAAAAUAAAAAAACAGCACGACAUCUCGUGGCUUAACAUGGUAAUCAUGAAUAUCCCUUAUUUUCAAAUAUAUAUAUAGACCUCUUUUUGUAUUUAAAAAUAGUUACAUAGAUCCUGAAUUUGUGUGUCCGUGGAUAAAUUUUCAUGAUCAUUUUUUAAAAUAAGGGAUUUUUGUGACUAUUUUGUCACGUCCGAGGAUGCCGCCGUUCUUGUCACCAAAAAUUAUUCUCAUAAGAGUAAUGAUUAAUUGGACGUCAGCAAUGAGGGCAUGUAAUGAAAAAAAUUUGUUUUGGAUGGGAUCCAAUAAUUUUAAUUACCAUGGUGGUGACAGACCCAGUUGCAAAAUCAACUGAUUUUACAAUUCUAUUGAAAAUUCUUUAAAUGAUCACUUAUCUAGUUCUACUAUAUCCUUAAGCAUAUUGAUUUUGUUACUUAUUUUCUAGUACUUAUAUUUAGGCAUUGAAAUUGGAUUGCAUAACUAAGACGAUUACUUGAGCUGAAAAUUUUUCAAGUAUGGUGGAGGGGAAAGUGAGAGAGUCGCGGCUGAAGAAGAAAUAUUAUGAGAACUGCUAAGGCUAUAAGGCUGAUAAGCUUAAAGAGUCGGAACGAGGCUUACCAAUUCGCAAGCUUUUAUAAUUUGGAUUGUUGUGCUUGCAACUGGUAAAUUUUUCAACUUCAACUCGAUAUAAUGAUUUUUGAGAGAACCAUUUGUUGAUGCUGAAAUCUGCUCGUCCUUUUCCCGACCAGAUCUUUACACCAACGUUUAUGUAGUCAAUAGUGAGGAUGUCAAUUUCUUCUUGCUUCAACGAUCGCUCUAGUCACUGAAGUUGGAAUUGUCCUUCCUUCUCCCACUGAGCCUGCGUUCACAAAAGUAGAUAAGAGACGCCGGUGGUUUUACCGGCGUAAACCCUCCGAUGCCUAAGUUAGCACAAGGUGUUUACGGGAAAACGGUGCAAUUUGGAUUCGAUAAGUUGCUUAUAAUUGGCUCACAGUUUGUAUUAAAAAUGGUCUGGUUGCAAUUUGGUAGAGUUUUCCCUUCUCUCAAUUUUUAUGUCCCUUUCUUCAUUGAUUUCUUCCUCUUUUAUAGCCGUUGUCCCACGUUUCCGUUCACCCUUCAUCCCCCCUUAUCUCGGGUAGUGGCAGCCCCUCAUGGGACUCCAACCGCCAUAUCGUGGGUAAACGUGGGACACUGUGUCUCCCUCGACGGUUCUGGGCAUAGCGCAACUGUCGUGCUUUCGUGAGAUCGUGUUCCCGCUCUUUGGAGAAUGGGUAUAUGCUCGGUAUAUGUCUCUGGUCGGCCCAUGUUUGUAGAGGGCUCAUUAUCAGUGUUCUGCUCGUAUCAUUUGGCUGAGGUGAUCCAUGCUGGGGUGGGGGUGAUGGCCUGUCUGUGCUGGUGCUCUUAUUUACUCAACACCAGUCCCCCAAUUUCUGAUCUUGCGAGUGAAACGAGUUGAGAGUAGAAAUUGAAGUCUGCUCGUAUCUUAUCGAUCCUGGGAACUACCCAUCUGGUUCUCAUGUUAUUGUGGUGGGUCUGAGGUUCCAUCUCUCGUUUAAGGAGAUAUCGACCUUAAUAUGGGCCUUGACGAAUGUAUCUAGUAUCUACUUGAGCUUACAUCUCGUCGAGCCUUUUAUAACGGUUAGUGACGUGGCGCUUCCCGACUCUUUGUAUUUGAAAUUCGAAACGACGGGCUAUCCAUCCUCGAUAUACGGUGAGUGAGCUGGCAUCCCUAUCACUCAAACGCUUCCAUUUCCCCCUUUUUGUUUCAAAUCCCUAAACUAAAGUCAUCCUCGUUUUGCUUAUUCGCUUCUCCACCGGAAGACAACUCCUUCGAACUUUAUUCACACUUUCCGCGUCUGGGAUCUCCAUUUGCUGGGUCUUUUCUCUGUUACAGCAACGCUUAUCAGUGCCAGUCCAUUCCAGGUAUAGCCUUUAACCUCUUCUCUGGUUGUUGUUGAUUGGGUUUUGUAUUGUGGGUUCUGUGUUUGUCCCUUUUUUGUAUCCAUACUCUUAGAUAUUUUGUGCUUUCCCUUCUUAAACUUCGGUAUGUCCAACCGAAAAGGAAAAAGAAUUAUAGUCGAGAGCGAUGAAGAAAUAGAGGAUUCAUAUCCUCAUUUGUUUGGACCCAAUGAUCUUCUUCACUCCUCUCGCAGUGUAGGUCCCUCCUAUCAUAGGGAUACCCCUGAAUACCCUCGUCCCUUGGCCACUUCACCCUCCCCUGAAUUAGAGCUUGUAGGAAAUAGAGGUGGACCUGCGUCGGGCUCUAGUGAAAAUCAUGGUUCUGGUGGGGUUGGGGUUCCUGAAGAAGUGGGUGAUGGUAAGGGGAGCAGUUCUGAACCAAGCAGACCCCCUCAGAAGAGAAACCUCGGCCAUAGGGUGGAGGCAGAUUCUUACCCUAUUGAUUACAUAGCUUGUGCCACCACCCCAACUGACCAGUUCAAACUUAGGAAUCUUUACAACAUUCCCGAGGAGGUUCUCCUUGUAAUUCCUGGGAAAGACGACGUUCCUAGUCGGCCUCCGAGGGGGUAUGUGACGAUGCACCUGGAGAGUUUCAAACUAGGAGCUCGGCUGCCCCUUCAGCGCUACUUUGCCAAGAUACUGGGUGGUAUGCACCUGGCCCCAUGUUAGCUACACCCAAAUGGGUGGAGGGUUCUCUCAGCUAUGUAUGUGCUAUGGGAGAGGUGCGGAUCAGAGGAACCUUUCCUUGUUGAAGUAAAGCAUCUGUACCAACUGCGGAGUAGCCCAAAGGAAGCGGGUUGUUACUACUUCAUGUCCAGCUCUGCAAAGAGGAAGCCGAUUACCGGGUUUCCUUCUUCAUGUAAAAAUUGGAAGAACAAAUUCUUCUUUACUAGAGGAAAUUGGUGUCUAGCAGCCCGGUCGCUUGGUGGUGAUAUUCACCUUCCAACGCGCUUUGUCACCCCAGGUCGUUUAUUUAUUGCCUAUUUUCUUUCUCCAAUCGUCACUUAUUGGGUUCUUUAACCUUGUUUGCUAUUUCAGAGUCGUGGAGUUUGAUCGAGGGGAUUGAAGAGAGACCUUUGCUCCAGGUAGAGACUGCUUUGGUGAACGCGUCUACCUGCCAAGAUCUUUUGUCGUCAACAAACCUGGUCGGGUGGCGCUCAGUGGACAUAGCUGUCGGAAUGGACAAUAAGAUCCUCAGUGCAAUGACCAGAAAGCGUGGUCGGGCUUCAAGUAGCCCCAGUAACCCUCCUCCCCCUUCGAAGAAAACCAAUGUUGGUCCAUCCAAGGCUUCUGCUCCUGCUCUGCUCCCUCCUCCACCUCGAAAGAAUGGAGGAGAGAAGGUGACUACCAAGAGUCCUGAGGUCAGUAUUCAUUCAGGAGAUCGAUCCUCUCCUCUUCCACCUCGGGAUCAAGGUGACUAUCUAACCCCAUAUCAGAUGGACUAUGGGAAGUCCGUGGGGCCUAAAAUGAUUAAGAACAUCGAGAGCAUUAAUCUUGGUGAAUUGGCUGGUUCUGUCCAGCAGGUCUCCUUCAAGCUGGUUACUUUGGUGUCUUGUUAUAAGAACAGGGCCAUACGUCAUGAGAGGAGGCUUCAGACUAAUAACCAGGACCUGAAGAAGAAAGUUGAGUUUGUCGACCGCUCGAAGGAGAAGCUGCUUGAUCUGCACAAGCAAAUCAUGGACCUGGAGGAGAAAAUGGCCAUGGCUGAGUCCACCUCCAUCAAACUUGAGAAUGAGUUAGGUGAUCUGAAGUCUGAUCUCCAGGCCACUCAGAGUGAGUGGGACACCUUGAAGACGGCUCUUGAGGGAGAAAUCAAAUCUCUGAGUGAGCAGUUGGCCGAGGCGAAAGGCAAAUCUGCUGAUGUGGAUGAUCGGCUGGAUGCAGAGUAUGACUCUGGGGUUGCUUUCUACUAUAAAUGCAUUAUGUCUGUGCUUAAGGAAGAGUAUCCAGAGCUUAAUAUGAGCAAGCUUGAAGCUGGAGUGCAGAGGUAUAUGGCCGAGGUCGAUCAGGGGGACAAGGAGCAGGGUGACCAAGACCAGGUGGAGGCUCCCUUAGGUGGGGUGCAGGAGGAGGAAGCAGGGGAUCGUGCUCCUGAAGUAGGUCAAGGGUCAGUGCUUCCUCCCCCCGAUGCUGCUGAUCCUCUUCCUCUUGAGAUUGCUGAUCUUUCAGUUGCUGAGGUUGCUGAACCUCCUAAUCUUUAGGCUUAUUUUUGUAUGAAUUUUCAUUUUGUUUGCAAACGCUCGGAUGUUUAUAAAUUUUUGGAUGCUUUCUAUCGGCCUUUCUAUCUGGUUUUUUGCUCAUGGAUUGUUUUUGCAAAUUAACUUGACAACUUAUUUGAUUUUGCCUGCUGGCUCUUUGGUGGACCGAGCAGGAAUAUGCGCUUACUUGCCUUAGUAGAAUUUCAUAAAACUGCCUGCUGGUCCUUUCGGCGACCGAGCAGGAAUAAGCACUUGCUUGCCUUAGUAGAACUUCACAAAAUUACCUGCUGGUCUUUUGUUGACCGAGCAGGAAUAGGCACUUGUUUGCCUUAGUAGAAUUUUGUAGAAUUGCUUGCUGGUCUUUCGUUGACCGAGCAGGAAUAGGCACUUGUUUGCCUUAGUAGAAUUUUAUAAGAUGCCUGCUGGUCUUUCGUUGACCGAGCAGGAAUAGGCACUUGUUUGCCUUAGUAGAAUUUUGUAAGAUUGCCUGCUGGUCUUUCGUUGACCGAGCAGGAAUAGGCACUUGUUUGCCUUAGUAGAAUUUUAUAGAAUUGUCUGCUGGUCUUUCGUUGACCGAGCAGGAAUAGGCACUUAUUUGCCUUAGUAGAAUUUUGUAAGAUUGUCUGCUGGUCUUUCGUUGACCGAGCAGGAAUAGGCACUUGUUUGCCUUAGUAUAAUUUAAUGGGCUUGCUAGCAGGGGGAUUUCAUGCUGAAUUCAUCUUUAUUAAAACUUGAAUACAUUACAAAAAUGCGAAAUAUAUGCGUGUGCAACAAGUCAUCAUGCAUUUAAUAGAAAUAAUUUAUCAAAAUAAAGACUUAGUAGAGCACUUUGCUUACUGGAAAUACUUCUUCAUGUGCUCGGCGUUCCACGACCUCUUCACGUCUCGUCCAUUUGAGUACGCUAGCUUGUAAGCUCCUGGUCCAGUCACUCGUAUCACCCUGUACGGGCCUUCCCAUUUCGGGCCAAGAGCUCCAUGGUUAGGAUCCCUAGUGUUUUGGUUCACCUUCCUAAGUACCCAAUCCCUUGCUCGGAACUGCCUCACGCGUACGUUCUUGUUGUAAUAACGCAUGACUCUUUGCUAACACUGGGCCACUUUCUGCGAGGCCCCUUCCCUUUUCUCCUCUAGCAGGUCCAGGCUCAAGCAGAUCUGCUCGUCGUUUUGCUCCUCAUUGAAGUAUUCUGUCCGAUGUGUCCCCACUCCAAUUUCUGCUGGGACUACCGCCUCAUGACCAAAAGUCAAAGCAAACAGAGUUUCCCCUGUGGCGGUUUUGUGAGUUGUCCGGUAAGCCCACAAUACUCCUGGUAGCUCGUCGACUCAAGCUCACUUCUUCUCUCCUAGUUUGAUUUUCAGGAGUUUCUUUAUUACUUUAUUGGCUGCUUCCACAUGUCCGUUUGCCUGGGGGUGUGCGGAGGUGCAGAACUUCAGGUCCACCCCCAAGUUUCGGCAGAAUUCUCUGAAGUUGUUGUUGUCAAAUUGCCUCCCAUUAUCUGUAAUGAUGGCAUAGGGGAUCCCAUAUCUGCAGAUGAUAUUCUUCCAAAUAAAAUCCGUUGUUUUUCUCUCCUUGAUUUGGCUGAGGACUCCCACUUCUACCCACUUGGUGAAGUAGUCUAUUGCCACAAUUGCAUGUGUUGCCGCUCCUCGGCCCUUAGGUAAUAGACCAAUCAGGUCAAUUCCCCAUUGGACAAAAGGCCAUGGGGAUGUCAUGGUGGUCAGCUUUUCUGGGGGUUGUGCAGGAACCUCUGAGAAGCUUUGGAAGAUUUUACAGUUCUUUGCCAUCCUCUUCGCAUCCUGGUGCAUGGUUGGCCAGAAGUAUCCUUGCCGGAGUGCCUUAAAGGCUAAAGUUCUCACUCCCGAGUGAUUGCCACAUAUUCCUUCAUGAAUCUCCCUCAGUACAUAAUCUGCUUCCUCGUCAUCCAAACACCUCAAAAGGGGUAAGGUGAAUCCUCGGCGGUAGAGCACCCCAUCGUGUAGCGUAUACCUUGCUGCUCGGCAUUUUAAUUUCCUUGCUUGCCUCUUGUCCUCUGGUAAAAUGCCAUCACAGAUGUAUAAGAGAAUCGGGUCCAUCUAGGAUUCCUCGGUGCUUAUUCUCAUUACCUCAACUUCCUCCCUUAUAAUUGGCGAGGUCCUCACCUCUAGUGGAACUGACUUAGAUAAUUUCGGAUCUGCAAUUGCAGCCAUUCUCGCUAACAUAUCUGCUCGGUAAUUCUCAUUCCGGGAUAUCUGCUUUACCUCUACCUCUUGGAAAAGCCCAACCAUCUGCUUUGCCUUCUUCAAAUAAAGCCCCAUCUUCUCUUCCCUUGCUUGGAACUGAUCACUGAGCUGAUUACAGACUAAUUGGGAAUCUGCUCGGAUUUCUACCUUUUCUGCUCUUAGUGCGUCCGCAAGUCCGAGCCCAGUGAUAAAGGCUUCAUAUUCAGCUUGGUUGUUCGUGAGCUGAAACUCGAACUUCACUGCAUAAGUUACUUCGGUCCCUUCUGGGCUUCGUAUUACAAUUCCUGCUCCGGACCCUUGUUCACUACAUGACCCAUCAACCUUUACUAGCCACACCCCAUCCGGUUUAUCCUGCUCUAUUGGUUGCUCCUCCCGAAUUUCUUCCCCCGGUUCAGCACGGUCAACCAUAAAAUCGGCCAGGGCUUGGGCUUUGAUUGCUCCUCGAGGCCUAUAGGAUAGGUCAAAUUCGCUCAGCUCCACGGACCAUUUUACUAACCGACCUUAUGCAUCUGGUUUUUGGAGCAUUUGCCGAAGAGGCUGGUCAGUCAUCACAACUAUUGGGUGGGCCUAAAAAUAUGGUCAGAGUUUGCGCGCUGCCGUUAUUAGAGCUAGUGCCCAUUUCUCCAUCGGCGGAUACCUGGUUUCUGCGUCUACUAGGGCCUUGCUUGUGUAGUAUAUGGGGUGUUGCUUUCCUUCUUCUUCUCUGACUAGCACCGAGCUGGUUGCCCAUUUUGAGAUUGCUAAGUACAAAAAUAGUUGGUCACCCUCUCUCGGAGUUGAUAGUAACGGGGCGCGAGCCAGGUAAUCCUUCAACUGUCCAAACGCCUCCUCACAUUCUAAUGUCUACUCCAUCUUUCUCCAUUUUUUUAUGGUUUGGAAGAAAGGGUGGCAUUUAUCUGUGGCCCGCGAGAUAAAUCGGUUCAUUGCUGCUAAUCGCCCUGUAAGACUUUGCACCUCUUUAACUGUUCGUGGGGACCUCAUUUCUGUCACCGCCCGUAUUUUUUCCGGGUUGGCCUCGAUCCCUCGGUGGCUCACCAGGAAUCCCAAGAAUUUGCCCGAACUAACCCCGAAUGCACAUUUGUCUGGGUUCAGCUUCAUUUCGUACUUCCUCAGCAAUUCAAAGGUCUCUUCCAAGUGCUUCACAUGAUCCCUUGGUUCUUUGGACUUUGUGAUCAUAUCAUCCACAUACACCUCCAUAGUGUGACCGAUCAAUGGUUUGAAGAUCUUGUUCACCAACCUUUGAUAGGUAGCUCCUCCAUUUUUUAGACCGAAAGGCAUUACCCUGUAACAAAACAAACCCAUAUUAGUUAUGAAGGUGGUGCUUUCCUCAUCCUACUCGUCCAUGAGUAUCUGGUUGUAUCCGGAAAAGGCAUCCAUGAAGCUGAGCAGACUGUGGCCUGCUGUUGAGUCCACCAAUUGAUCUAUUUUUGGUAGGGAAAAACUGUCCUUCGGGCAUGCCUUAUUGAGGUCCGUGAAAUCCACACACAUUCUCCAUUUCCCGUUGGCCUUCUUUACCAGUACUACAUUGGAAAUCCACUCUGGGUAUUUGGCCUCCCUUAUAAAUCCUGCUUUCAGGAGCUUUUCCACCUCGGCAUUUAUGGCCUCGUACCUUUCCUGGUUAAAGCACCUCCUUUUCUGCCUUACCGGCCUUGCUCCUUUCUUGAUCGCCAAUUUGUGGCAUGCUACCAUGUGAUCAAUUCCUGGCAUGUCCUCAUGAGACCAGGCAAAUGUGUCUGCAUGGGACUGUAAACACCUCACCAGCUCGCCCUUUAUUGUCUCACCCAAACUUGACCUGAUCCUAACCACUCUGUUCGGGUUACUCCUACUUACAAAGACCUCCUCCAGAUUCUCAACAGGUUCCUGGCGGCCCUUUUUAGAAUCCCCUCGGUUAUCUAGAGAGGUAACCUGUAGCGUCUCCUUAGCCGCUGUAGCAUAACAGCUCCUUGCCAUUCUCUGGUCACCUUUUACUACCCCAACAACUCCAUUUACUCUAUACUUCAAUGCCAGAUAAUACGUGGAUAUAACGCAUUGGCUUAUCCUCAUGAACGGUCUCCCCAGUAUCAUUUAGUAAGGGCUUCUUUCUUCUACCACGACAAAGUCCAGCAUCAUCGUUCUUUCAAACGGCUUUGACCUCAUAGUAAUCGGGAGUUCGAUGAUCCCCAUGGGAGUUAACCGUCCCCCUCCAAAUCCCUUCAAAGAUGUAUUCGUCCGUUCCAGUUUCAAGUCUGAAAUUCCCAUAUCAUCUAAGGCCGACUUAAACAAGAUGUCAACCGAGCUGCCCGUGUCCACCAGUAUUCGCCGUAAUUCUGUACCAACCACCCUUGCUUUAAUCACCAGUGCAUCCUCAUGAGGAUAUAAAAUACCUUCUUCGUCGUCAUCUGUCCACAUAAUGGGAACCUACCGCACUUUGCCCUCUUGGCUGCUGGCAAAUUGAAAAGCACCUCUUUGCUGGUCAUGGCGUAUCUCCCAUAGUUCCUCCUUGCUCUGUUCGAAUCCCCGGCCAAUGUUGGCCCUCCUACUAUCACACGGAUAGUCGGUUGUUCAUGUUCCAGGCCCCUCUCAACUCCUUCAUCCCGCGUGUACUGUGAUUCAAUGACGGGGGACACUCCAUCUACAUAUUCAUCCAAGUACCGAUUUCUCACCAGAUCCUCCACCUGAAUCUUUAGGUCACGACAUUGGCUGAUAGUGUGACCAUGAGUAUCGUGGAAUUUGCAGAACUUGCUCUUAUCACGUCGGUGAGCAGGUUUUGUUAUAUGGGCCGGAGGGUAUAGCAGGCCUCGUCCUUCGAUCCUCUCAUACAAUUCUUCCAUGGAGAUUUUUAAUGGGGUGUACUGUCCAUACGCCAAGCUCUGGUCAACAAGUUGGACUACUCGGCUAUCAUGGAUAUCGCCCCGGGCUGAUAUCGUAGGCAACUAAUCUGGUCGUCCAGCCCUGGAGUUAGUUGUGUGUAGUGCUCUGGGAGCAUUGUGAUAAGGGUGGGCAGCCAACUGCCUGAAUUCUCGUUGCCGCUCCAGGAACGAGGGGCGCGGUGGUUGAGCUCGGCUGUGUUGGAGCUGUUGUGGUCUCUGAGCUAUGGGAUAGGGGCGGGACCGAGCUGAUAUUCUGCCCAUUACUGAGGAUUCCCUAGCUCGCUUUCCCGAUCCGCUCCCGUUCGGGGCUCUCCGUUCCUUUCGUCUCAGCUCUUCCAGCUGUUCGCUUUUUAUCCUCGCCGAUUUCUCCUCUUCGAUUUCUAUAUCUCUCCUCGCCUGAUCAUACCCCGCCGAAUAAUUCUGCACCAUGGGACUUAUCAAGUUAUACCACAGUCGGCCUAUUCUCACCCCUUCUUUUAAUCCCCUCAGUGCCUGCAGGUGAUUAAAAGCUCCCAGAUCCAGCACGGCUCGGUGAUAUCGUUUUAUAAAAUCCCGAAGGGAUUCAUGUUCCUCCUCUUUCAUCCCCAUCAGCUCCAUCAUGUCGUCCUCUAGGGCCACUGCUCCUCGAAACUGCUCGGCCAACUCUUGGCACGUCUGCUCGUACCCUUUUAUACUUCCUCGGGGCAGCUUGCGGUACCAUUCUUGGGCUUGUCCCUCUAGUGUCAACGGGAAUACCCUGCACCUCUGAGUUGGUGUCAGCCCCUGCACACCCGUCAUGUCAUUGAAACGUUCAAUAUGCACCAGAGGGUCACUUCGCCCGGAGUAUUUGAGGUCGGGGAAGCGAAAAUCUCUUGGGAUUACAGUACCCAUGAUUUCGGUUGAUAACAGAGACUCUUCAUCUAGCAUUAUCCUCCAGCUCGGGGGCUUUCUCUUGCCCUGAAUCUCCUCUAUCACCUGCGCCAAUCUGCGCACCUCUCCCUCCAAUUCUACAGCACGGUUAGGAUCGCGCGCAGCUAUCUGAUCUCGUUCCUGCUCGGCAUUCUGCAACCUCUGUCUGAGCUCUCCUUCAUUAACACUGGCCCCUCGGUCAUCAAUUUCCAGUACCUGUCCGGGGCGAGGUUGGUCCCUCUCUUCACCCACGCGCUCUCCUGGAACCCGACCAGUACUUCUAUGGGGAUGCACCCUAUUAAGUUGGUCCACCGGCGGAGGGAUUUUCUCGACUCUACGCCUCCGAAGGCUGGGUUCUGCUCCAACUUCAUCUCUCCCCAUGGGGGUUUCACAAUCCCUUCUCCGUUCAUCCCUCAGCUCAUAUAAUAUGGCCGUGAGAGUCUCCAUUUGUUUCUCCAUCCGCUCCAGUCGAUCUUGCAUUGUCCUCUCUUGAGCUUCAUUCGCAAUCUCCCUGAGAGUGAUUGUCUCAACAGUUUCAUUGUCAUCCCUCAAAGCAUCAUUCCUUGACGCAUCCAUAUCCAACCGUUCGCUGCUUCUCCGGUAACUACUAAUUUGGUGGUAGCUUUUUAUUCAACUCCCUACAGACGGCGCCAAAAUGUUGAUGCUGAAAUAUGCUCGCCCUUUGCCCGACUAGAUCUUUACACCAACGUUUAUGUAGUCAAUAGUGAGGAUGUCAAUUUCUUCUUGCUUCAACGAUCGCUCUAGUCACUGAAGUUGGAAUUGUCCUUCCUUCUCCCACUGAGCCUGCGUUCACAAAAGUAGAUCAGAGACACCGGUGGUUUUACCGGCGUAAACCCUCCGAUGCCUAAGUUAGCACAAGGUGUUUACGGGAAAAUGGUGCAAUUUGGAUUCGAUAAGUUGCUUAUAAUUGGCUCACAGUUUGUAUUAAAAAUGGUAUGGUUUCAAUUUGGCAGAGUUUUCCCUUCUCUCAAUUUUUCUGUCCCUUUCUUCAUUGGUUUCUUCCUCUUUUAUAGCCGUUGUCCCACAUUUCCGUUCACCCUUCAUCCCCCCUUAUCUCGGGUAGUGGCAUCCCCUCAUGGGACUCCAACCGCUAUAUCGUGGGUAAACGUGGGACACUGUGUCUCCCUCAAUGGUUCUGGGCAUAGCGCAACUGUCGUGCUUUCAUGAGAUCGUGUUCCCGCUCUUUGGGGAAUGGGUAUCUGCUCGGUAUAUGUCUCUGGUCGGCCCAUGUUUGUAGAGGGCUCAUUAUCAGUGUUCUGCUUGUAUCAUUUGGCUGAGGUGAUCCAUGCCGGGGUGGGGGUGAUGGCCUGUCUGUGCUGGUGCUCUUAUUUACUCAACACCAUUUACAAUGAUUUUGGCCUAUUGUGCUCUUCUAGUUUUGUCCUUAAUUCUUUGGUGAUUUUUUUUUUUUUCAGUUCUGCCGGUCGCAUCUCUCUUUCCCUUCCUUUAUUUUAUGGUGAGUGGACUGUUGUUGCCUUCAGCAGAGUAGUUACUAGUGAGAAAAUUUAUAUUUUUCUAUCAUGCUUGCUGAUUUUCUUAGAAAUAUAAGAAAAGACAAGUUUUAUCUGUCAAACAAUUCAUUGCUUUUUCACAGCAGUAUGUUAUGAUUUCUUUUCAGAUUAGGGAUUUUCACAUUGCAAAAAGGGAGUAAGAUAUUGGAUUCUAUGCUGGUUACGUGGGUGAGUUAUUUUAUGUAUUUUUAUUGUGUUUAAUAAAUGACACAUGGUAUGGAGUCCUUUUUUGGUACAAAUGUGCAGACUCGCGCCUUUACAACUCUGUAAAAACAUUCUAUUGAGGGCUUUACAACACUGUAAAGGCACUGUACAAGGGUUUUACACUGCAGACUUGCGCCUUUAUACUGUAAAGGGCCAAGUCUAUGCUUUAAAAAGUACAGAUGUUCGCACCUCGAAAUAAUUAACAUAUAUGUAUGUAACAUUUCAAAUUCCUCAAGAAGCCAUCCUGACAAACCUCUUAAUACCUUGAUGAAAUUGAAGGGUCUUCAUACAUGCUUGGCAGAGCUUUAACAUCUGUUUUGUGGGGAAUGGUGGCUGACCGCUGCGGUCGAAAGCCUGUAAUAUAAUAGGAUGCAUCACAGUAUUAGUGACCUCCAUUUUCAAAUGAUUAAGCUUGAAAUUGAUGAUACUUUGGCAAUUUCUGGGUUUCUUAUUUGUCUUAAAAUGCUCACAGGGUUUUUUUUUAACACUCUCUUUGGGCUUAGUGUGAAUUUCUGGAUGGCCAUAGCUACAAGGUUUCUCCUUGGGCUUUGAAUGGUUUACUUGGACCAAUAAAGGCGUUGAUUGGGGGUAUUUGUUGAUAAUUCCAAUUUAGUUCCUGAAAAUAUUUGUGCUCAAACUUCUCUUACACCACGAGGCAUAUGCAUGUGAAAUAUUGGGCGAUCAGCACCAAACUUAUUACGAAACUAAAAAUGUUACUUGUUUUCUGUACUUGCUUUCGCAUGCAUCACCCCCACAAAACUGCUUGACGAUUGUCCUCAUUUUGAACUUACUAUAGGUUUCAUUCUCCUUGUUUUUCAACUUACUCUGUACCCUUACAUCGAGAGGAUUAUUGGGCCAAUAAUCAUAACACGAAUUGCAGGGGGUAAUAUUUUGAACACCUCAUGCGGCAUUUGGACCAUUUGAUUGUUUGUUUCAAACAUAUCUGUUUAUAAAAUACUUUUCUUCAUGGUUUUGGUCCCAUAACUUUCUAUGUAUGUACGGGUUUUAUCGAUACCGCUUUUGACAAGUUACACUUACAUAGCAAUGCUAUCUGGGUUCAGCCUUGCCUUUUUGAUAAACUGUGCUUCUGUGAUGAAGAAUGUUUUAUCUGUAAGUGGAUAUCCUAAUCAUUGAUCCAUAUACUAAGGUUAUAUUAUCCAUCAGCAAGUAUGUAUAAAAUUAUUGUCUUUUUUAUUAGAAUUGUUGUAAUUCUUUUUUACUUUUCCUGAAUUGUAGAAUCAGGUGUCUAUAAUAACUGGAUUGUUCCUUGUGCAAAACAGAGCAGUGGUAAAUAUAUUUUCUUUUGUUUGUUUAGUACAUUUCCAUGCUUUCAGCUUUUUCAAAUUUUGUAUGUGCCAAAGUUUAAAUUAAUUGGUUGGUUUAUGGUAUAAUAAGAGGUAUGAUAAAUUUACUAAUGAAAUUUCUCACUAGUUUGUGAAUUACUUGGUGCUAAUUAGCUUAGUUAGCUGCUUAAACUAAAGUGCAGGUAACCAGAUGAUUUUUUCAUUCUGAAUUCGGUGGAGGCACUUGGAGUAAUAUUGACAUUCAAACCAUUUCUAACUCAACGUGCCCCGUGAAAUAUUCAAAUAUAUAUCAAGCAAAUUAAAGCUUUCAAAAUCUUUCAACAGUUUGAUUGUUUGAUGUGGUUGCCACUUGCCAUAUUUUGUGUUACUUUUCUAAAGGCUUAAAUAUGAAAAUGGUUGUUGGUGCUCACGCCAAUUGAUUGCUGGUAACAUUAAUUGUGCAGUACUUGUCAGAACUACCACAAUUUAUCUUCACAAUGAUGCUAGCUAGAAAGAAAAUUUCAUGUUAAGUAAAAUAUUGAAGCCAUAAAGAGUCUUAUUCCAGAGCCUUAUUAAGUACUAAGUUUUCUGCCAUGCUUUCAAAGUUUACAAAUUCGAAGCUUGGGAUUCUGUAACAAUGGAGGAUAAAAAUUAUAUAAGAAUAUUAUUUUGUACAAUUUUCAUACAACCAGACAGAAGCGAGCAUAAUUUUUUUUAUCAUAACUCAGAUCAAAAGACCUUCAAUGAUGUAUAAAAUGAAAUGAAAACGAUAGUUACCUCGAACUUUCUUCUUCAAAUUUCGCAGCACUAUGUAAUAAAUUAAAAAGCCUAUGGCAUCAGAACAUAUCGUACUGCGUCGAGAGAGACGACGACUCCUCCAACAGCUGAAAAUAAAUUCUCUCAUUCGUUAAUUUAAAGUAAAAUUUGUAAAUUUAGGUACUUGCACAUAGAGAUUUGCAAGGGGAGCGAGAGAUUCAAUAGCAGCAAUUUAAUUUGACAGGACUUUCAUUGAAUAAUGAAAUUAAAAACUAACGAUUAUUGAAUUUUUUAUAUUCUCUUAACUCUUGUGGAAAUGUCAGCUCUAAAUAGGACAGCUUCAAGAAUCUUUAUCUGAAAGUGUAAUUGGCAGAGCAGAAACUUGUGACACUAUCUAAAUCACAAAGACUCAACGUCUUCAAUUUGCUGAAAACAAUCUCUCGUUUUGAAUUUACAUUUGGAGCUCCAUCUUCUUCUUCGUCACCUAUUACCAUAUCUGUCAUUGCCCUGCAUCCAGCCACCUUCACUGAUACGAGCCGCACUAGACUUUUAGCUGCAGUGGAUUUUACAAUUCUUUGCAAUGGAAAACCACCAGUUCUGUUAGAUUCCCACAAGAUAUAGAUGAUCAUGGCAAUAGACUUAAAAGAUUUUUACAUGCAGUAAUAUACUCUUAAGUGGUGUUUGGUUGGGAGGAGAGAAUAGAAGAAAGGAAAGUAAUUUAAAUUCUCUUUUUAUUUCCAUUAUUUGGUUUGACAAAAUAUAUAAGAAUUUAAUUUCCAUUAGAAUUUGAAUUCCACACCAAGUAGUGAAAAAUUUAAAUUCCUCUUAUGUUAAAAACUAAAAUUUCCAAAACUAUCCUUCAAAUUUUUAACUUGUUUAAUGUCAUUAAUAAUUAUUAUUUAUAAUUUUAUUUUAUUGAUUUAAUAUUAUAAAUAGACCUCCACCGGUAAGUCGCCGGACCACUGUCGGACUUCGCCGGACCACCGCUGAACUUUCGCCAGACCACUGCCUAACUUCCACCGGAAAGUCGCCGGACCUCCACCGGAAUAUAGUUUUUCAUAGCGAAGAGCUUUGCUUUGAUGGCUUAAGGAUUUGUUCUAGGCAUACUGCUGUGAUUAGAUUUCGUUUAUUUUUAACUUUUUUUAAUCUUUUAUCCGAUGAAUGAUUUUCAGCUGUUCUUAAUUAUUUGUUCAUAGGGAAGAGCAUUUUCUAAGUACUUCCUUGCCUUCUAAGUUUCCGAAGAAAGAUAGGUGUGAAGCAAAGCAAACCAAACCAAAUGAACAAACAGAGCACAAACUAAAAUAACAGAACAGCAAUGAUGACAAUAAAUAAUUGGCAAAAAAAGAAAAGAAAAAAGCAUGCACAUUUUCAAGGAAAUAUAAAAUAUGAAGCUUUUAAUGAAAUUUUAUCAUAAAAAGUAUGCAAGUAUUUAACAAGAUGUUUGGAACGAUAGAAAAUGAAAGAAAAUUGAUUAAGAAGAUUCUGGAACAAUCAUAAUUCUUAUUGAUGAAACUGAUCAAAAUCGUACAUUGUGAACGAGCUCAGCACUAUUUAUAGUUACACACAUGCUGAUUAGAAAGUGUAGAGCUCAAAACUGCAAUAUUAACAAACUAAUUAACCUUCCAAUCAUAUUAAGCCAGCUGGACAGUUAGUUACAACCAAUCAGUACAAAUAACAACCUAAUCCAGCUUGGCAACUUUGUUACACAUCAUCAGCCAGCUCAGCUUAGCAAACUUACACUCUUAACAGCAAGGAAUUAUAAAAUUUUAGAAAACAAGGGGAACCCUAAAAAAAAAACUCAAAUUAAACUAGGCUAAAAGACAUUCAAUGAUGCAAAAUCUGUCCAUAAAAUUCUGAACGAAUCAUUAAAAUAGCAUUCCAAAUUUAACAGUAAACCGAGUGACCCAUUCUAAAUAAUUCAGAUGAAAUUGUGAAACAAGCCAUGAGAUCAAAUAAAUGAAAUAAAAAUUCGCAACUCCAAGUCAUAAGAAGCCUAUGAAAUUAGUCGUAAUGCGUAGACAACGACGACGGCACCGUCAACAGCUGAAAAUAAGAUUCUUAUUCAUCAAUUUAAACUUUUACUUUAUAACAAACAUCUUAUCUAUAUUUUAUUUAAAAAAAGAAAAUUUUGUAAAAUUUUUCCAUGGGAGAUAGAGAGUAAUAUGUAUAUACGUACCUUCUCAGCAUGUAAUUGUUGUAUGGUUGUGUUCAGAUCAUUAUUAGCCCAGCGCCGUUGAUCCGCUGUCUCUCCAUAGCAGACGUUUACUCUUGGAGGCGUGAUUGAUUCUCCUGUAGUGAAAAUCUUCAUCUUGGGACAACCAAUCACCCACAAAUCUUGCAAAGAUGGGAAUUUGAAGGUGUAGUUGGCAGAGCUGAAACUUGUGAAGCUAUCUAAAUCAAACAGUUCCAACGUCUUCAAUUUGCUAAAAACAAUCUCUUCUUUUUCAACUCCAUCUUUGUCAUUUAUUACCACCUCUGUCAUUGCUCUGCAUCCACAUACUUGCACUUUGACGAGUUGCACUAGAGUUUUUGCUGUGGAGGAUGUUACCAAGUGUAUCAAUCCCUUGCAACCGAAAGCCACCAGAGCUGUUAGGUUCUGAAAAGAUACCGAUGAUGAUGGCAAUAGAAUUAACAGACUUUGACAAUGAUGUACUUUUAGAAUUUCAAGAUACUGAAAAAUGGGGCCAAGUUUGGAGUCUUGUUUGCACAGCUGCUUCAGAUGAUAGUGCCGGUUCAGCUGUAAUUUUUUUAUCAUUGCCAACUUCCCCACAUGUUUCUCUAAGCUUCCUUCCUCCGAAAAUACCUCUUCGUUGAAUGAAAAAAAACACAGUAUGAGCAUUUCCAGAUUGUGAAAUCUCUCCAGUACGUUCCAGACUGGAAAACAAGCUGAGUCAUCUCCAGCAAUCUCUAGUUGUUUAAGACUGCCAAAAAGGUGUUGUGGGAAAUCGGCCUGCAAAAUCAUCUUCACAUCUUUUCCACUUAGUGAUAGUUCCUUCAAGUUGGGUACGAUCUGAUCAUCAUCAAUCAUAAUAACUAAUGAGGUCAAUUGAUGAUCUACGGUCACACGCAGUGACUUUAUAGUAUUUGUUUUAUAUUAUAUUUUUAAAAAAAAUUGAACUAUUGAUAAAAUUUAUUUUAUAUGUUAAUUUUAGAGGUAAAAAAGAAAUUAGGGAAAAAAGGUUGAUUUAUACUGGCUCGAAAUUAUUUUAUUGCACAAUAAUAAAUUACUAAUUUAUUUUGUAAGUUCUUCUAUAUGGAAAGACUAAGGAUUCUUUUAUAAAUGCUAUACCUAAAACAGUUCAUAUAAUUAUUAAUCUACCACAUUGAUCCCUUAGUCUAGACUAGCAAAGAUUAUUGUAUAAUAAAAAUUUUUAAUUUAUUGAGCAUUAAUUUAUCGAUGCUUUGUCAUAUUUUUCAAAGUUAAAAAUAAGCUAUUGAUAAAAAAUCUAGAAAAUGACUUCAUACCUUUUCCAACGGCAAUAGGAGCUGUUGUGCAGGAAUACCAAGUUGAUCAUUCUCAUUAUUCUGCGAUAAAUCUCCAGCGAAUAUCUUUAAUUUGUCACAACGAUACACUAAAAGACUUUCUAGCGCGGGCCAUUCCAAAGUAUGCAUUCCAGUGUACAAACAUCUAAGUUUUGGUAGAUGUUGGAGUCUCAGAGUGGUGAGCUGUGGAAAGACAAAAUAAGGGCUCACUUGAUCUGCUCUGUUUUCAGAAAUGAUCUCCUGUAAAUCCUCACAGAAGCGUAUAUCUAGGUGUUGGAGCUGCUUAAGGCUUCCGAUCAUAGACGCUGAAAAUAGGUAUUUUAAUUUGUGACAAUGCCGCACAGUCAAUCGUGUUAAAUUUUGAAAGCGAGGAAACAUGACCGGAAGAUGAUUGUAGUGCCAAAUCUUGUCGACAUUAAUUUCAGAUAUCUCCAAAGCCUCCAAGUUAGGCAACGCAACCUAAAAAAAAGAAGAAUUUCUCGUUACAUCCAAUAUGCAUAUGAGAAGCACUUGUUGAAAUUUUCGUCUUCGAUUACAAAUUAAUGCAAGUCAAAACCAAUUUCUAACUGACAGAUAAGUAUGCAAUCUAAUUCAUAUUACUUGUUAAGAGCUCAAUUAGUGAGCACGUGAGAUUCUUUUUAUCCUUUUUUCCAUUUUCUUUCAAUUCUUUAAAUGAUUUAAUUAUUUUCCACGUAUGACAUCAAAACAGAACGCAUGACAGAAUAAAGUCUGUUAUAUAUAUAUAUAUAUAUAAAGAAAAUGUUAGCCUACGCACCUUCUCGUUGAAAAGCAGAGUUGAAGUAUCCAAAGUGAUUUCGCUGGAGCUAUACGGAGUCGUCGAUUCCUCUUGCGACGCUGGUCUGUUUGGUGAUGCUGAAGGAGUCUUUACUUCACGGCAAAAACUUGUAACCUCUGGAAGAUUCCCCAGACUCAAAGAUCUUAAUUGAGCAAACUCUAUCUUCUCAAUUGCAUUAUCAACUUCUUCCCCAAUUGCAAAAAUCUCUUUCAUCUUGCUGCAAUUAAUAACUGCAAUUCUCUCAAGUCUUGGAAGGCAUUUUGUUGUAGAGAGCCAAAAGAUAUUACUCAAUUUAUCACAAUUAUAUGCUUGUAUGAUUUUGAGUUCGUUGAAGGACUCUACUUUGAGCCGAUCAAUACAUAUCCUCUCCAUGUUGAUCAAAUUGUGAAGGCCAAGUGACUCCAAAAGAGGAAAGGCAUCACAAGCGACCAUCGCCCUUGAAUCGACGAUGCAAAAGAAGUCAGGAUUAUUUUGAACCCAGACAAGCUUCAAUUGUGAAAAGCCCUCCGUGUCCAAAUUGAAAAGAACGUUCUUGAUACCUCGCAGCUUGUCCAACAAUAAGUAUUCAACGUUAUUGACGCCCUGCAAUUUCAUGGAGCAAAUGUCCGUAAAAGCAAGCUUGAGCUUCAAUGCUCUUAAACUCUUGCGAUCACUGUCGAUCAAAAAGUGCUGCCAACUUUCAAACCAAUUUUGUCCAGCAAUCAUGGGAUGUGUGAAUAACCCAUUUCCAAUAUUUAUUUUGAACCUUUCGAGCUUUCUGGCCAAAAAGCCUUCUGGUAACAUACUCUCAUUUUUAACAUCAAUUUCUAGAGUGGUUAGCCGAGGUAAAUGCAUCAAUUCAUCAAGGCUAGCAUUACUUCUUUUGCUGUUGGCUCUUUCAACCUCCCAUUCAAUGGAGCAAUUACCCAUAUACAAUUCUUCUAAUCGGAUUAAGCUUGAUAUGACAUUUGGGGCAAUAACAUUCAGACGGAAACAGUCUGUUAAAUCUAACAGCCUUAGCUUAGUCAGUUGACCCAGUGCUUUAGGCAACUCUACAAUAUCAGACCGCACGAAGCUGAGGAUUUCUAGGUUUUCCAACUUUCCAAUAAUGGCUAUGUCUAUGCCUCUGAAAAUGCUUUGAUCAAGACAAAGUGUCUGAAGAUUUACUAGAAGACCAAUUGAAGAUGGCAAUGACAAUAACCGCAUUCUAGUCAAAUCCAAAACCCGAAGCUUUUUCGUCCUUUUGAAGAAGUUCUCAGGAAUAUUAGGCACAGCAAAAGAGUUCUUGGGAGACAUGAGUAGAAGUUCAAGUUGUAGAGAUUCGGACCCUUCAGGAAUGUCAUUAAUAAUACUAUCUUUUAAAGAAAUUGCAAGAUAUUUUUUUAAUUCAUCUGCAUUUGGCCAUUUCCAAUCAUCCUCAUUUCUCACCACAAAUCCAAUUUUGUCACGACAUGCAAUUGAAAUGGCAACAUCACGAACAACGUCGUGCAUAGAAAAGUAUUUACUGCCACCAUCCUCAAGCAACAAACAAGAGUCUCUUAGUUGAUGGACCCAUGCAUCUAAUUUGUUAUGUGCAUCUUCUAGCUUGUGGACACUUUUAAAUACACCCCAGCCCAUGCUAUAUUUGAACAAGUCCAUAAUUGGUGCUGGCGUAAUAAGACUACACAGUAAAAAAGUUUUCUUGAGUUGCUCACCUCUUAAGUACUUGUAACUCAGCUCAAUUGUUGAGUAUGCCUCUGCUGGUACUCCUUCGUCGAAGCUCGCCUCUGAAGGCGUUCGGAGUUCUUGCAAGGCAUUCUUCCACACAGGCAGCUCUUUUUUCCUCAGUGCCUUUGCUACUGUGGUUAGGGCAAUAGGCAAACCUCCGCAUGCCUUGGCUACACUUGUUGCUGUAGAUUUUAACUCACGAUUUUCAACAUAAUCACCAGCCAUUAUCUUGAACAAUCUCCAGGCUUCUUGUUCAUUUAAAAUGCCAAUCGAGAAGUUUUUUUCAGAUCCCAUCCUUAACAGCACAUCAAGAUCUCUUGUUGUGAAUAAUAAUUUACAUCCUCUGUGCUCAACUCCAAAAGGAACUCCAAUAGUCCCCAAAUCAAGAGGUUUCCAGAUGUUAUCCAGAAUCACAAGGAUCUUCUUCUCAUUCUUCAAUCUUUCAUAUAGUCUACUAGCUCUUCUAGACUCAGCUUCCUCGGACAACUGUAGGCCUAACGUUACCGCAAUUUCCUCUUGGAUCUUUUUUAUGUCUGGACUUUGGGUAACCUCCGAAAAAGCCACCAUAUCGUAAAGCUUGUCUUCAAUGGCUCGCCUUGCAAACUCCCGCACCAGUGUCGUCUUUCCAAUGCCGCCCAUGCCGUAGACGCCAAUGAUGCUGACAUCAACAUCGAUCAAUGCAUUUUGUAUGGCCUUCAAAGUAGAAAGUCUUGAUUCGAAGGCCUCGUAGCCUUUGUGAGACUUGAGCCAAAUCUCCUCCGGAAUGGUACGGUAGGAAAUUCUAUCAUCAAAUCUCCCAGCUUCUUCUCGGAGUUUAAAAAGGGCCUCCUUCUCUGUUUCUGCUUUAUUUCCAUGCUGAUAGCGAGUAAUCCAAUUAGGAAACAGCCCCAUGAGACAUCGUUCAUUUGCUUUCUCUUCGUCUUGAAUGAAUUUGGCUGCCUCCUCAAUGCUCUUGUUCGCAUUAACCAGCCAUUUCUCAACCUUCUCUUCAAUCUUUUCACUUUUUCUUUCAGCCUCAGAAACUCUGCGCUGAAUGCUUUCUCUUUCAUCCUUGAGCCCAUCGAGUUCUUCCUUGAGAUUCUCAAAGUUGGCAGCGGAGUUAUACCAAUAACUAAAUUCGCGUUGUGCGUGAGGAGACAAGCAGUUUACAAUGCUUUUCAAAAUGUCCAUUUUUUUUUUUUGGUUGGGGGGGGGGGGGGGGGACGAAAUAGAAAUAGAACAGGGUCAACGACCGCGCAAUUGAUAAUCAAGUAGAAGCAAAACAAGGCAAAAUUGGAAAAAUAAAUUAUAUUUGUACAAAACAAGGGGAAAAUCAGUGUAACAGAAGAGAAUCAAAGUGUUUUUGAGAUCAGAAAAUUGAACCAAGAAAAGGGUUGCUUGAUCCAAUGAAAAAGCAAAGAGCUGAUGGCAAAAGGGAACAAAGAUAAAUAAGAAAACGGCUAGUACGAGCAGCGACCACGAUGAACAGAAGCAAAGUGUUUAUGAGAUCAAAAGACGAAAAUCAGGAGAGGUUUUCUUGACUGAGAAUUGAAGGCAAAGAGUAGGAGCUGACGAAUACGGGGAUCAAGAGGGAAAAACUGCUUGCUCGUAAAACUACUUUCAAGCGAAUCUGAUAAAAUUAUUUCAAUACUCGUGGGCGACUCCUUUUUAAACUGCAGAAGGAAAAAAAAAAAAAAAGAGUUCUGAAUUUCAAUAUAUUAAUUUUUAUCCUAAUUUAUGUUGAGAUUCGUAAUCUCGUCUCAAUGAUUAAUUAGUAGAUAUUCUUUCUAACAAAUAUGUGUUGAAUAGAUAUAUUUCUUGACUAUUAGUAAGUUAGAUAUAUUUUGGCAUAGGAAUGAAAGUACCAAGUUGUGUCAUAUUAGAAUAAAAAUUUGAGCUAAAAAUAUUUUUCUAUGACCUUUUAAUUAUUUGUCAGCAAAUAAUUAAGUCAUAUAAAAAAAUUAAUAAUCUGAAUUAGUCUUUAAGUAUUAUAAAUAUUAUUUUUAUUUUUAAUUAUAAUAUCAUUAUUUAAAAAUAAUUGCUUGACUUAUAUUAGUAACAUUACGAUUGUCAUAAAACAUGUGAUCCUGAUCCAAUAUCCAUUAUUUGUGAUCCUUAAUCAAUAAAAUAUCUAACAAUAUCUUCACCUAAAGUUUGAGACAUGUGAUCCUUAUUCCACUGCGUCAAUUACACUCCAGACCAAUGCUGCCGUCAUUAUCGAACGGUCGAUAUCCAACACUUGCACGAAGAUUCCAAGAAGUUGCGUGGCUGCCGACUUUUAGAUGCAAAGCCUCAUUGUGUCGAUGUUACACAAAAGAGAGCAAGUCCGGGUAAUUGCCGAAACUUAGAACUAAACAGUAGCUUAGUCAGAAAAUCAAACGCCAGUACCGUUAAAAUGACCGAUAAAAAUAUAAAGAAACCAAAGCUUUAAAAGAAAUCAGCCAAAUCACGAAGAUUGAAGAGUAAAUCUAUGGUUUUAGAUUUUUAUUUUAUUUUUUUAGAUAAUAGAUAUUAUUUUGAUGAAUUUUCAAUAUUAGAAUAAUGUUAGGAAUUUCGAUAGUAGAAUUCUAACUUGAGAUCCAAUUGUUAUGUAUCAUUUUUUUAUUGGAUAAUGAAUUUCAUAACUAGUAAAAUUAAUAUUUCGAUCAUCUAAUAAAUGACUAUCAUAUCAGUUGAGACUCAAUUAUUGGGAUCCUUAACAUUGCUCUUACUAUUAAAUUGGACAUCUUAGCUAAAUCAAAUUAAAAAUCAAAUUAGAUUUUAGGCUUUUAUCCAACAUCUCUUUUUUUUUUUUUGGUCUAUUUGAAGUGAACGAAAUAAAAAUACAACAGGUUCAACGACUGGGCAGUUGAUAGUCAAGUAGAAGCAAAUCAAGGCUAAAUGGGAAAGAGAAAUGAUAUUUGUGCAAAACAAGGAGAAAAUCAGUGUAACUGAAGAGAAUCAAAGUGCUUUUGAGAUAAAAAAAAUUGAAGCAAGAAAAGGGUCGCUUGAUCAAAUGAAAAUGCUAAGAGCUGAUGGCAAAAGAGAACAAUGUUAAAUAAGAAAACAACUAGCUCUAGCAGCGACCACAAUAAACAGAAAAGUUGAGAUGGAUUUACAAUAUUUCUGUCUUUCUUCAUGCUUUAACAAAUAUUGCUCUAUAAAAAAAAAUAUUGAGCGUUUUUAUUAUUGGAAUCACAAAAGACCUACACAAUAUAGCAAGUGACUAGGAAUAAAUAAGAAUAUAUAACUCUCUCUCUAAUUCUCACUCUAGCUUUUAAUUGUCACUCAAAACCCAGAAUUCAUCCUUAAAGUGUAAGCAAAUAAGAGAUGACAGCGUCUGGUUGUCAUACGUGCCUUUUAGUUUUCGGAUGACAUGGGGUACACUUCUUCUGUAAACCGAACACGACAUGUCGUACUCUUUGUUUUGAGAUCAUAUUUCAAACUCUUCAUGCUAUGAAUGAAAGAUAAACUACAAUAAUCAAAAUAUUUAGUGUUUAUUUGGUAAUGUAACGUUAUAGUUGUUGUGAAUUGAAAUUAUUUAUGUAAGAUAAAAGGAUUUGGGUCAUCGUUUGUUAUUCUCUGGCAAUAUUGUCUGGCCGUGACUAUUUGAAAUUAUUUCUAUAAGAUAAAAGGAUUUGGGUCAUUGUUUGUUAUUCUCUGGCAAUAUUGUGUGGCCGUGACUAUUUGUUAAAUAUUUAAAAAAUAAAUUUAUAUUUAUUAAGUAUAAAAAAUAAUAAACAAACAAAAAUAAAAGGAAAAGUUUAUACAUUACAUAAACGAACAAUAUCAAUAUUUCACACUAUAAUUGAGUGAUGUGUUGUCCAACUGCCAUACAUUGGUCCCAAAGAGAGACUUAAAUAUUAAAGUCCAAAGUUAUUGUGAUGAUGACUUAUAAUCGCCAAACUUGACAUAGGGGUAAUCAUGCAUUAUAAGGUGCUGAUUUCUUCUGAUCGAAACCUUAUUUUUCAUUUACAAAUAAAUAAAUGAUGUAACUUCACGGUUGGCGGGGUCCUUUGUGUCAUUUGGGCAUUUCACUAAAUGAUUGAUUGCAGCAGGAUGAUUCCUGGAAGUUGCCAUUUGCCAAUGCUACUAACAUUUUCAAACUUGGAAAACCCUUCAAUCAAUCUUUUAGUGGUAGGCUCUGGUAGCUUGGUUUGAUUAUGACAUAUGAUUAUUUGAUAAUAAAGCUAGAGGAUGUAUUAAUAUAAAAUUUGUUUAUUGGUGUUGAAGUUAAUUAUCUCAUUAAUAAUGGUAUGAAAAGUUAAUUACUAAGAAAAAUUGGUGUCAUAUUAUUGGGAUUCUGGGAUAUAAUUUUAUAUCAUAACUUUGUAAGUGUAUACUUACUCAUCAAACUAAUAAAAUUAUUUAAAAAUUUCAGUUGGAAAAAAUAAAUUAUAUUAUUUUCAUUUCAAAUAAUCUAUAAGUUAACUCAAAACAUAAUCAAGCUGAGAAUUAAAAUAAUGCUACUGUAUGAGAGGAUUUUUAUUUUUUCCCGAAGUUUCACUAGGAAAUUAUUGAUACAUAGCUUUAUUCGGAUCAUCUAAGUUCAAACGACAAAUAAUUGAAAGACUAGCUAAAUAGACCAGCCAACAACUUUGCACAAGAGAGUUCAAAAAUUAAGGUCAUGGUAUUAAGGUGUUCUAUCUUGAAAAGUAUAGCAUAGUAAUAAAAUAAAAACUAAUAGUCUUUGGUAAGAUAUGACAUUUAAAUAAUAAUUUUCACAAAAAUACAAAGAAUAUUUAUAAAGUACUUCUGUAGUAAGGACACCCUCACUUUGUUAAAGUGAAAAUAUCAAUAAUAUACAAAAGACAUAUAUUUUAACACAUUAAAAAUUGUAUUUUUUAUUUAUUUAUUGGUGCAUUGAAAUAUGUGUUAUUUAGUUUGUUAGUGAUAUCAUUACUUUGUUAAAAUGAGAAUGUCGUUACUAGAGAAUCAUUAUAUAUACAUAUAUAAAGUGCUUCUGUCCAAGACCUAGACUUUAUUAAAAUUUAAGAAAGCAAAUAUAUUUUAUAUGGUAUAAUAGUGUAAUAACAUCACACAAUUAUAUCAUAUAGAGUAAUAGUUUUUCGAACUUUAAUAAAGUUCAAGAUUAUAGAAUGAAUGAUUUUUAUAUAUUAUAAAUUUUUUUAUCAUAAAUGGAGGACAAAAUUAACAUAUUUUCAAAUUAUAAUAAGUAUUUAUCAAAUAAUUUAACAUUGCAAUUUCUCCUAACUAGUAUAGUGAAUAAUACGACCUAGGAGAUACAUUCAAAGCAUUUCAUAAGUUAGUUGUUAAUAAUAAAUGAUAUAUGCAGCUCCAAUCAUCAUUGUACGGUGAGUAAUUUCCAGUUAUAAAUAGAUAUUACUCCCUUCCCAGCAAUUUUUGAUGACUUAAUUUAGUGGGAUCAAAAUCAACAUUGAAUUUUUGACCAGCUGCGAACAACUUGUGAGCAGUUCACAGUGGGUACUGCACAUUAUGCCUGUUUCUCCUUUUGCAUCUAUUUUAGUUGUUAACAUUAAUUUCAAUAGCAGCUUGUUAAUCCCAAUUGUUGAUUUGGGACUAGAUAAAAAUUUAACUUGGAACUCCAAUUCUCCCAAUUAUUUUAGUUGACAAUAUGUUUAACAUUAUUUUUUUAACAUUGUUAAUUGCAUAUUAUUUAAUUAUCAGUAUAUAAUAUUCUUUAAUUUUCUAAUUUUAUAGGAUUAGACACAAAAUUGAUUAUGCCUUUUGAAAUUUAAGGGUUAUGUCAAUUGAGUAGAAAACUUGGAGGUAAACUUGUGGAUGUUUUUGUUGAUUAUCAAUUUAUGCAUGAAUUUUUGUACGUUUACUUUGGUUUAUAAUUAUUACUUUUAAACAUUUUUAUUGGUUUGAUUUAGGGUCAAUUUGGUAAUCCUGUAGUUUUUAAAAUAAUUACAAUUAGUUAUAUUGUAGAAAUUGAUCAAUCGUCAAGAGAAUCAGCUGAAUAUUUAGUAAAAUUUAUUUUUAAAAGCACUUUUAGUUUUAAAAGCGUUGUAUGAAUAAAAUUGUUACACUAAAAAUUAAAUGUAUUGCCCACUUGGGUAAAUAAAGCUAUAUAUUACAACUGUUACACUAAAAAUUAAAUGUAUCUUAAACCCAAACUUCUUCUUCUAUUUUUUUGACUAACAAAAUUAAAAACAAUAGUGAACACAUUCUUUAAUAAACAAUAAGUAAUAACUAAAAUCGUGUUAAAUUUCUUAAAAAAUUUCUUUCACGGUUUGCUAAAUAUUUUUAUUAGUAUUUUGAAUAAAUAAAAAUAGUUGAUUUAAUUUUUUUAAAUAAACUUAUUAGGUUCAUGUAAAGAUGUUUUUGUUAUUUUAAAAAGUGUAGAAAGUACUCCUAAAAAAACGUAGAAAGUGAAACUUAAUUUUUUAAAUUUAUUUGCUGAGUGCAUAAAUAAUUGAGUGUUCAUAAUGAUUUUUAAAGUAUAGAUAGUCGGACCCUAAUUUUUUAAUAUAUGGAAAUUUUGCUAAUAUGUUAAUGAGAAUUAAGAAGAUAAUUAAGGGAGGCAAUCGAGACAUUCAGGAUAGUUAGGAUGGGACAUGAUUGUGAGUGGUUUGAUAUUGGUCCUAAUUUUGAUCACAAAUAUAUAAACAGGACGAGUUUAUCUCUACUUACAUUCCAUUUGAUAAUUAAGAUGAGAGCGGAAUUGUCAAAUCUCAAAUCAUCCUGAACCAUUGCCAUCAAAGGUACUCUCACUAAUAAUAUCUAAAGAAAAAUCUACAUCUAUUUCAUACUUUUUUUUUUAAACGGAAAGAGCCCUCAUGGGGCUUGAAAUGUUAUCCUAAAUAGUAUUAAGAAUAUCAAGCCAUGAUUGGGUUUGAGACAAACAAAUAUUACAUAGUUAGGAUACGUAGUUAUAGUGUCCCAAUUUAUGUAGUAUCUAUCAUUUAGUGCACAUAUAAAAUAUUAAUCAGCUUAAUUAAUUUAUAAAAUUUAAAUCUAAUUAAUAAGUGAUACAUAAAAGCCAAGUGCAAUAUUGUAUAUGCAAAUCAUGUUUGUGGAUCAUUACAAAACGGCUCUUGAAAACAAGCAAGAAAGCUUAAUUAAGAACUUAAAACAAAAAGAAUUAGAUUGAAAACAGUCAAGCUUUAUUUUUUCAAGGAUGGAGCUUAUAAAUCUUCAAGUACCAACAUAUGCUUGGCCCAAUUGUUGUUAUUAAAAUUUCAAUAUACAUAUAUAAGUAUGAUAUAGCAAAAAUUUGAUGGUACAUAUCUCGGAAUAUACUAGUUCAUGGAUGCAUUUGAUUAUUGUUUCCAUAAAUUUGAACCGGGAAGGAUGACAUGAUAAAAUUUGAUUUUAUGGUAUGGUUGAUUUCAGAUCUCAUGCCCUCAUUUCUUAAGAUAAUCAAAUUUUCUCUGGCAUCUUUUGCAACUGUGGAAAUAUCAAUUAUGAUCAAUCAAAACGAUUUCAAAACCUUUUAACGAGACAUAUUUAUAAUACAAUAUUGUGAAAAUUACAACAAAAAUUUAAUUUAUUAAAUAAUAUAUUAUUAUCCAACGAGCACACAAAAAUGAAUUCGUACAAAUCUAAAAUACUUAGCAAUUUUCAAAUAGAAUUUACCAUGUACUACAAGAAAAUAGGGUAUAUGUGACCCCUAAUGUGAAGGCAAAUUUGCAAAAGCAGCCAUUACGCAUGCCACUAACUUCUAACUUUGUAACCUCGAGUUGCUUUUGUUACCCUUUAUGUGACGGCCACACUGCUGUCACAUAUGUUACUAACCACGUGACGGUAAAGAGCCGUUCGGUAUAGCACUAUUUUAGAAAUUUAAAUUUAUUUCCAGUUAGAAAACUAUUCGCUGGACUAGCCACCAUCGUAAACCUAACUGGUUGCCGGCGAACGGCGUAAAACACCAGGCAUCUUCUUCUUCAUCGUAUUCUCCCUUCAUCUUUUGAGGUAAGCUUGUGAUUAUGAGUUUCUUCUCUGACUUAGCUUGUAAUUAUAGAUUUUGAUUUUUUUUUUAAAUUCGUAUUGUAGCCAUUAUUGUCAAUUUUUGUCCCGCCAGCAAUAUUUUUUUAUUCCUACAAGUUGAAGCCCCUGUGUUCUUGUUCCAUUGGUGUUGCUCACUCAAAUUAAUUUUGUUCUGCGGAAUUUACAAAGUUCAAAUGGAUUCAUUUGAAUUACUAUUGAAUUUAGCUUUAAUUCCAACAUCCAUUCUAAUGUUUUGCUAUUAGAUUUAGUUUAAUUUUAUGUUUAAAGCAUCUACAAUGAAUAGCGGAGCUUGGGUUUUAGUUUCAUUUUCUGGAUAACUUGUUUUAGUUUAUCUUGUAUGCUCACCAAGUGCUUGUUAUAUUGUCUGAUAAGUUAUAUACAUUGCUGAUUCUAUAUUAAUAAUGUUACGUUCUAUUUUCAGAAAUUAUAAUACAAAAGUUUUUACAAUGGCGUGCAUCUACAAACUGAAUUGACUUGUAGAAUAAGAGCUUGGAGUA
rnacentral:lncRNA from 1 species